AGAUAUAGAUAUAGAUAUAGAUGUGGAGUUGUGGAUAAUCUGCAUAUAUCACCUCAUAAUACAUGACUAACUUAGCUAUAACAACACAUAGGUCCUGGCCCAGAUUUUAUCUUUUGAGCAACUUUAACUGGAUUAGAAAGUCCAAAAACAAAUCAUACAAACUAAACAUGUGCAGGUAAACUUUAUUUAUUUUCUUUUUCGCAGGGCAAUGCCCUCAACACGAAGAGCAAUAACAAAAAUCAUUAGGGCUAGGGCCACGACAACGGCCACCAUUAAAGUGUAACCCGGUGCAAUAGAGUUCACAGACGAUUACUGGAUGAACGUCACGACAUGGCGGGCCAUAUGCCUUUGUUUCCUUGCAAUCAUGUCUGAGUGGUAGCACUGGAGCCAAAUUAUCAUCGCCUCUAUCUGUUCCUGUAGAUGGAGCCAAAGCCUUCCCACCUCGUCCGGGAGAUAAAGGUGAAGCACCACCACCAAUAAACUUUUGGCGGCCUAGUUGCUCUCCACUACUGGGUUCUGUUUGUGAAAUCAAGUCCUGAAUUAGCAUCAAGAGGUAAAGGGACAAGGCAAAACUGUGAAAUAAAAGGAAAAUCAGAUAAGUGUGGAUCAGUUUUUCCUUUGGUAUAAGUUGAACACAAGAACCGUAUACCAAGCCUAUUAUUAUCAUAAGUUCACAAUGACGAAUUUGAGAAAAUAAACAAAUACCAAGUACUGCUAUGAAUAUAGAAGUACUACACCUAUAACUAAAUAUAAGAAGGUUUUGGUAUAGUCUUUCUAUAUAUACAUAAGUAUGGCAUAUGUAGGUUAACGUAUGAUUCAUUGUACCUUCAAUGGUUAAUAGGACCAGAAACAUGAUCACUAGAAUUGUCAUUUUCCCGGCCAUCAUUUUGCUCUGCUUGCGAAAAGCCAGAAGUGUUCUUCCAGAGGGACUCUAUUUAUGGAAGCUUGGAUUAAGCAGGUUUGCUGAAGUGAUGUGUAGAAUAUCUUUAAGAUAUUGUAGCAUUGUCUCAUGACUUUUAUCAAUAAAAGAAAUUAGAAGAUAUGCAUCUACCAUUAGUUCCACUUACAUAAUAUAUUUCCACAAGAUAUACAUGAUGAUGAAGAUAGAUAUCUCCACCAGAUAUACAUGAUGAUGAAGAUAGACAUCUCCAUAAGAUAUUCAUUAUGUCAGAAGGAUUGUUGCAAUAUGGUGUAAGUGGGUGUUGAAGCAUCUUCCAUCUUAUAUCUUAUAUCUUAUAUCUUAUCUUGUCUUAUCUAUCUAUCUAUCUAUCUAUCUAUCUAUACCUAUACUAAUUAUGUACUCCCUGAAAAUUCAUACGGUGUAGAUCGAUCAGCCGAUAUAAUUAGGAUGUAGAUUUCUUUAAUUCUGCGGAGAAUUACUAGUUAAAUUGUUAGUAAUGGCGCACCUAUGGGCAGUGCGCCAUUACUAGUUAAAACUAGUAAUGGCGCACUGUCCACAUGUGCGCCAUUACUAACAAUUUUUUUAAUUUUUUUUUUCAAAACUACUAAUGGCGCAUGGUGGGUGUGGUGGGCCAUUACUAUGUCAACUAGUAAUGGCGCACUACUCCCAUGGUGCGCUAUUAGUAGUUUUGAAAAAAUUAUAAAAAAAAUUACUAAUGGCGCACCAUGGGAUGUGGUGCGCCAUUAGUAUUUGCACAUUAAUGGCGCAUCAACACAUGGCGCGCCAUUAGUAUUUAGUAAUGGCGCACCACAUGUACAGUGCGCCAUUAGUGUCCAUCCCAUCUAUAACCCUUUUCCUAGUAGUGUUUAUUAGCCGAUAGUCGCACCCAAGCAACCCUAAACUCAAGAAAAGAGUGAAGUAACUCUUUAGCCUCGUCAACUAGUUGCCCAUUUGCAAAGAAAUCCCGUUGCUUGUUUCUGAUCUUGGUUACCACCAAUUGGGAGUCCGUCCGGGCGUUAAUUCCUUUGGUUAGAACAAGGGCCCGUUGACACGCCAUCAGCUCCGCCACCUCGGCAUCGUGAGCGGAAGGGAAAAAAUGGCAUGCUCCCGCAAUGAACUUGCUAUGGUGGUUCCUAAGGACGGCAACUCCCCCUCCUGAUUCUUGGUGCUUUGCCAUAACACCAUCAGCAUUAGCUUUUAUCCAUCCUUCAGCUGGCUUUUUCCAUCGCUCCAAUGCGUUUCUUUCUCUCUGUUGAGGUAUUUUCUCACGCAUAGACUUCCAUUCAGCAGUAAGCUGAAGCACUCGUUCACAUAUACUUCCUGGGUCUUUCAUUCUGCGGAAGGGAAAAAUUGGAUGAUUGAGAUAAUGGGUGUGAGUACACCCGGGAGUAGUCACACCUUUCCGGUCUUUCAUUCUGCAUGUUUCCUUUGCUUCAUUCCUCAUAGUCCAUAGCUCGUACCAACUCCUAAUCACAAUUUCCUUUUCUUCAGACCCUGUGUAGCUAAGCCAAUCCAUGAGCCAUGCACGUAAGGCCGCAGGGUCAUGAACUUGCACCGAAAGGCAUGGCAGCGGGGCAGCGACAGCCUCACGCAGGCACCUCCAAAACUCAAUUGCAUGCGGGCACCUCCAAAACCUAUGCAUAGUAUCUAUCUAUCUAUCUCUCUCUAUAUAUCUAUGAUAAUUAUGGACGCCCUGAAAAUUCCCACGUUAAUCAGAAAUUAAGAGCCAUUAAUCUCAUGGGAUCAAUUUAUUACGGUGUAGAUCGAUCAGCCCAUAUAAUUAGGAUGUAGAUUUCUUUAAUUAUGUGGAUAAUAAAAUCUGUCUAUCUAUAUAUAUAUAUAUCUAUCUAUACCUAUACUAAUUAUGGACUCCCUCAAAAUUCCCAUGUCAAUCAGAAAUUAAGAACCUUUAAUCUCGUGGUAACAAAUUAUUACGGUGUAGAUCGAUCAGCACAUAUAAUUAGGAUGUAGAUUUGUUUAAUUCUACAAAUAAAAAGAUGUGGCAAAUCGAAGGCUCACGGCCCUUCGUGGAAAAACGUUCAAAAUUUAUUUUGCAAAAGGUGAUCUGAUUCUAAUCUAUACUAUUACACCGUCCUUUCCUCAUCUAUUUAAAUAUACUAGUAAGCAUGCACGUGCAACGCACGUCUCAUAAUCUGACUCUUAUAAAAACAUUUAUUUUGAAUAUAGUUUCUCUGUUAGCAAGUUAUUUUUACCGAACCAUUUAAAUGUGUCUUAUACGAAACAAUAUGAUCGCACAUGUAGCAUACAAUUCGUGGGACCUGGGUUGUUUGCAUCAUUUUUCAUGUCUCAAUUUCUUAAAUUAUCAUAAUUCAAGUGCACUAAAGUGACAGCUAGUUUUGGUCUACAAUCUGUCGUAUGAGCCAAUAAAGUAGUAACCUAGUGGUACAACAUAGAAUAAGUAUAAUGAUACGUGGCGAAAAAUACAUGUGUAGGAGUGUCAGAAAAAAUAUCUCACGUGAAGUACGCUGUAAAAUUUAACAUCCAUAGACUACACGAUGACCUAACUUAAAUAUAUUCAACAAAAAAUUUAUCAACUUUUAUGGAGAUUCAUAUAACAAAUUUUAAAAUCAUCAAACAAAAAUGACAGUAACCAACGCUGAUGAUUUUUACGUAGAAGAUAAAAAGGAUGGCAGGCAUGCAGGGGAAUCGGAUAAAAAAGAAUGGGUCUUUUUAGAAGAUAUUUUUUUGAUUUGGACAAGGCGCACAGUCACAAUCUCUCUCUGGUAAGUUCCUAAUUUUAUUUAAAAAAACAUUAGUUAUCCUCCCCACCGCCACCUCAGUCCCUUACAUUUCUCUCCCCGUUCCCCAUUCUCCCAUGGUGGCCACACCCCUCACUCCACAGCCGGCCCUCUUCGUCACCAACGCCGGCGCUCCCUGGUUAGGCCGCCGCUCACCUUCGUCACCACCGUCGGUGCUUCCUGGUCAGGCUGCGGCUCCCCUUCGCAGCCGCUGCUCUUCCUCCCCUUGAUGUGGAAUCGCUCGAGGAAGUGGCCGAGGAGGCCCUCGAGCUCGGCAUGCUCGCGCCAGCGCUAGGCGCCGGCGAAGGUGGACGCGAAGGUGUGGCACUCGCACGCGCCUGCUCUACCCCGCACCUUCUCCGAAUCCGUUGGCCGAAGUGUUCGAGAAGGCGCUCGAGGUCGGCAUGCUCGCCGGCGAUGCCGGGCCCCUCCCUCCUCCUGAUACCCUCUCUGUUGCCGCCUUGAGCCUCUCCACCCUCUCCCGUGCGGUCGUCCGGGUCCAGGUAAGUCCCUCUCUGCAACCCUGCCACCUGCUCCACCCCGUCAAUUUGGUUCUUCGCCAGGUGCAUCCCCUCAUUGAGAAAUCACCAUGAAUAUUCCCAAGACUGUGUAUAAUUGUUCUGUUAUAGGGCUUUUUUUUGCGGGGUUAUAGAGCUUUAUUAUAAAAGCUGAUUUAACUGACUAUUAUUCUGCUCUAGAUUGCUGCACCUUCUGGCUGUGAGUGGAUCCAAGAGUCAGCAUGAUACAAUAUCUUUUCAAAAGAUGAUAGAUUAUCUUCAUGAAAGAAAGGAAGUUGGAGAAUUAUUAUUGAAGAUGAAUUCAGUGUCAUGUGUUUCUCAAGAGCUAAAAUGGAACAAGAAGUGCAAAACUGGCAAUUCUUUUUGUAAUACUAUUAAGCUCGUCAUGGUGGUUACCAUGAAUGAGUGUCUGGUUUAAUGUUUAGAAAGUGAGUUUUGUGUUACAAUGUUCUCUUUCAAGACUGUUAUAUGAGAAAUCAUCCGUUUAAUUGGUGGCUAUGUUGAUGAUAAGGCCCUUAAUGGUUCAGAUUUCCCGAGGGAGGAAAAGGAGGUGCUGAAAGGGGAUGGGAGCAACAAGUAUAAAUCGAAGAGUAUGUUUUGAUUCUGAGUUGCAUUGCACAGUAUUUCUAUUGUUCUAUGAAAUCCAUGGAAUUGUAUGGAACAUUCCUUCAUGUGAUAGGCAUAUUUGUUUACUAAAUCAAACUGCGUAGUUCCAACAAACAGACAUUCAAAUGCACCAUUUUACCCUUUGAAAGUAGGAAGUGCAACUUCUUUAGUGUUUAGAAUGGAUCAGGUGUACUUCAGAUGUUUUCAGUUUUAAAUAAUUAUGCAGAUUCUCAAUCAUCAUGUGUGCAAAAAGUGGGUUUAUACAGAUUUGUACAAUUCAUUGUAACAUCCUGGAGCUUAAACUAAUUAUGAUUAAUUUGGUCAUUCUCUGAUGUGUUAUUACAUUAAUACCUUUGGCACCUUUGUAAUUUGCUAAGCUAAAUUCAAUAUUUCAGGUGUUCUGCGACAACUCAAGUCACCUUCGUAAAUUCUGGAAGCCAACUUUUUUGACACCAGACCAAGGAGAUAGAGUGCAUGAUUCAGUCAGUUACAAAAGUGCAGUAGCCAAAAACACUAACCAUUUUCCACAUAAAAAACCAUUAAUGACCUUUCCCUCUCCAUUUGCCUCUUCAGAUCCUUAGGGUCUACAUCUAUGAUACAUUCUAGUUAGUUUAGCAUCUCACCAGUUAUCUGAAUAAUACAUAAGCAUCCAGUACAAGGGCAUUUUUACCUUGGUACAUGGCAUCUCAUCAGUUAUCUGAAUAAUAAAUAAGCAUGCAGUACAAGGGCACUUUUACCUUGGGACAUGGCCAGGGGUGUAUGUGGUACAUUUUUCUCGUCAUUAAGCAGUGAUGUUGAAGCCUGUUUCUUCUCAUGGGCUUCACGACGUCUUUUAAGAAUAUCAUCUUUAUUGCGUGCAUAAUACUCUUUUUUCCUCUGCCUCUUCAAUUCUUCAAGGUAUGUAUAAAUACAUGCCAUUAAAUUUUGCACAUAAGCAACAGCAAAACAGUAGCGCAAAGUAGGAACCGAUUGAUGAUAGUUACCCAAUGUUUGGUUGUUGCUUAUAUCCUGAAAUGGGGUGCACGCCCCCGCACUAUUGGGAUAUGUCAUACCUUCGCCUUCAUGUGAAUAUUCAUGCCAUUAAAUUUUGAGAAGCAUGGAAGCUGUGGAAAUUAAUCAUGAACACCACCAUCAGAUGCAAACAUACUACACUGUCCUUUCUCUUGAUAUUGUGUUUCAACGGAGUUCUAAUUUGACAUUAAUAACAAUUUUGAAUGGCAGAUCCCCUUACUGGACCACAUUAAGUUGUUGGCCCUGCUAUUUAACGUCCAUGGUGAUGCUGAUGAUGAUCUUGGCAGGGGUAAUGCUUUGAUUUCAUAGACCUGUUGCUUUGAUAGCUAGAGAACUAAUUUCUCAAGAGGACUUGAUUUAGUGUUCUUAUGAUAUUUUUUAGCUGGGGCUGUUUUUUUUCAUGGAUUUUCUUUGUCCACUACAUCAUAAAUCUGGUAAUGUAAAAGUAAUAUCUAUUUCUGAUUAUGUAAUGACCGACUGUUAUCUUGCUUCUUAUUCAUGUAUCUUCAGAUUUAUGUAUCUGCCUGGGGUGUUGGCAUGUCCUUGAGCACGCAUCAGGUAUGUAUGUAUCUGUUGGUAUCUUAGUGCACUUUGUAGUUUCAGAGUAGCACUCUAUAAUUUGGCACAUGCCUAUGAGUGUAUAUGUAUGUGCAUGUGUACUGGCCAUAGGCCCGAGGUGAAACUAAUUAUGAUUAAUUUGCUCAUUCUGUCAUGUGCUCUUACAUUAAUACCAUUGGCACCUUUGUAAUUCUAUAAGCUAAAUCCCAUAUCGCAGGUGUUCUGCGACAACUCAAGUCAAGUUCGUAAAUUCUGAAAGCCAAGGAGACAGGGUGCAUGAUUCAGUUAGCUACAAAAUUGCAGUAGCCAAAACACGAACCAUGUUCCACAUAGUAAACAAUUAAUUAUAUAUAUAAAACGAACGGCUUAUAGCAUUAUGAUGUGAGGGGACGUGGGCUCCCACCAAUCAUGUUCAACAUUAUGAUGUGCAGGCAGGAGACGGGGUUGGUGGGAGGCACCGUGAUCAAGGGAGAGGGGAGCUAAUUUAGUUGAGUUUCCCUAUUAGUUUGUGAUCACAAUUGCGUGAUUGUAGGGGACGUGGGCUGGUACUUGGAAUAUUCCUCCGGUGGUGGAGUGCGGUCAGUCAUGUAUGCUAAGUGCACACCAUAGAGGUAUUAGAUUAAUGAUGGCUGUUAGAUUACGACUUGUGGGACUAAUUGUGUGGUGUUGAUUGGUUCGUAUAUUUUGUGGUACUAAUUAUUGGGUGCACAUAAGAAAGUUCUUGUUUGAUUGUUUAAUAGUAGUAGUGGAGAAAAAGUACUUGAUGGGUUAAUCAGAAAAAGAGAAAUAGGCUAGAAAUUACCACAAAAAUUAGAAACAUCCGUCUAUCAAUUUAAUAGAUCAAGUUUUCAUAACAAUUAGAUAUCAUUGUAAGUCAAAAAAUUACCCACCACUGCCACUAUAAUUAUAUGGAAAGAAAACGUUUUGCUACAUGUAGCCAAAGUUAGGACGUGGGAUGCAUCUAGGAAAAAGACGCGGCUGCUCUUAUAUGUAAAAAAAGGACAUCAAUGCUCAGUUAGAAGAAAAAAAAAAGAGUACAUGCGACGAUGCAUAAAGGGACAUGAGAUCCUCAGUUCAAGGAAAAGUGCGCACAGCUUGCUAUAUGCAUGCAUGCAUUUAGGUGGAACAAAAAACGUGCAUCUGUGUGCCCUUCGUAUGCCUGCAUGGCCUGCCAAAAAAGUGUGCACACAAGCCCUUGAUACUAUAUGCGCGUAUUUGGAGAUUUUAAAUGGUGGCGCACCAACUAAGAGCUCGCAUGGACACGGUGAAUUUCUGUUGCUCCGCAUCCAUGCCAAUAAAGCCUUUGUUUCGUACAAUGGAAUCGUCUUUUGUCAUCAAGUGAUGCUAGGGAAAGCCUCAAGAGUUGUUCCGGAGGGAGCCGUGGGACAUGUAGUCUGCUGCUGCAAUGCAUAGAAGCGGUGGAACAUGAAACACUACGGAGCACCAGAUCAGUAAUUAGUACAGCAAAGAACCAAGACAAGAAGAUGAAGCAAUUGACACGUCUGCACAGAUCAGCAAUUAGAGAGGUGGAGAGCCAGAUCCCACAGAGGACUCCAAAAGACUUUGUUUUCUGAGAUUGGCAAGGUUUAUGAAUUAUUAUUAUUUUUUUGUAAAUUUGCUUCAGCCAUCAUGUCACACACAUGUAUACACGAGAAUUAGAUGCCUCGAAGGCACAACUGAAGGUUUUCUGGUAACCUAACCUAGGAGAGAAGGGUGUGCCUGAUGCCUUUUUUAUAUCCACAAAAUAAAUUCCAUGGAUUGCCUUAGGAUCCCUGAGUCCAAUUCUGAUCGGGAGAGCUCUACCACCUCCACCGGUCUGGAGGGAAACGUGCCGGGGAGUAGGCGCCGAAGGACAGAAUUAGAGGUGGGCCGACACAGGCGACAAACCUUCCAAAAAUAUGAUCGUUCGGAGUUUCCAUAUGUUGAUGAACUUCGUGUGCCUCAGUGUGGUUUUGCCUGCUUUCAUCUGAGUCGUUUUGCUACCAGGCCGCGACUCUCCGGUUCCAACGCCGUUCCAUACAUGAGGACAAGCAGCCGAUAUCGUUGGCUUCUACAUCUAGAUGUUCAUCAUAGAGUGAUGAACUCAUUGAUUCGGGUAUAAUUCUGAUCGGAGUUUCAUCCACACUAAGAUCGAUUUUUUCUCUGGUAACAAAACCUUAGUUCCGCUUUCUUUGAAAAUCUAAAGGAUUUCUACUUGUCUUUUCCUUCUGUGAGCACACUAAUCCAAUUUGUUUUGUCAUCUUCUUCUCAUAAUCAUGCAUCUAAUUAGUUUUCCAUAUGUUUGGUGGUCUGUAAAGAUCCUAUUGCUCAAAGAUUGGUAAUAAAUAUGGUAAUAAUAUGUAUAGUAUAUGCCAUAAGUUUCAGCAUAAUUUUUACACACCACUAGUAGAAAAGGGGGCAAUGGUCCAGGCCGGGUCAGCCCAUUAGUCCUGGUUCAAUCCAGAACCGGGACCAAUGGGGGCAUUGGACCCGGUUCGUGAUCCCCGGGGGCCGGCCGGGCCACGUGGGCCAUUGGUCCCGGUUCGUCUGGACCUUUUGGUCCCGGUUGGAGGGACGAACCGGGACCAAUGUGCCAUGGUCCUGGCCCACCACCAUUGAUCCCGGUUGGUGGCCUGAAGCGGGACCAAAGGCUUCCCUUUAGUCCCGGUUCAAGCCACGAACCGGGACCAAUUAAUUCCCUAUAUAUACCUCUCGCCCGCGAGCAGAGCACUCUCACUGCUCUGUUUUUCGUGGCCGGCGAGGAGAGAGCUUUGUGGUGCUCUAGCUCACCUCCUAUGCACACGAGGUGUUCGAUGGAAUGCCCGAGGCACACUACUUAAGCUUUCUCCUCCCCAAGCUCGACCUCCAAGCUCCAUUUUCCUCAAUAUUUGUCUAGGUUUAGCGGUCCGUCACGUCCCGUCCCCGUAUUCACCGUCGUCGAUCGCCCGCGCCGAUCUCGUCGCCGGCACCACCGUGGUGAGCCUCUUGUUCUUAUCUUCUUUCUGAAAGGAAAAAAAUUCUUACUUGUAUGUUUAUAUAGAUACUUGUAUAAUUUUUUUAUUUUUAUUAUUGCAUCUUAUAUAGUGCGAUGGUUUUGGUAUCCGCCCCCGUCGGUCCUCGUCCUGUCUAUGAUUCGGAUGUGGUAUAUAUUAUCUUUUCAUAACUAUUGUUUCAUCUAUUGUUUAUGACAAUUAUGCCGACCAACGUGACAUAGAUUUUAUUUAUCUAGGAGGUUGUUGAACCGGAAAUUCCAACCGACCCUAUUGUCGAGAGGUUAAAUUUAGUUGAAGAAGAGGAGGAGAAGGUGAUAUUGGAGUUGCAUGUUGCGGAUGUCGUGGAUGAUCACAAGAUCAAGAUGGAUGCAAUGUGCUUGAAGAUUAGAAAGAUUAGAAAAUAUGCCAUUCAUACCGAGGCUUGGUAUCAUUAUGCCGUUGGAUCAGUUGUUACAUUGGUUGCGAUUAUGAUCGCAUUUGUUUUUGCAUUGAAAUGUUUUACAUAGUUUCAAUGUAUGGUUUAAUUAAUUUAGAUGCUCUGCAGAGCUUUAUGUUGUUAGAUGAGAACUAUGUAUGUACUUUGGUUUUAAUGUGAUGAUGAACUUCUAUUAAUUUGGUCACUUAAUUAUCUAUUCAUGAUGUUCUGUAAUGAUUUUUGACACACUUAAUUAUAUAUAAUGCACGCAGAUGAACCGGCAAUGGAUGUACGGUUCAAGACACACCUCCGAGGCAAACAAGCAGAAUGGUUUUAUGUGUUGUCCAUGCCCUAUAUGUGGGAAUACGAAGUCUUACUCUGACCGGAAAAUCCUGCACACCCACCUGCUUUACAAGGGUUUCAUGCCAUACUAUAAUGUUUGGACGAGGCACGGAGAAAUAGGGGUUAUGAUGGAAGACGGCGAAGAAGAAAAGUACGAUGACAACUAUGUGCCCCCUGAAUACGGUGAUGCUACUGAAGAUCAAGAGGAACCAGACGAUGUGCACGAUGAUGCUGCAACAGGCGAAGCUGCUGAAGAUCAAGAGGAACCAGACGAUGUGCCCGAUGAUGAUGAUCUCAGCCGGGUCAUUGUCGAUGCAAGGACGCAAUGCGAAAGUCAAAAGGAGAAGCUGAAGUUCGAUCGCAUGUUAGAGGACCACAAAAAAGGGUUGUACCCCAAUUGCGAAGAUGGCAACACAAAGCUCGUUACCGUACCGGAAUUGCUGCAGCGGAAGACAGAUAAUGUUGUGCCUGACGAAGGAUUUGAUAAGCUACUGAAAAUAUUGAAGAAGAGGCUUCCAAAGGAUAACGAAUUGCCCGACAGUACAUACGCAGCAAAGAAGGUCGUAUGCCCUCUAGGAUUGGAGGUGCAGAAGAUACAUGCAUGCCCUAAUGACUGCAUCCUCUACCGCGGUGCGUAUAAGGAUCUGAACGCAUGCCCGGUAUGCGGUGCAUUACGGUAUAAGAUCAGACGAGAUGACCCUGGUGAUGUUGAUGGCGAGCCCAACAGGAAGAGGGUUCCUUCGAAGGUGAUGUGGUAUGCUCCUAUAAUACCACGGUUGAAACGUCUGUUCAGAAACGGAGAGCAUGCCAAGUUGAUGCGGUGGCACAGUGAGGACCGUAAGAAAGACGGGAAGUUGAGAGCACCCGCUGAUGGGUCACAGUGGAGAAAAAUCGAGAGAAAGUACUGGGAUGAGUUUGCAAGUGACCCAAGGAACGUAUGGUUUGCUUUAAGUGCGGAUGGCAUUAAUCCUUUCGGGGAGCAGAGCAGCAAUCACAGCACCUGGCCCGUGACUCUAUGUAUGUAUAACCUUCCUCCUUGGAUGUGCAUGAAGAGGAAGUUCAUUAUGAUGCCAGUUCUCAUCCAAGGCCCUAAGCAACCCGGCAACGACAUUGAUGUGUACCUAAGUCCAUUAGUUGAAGAACUUUUACAGUUGUGGAAUGGAAACGGUGUACGUACGUGGGAUGAGCACAAACAGGAGGAAUUUCACCUAAAGGCGUUGCUGUUCGUGACCAUCAACGAUUGGCCCGCUCUCAGUAACCUUUCAGGACAGACAAACAAGGGAUACCACGCAUGCACGCACUGUUUACUUGACACCGACAGUAUAUACAUGGGAAGCUGCAGGAAGAAUGUGUACCUGGGCCAUCGUCGAUUUCUUCCGACCAACCAUCAAUGUCGAAAGAAAGGCAAGCAUUUCAAAGGCGAGGCAGAUCACCGGAGGAAGCCCGCCAUGCGUACCGGUGAUCACGUACUUGCUAUGGUCAAUGAUUUACAGGUAAUCUUUGGAAAGGGUCCCGGCGGACUAGUUGUUCCGAGUGAUGCUGGGGGACACGCACCUAUGUGGAAGAAGAAAUCUAUAUUUUGGGACCUACCCUACUGGAAAGACCUAGAGGUCCGCUCUUCGAUCGAUGUGAUGCACGUGACGAAGAACCUUUGCGUGAACCUGCUAGGCUUCUUGGGCGUGUAUGGGAAGACAAAAGAUACAGCAUGCCUCCAAAGCAGUAUGAAGGUCCUGUCAGCUAUGCUCUUACCAAAGAAGAGAAGGAAAUCUUCUUUGAAUGCCUGCUUAGUAUGAAGGUCCCGACUGGCUUCUCGUCGAAUAUAAAAGGAAUAAUAAAUAUGUCAGAGAAAAAGUUUCAGAACCUAAAGUCUCAUGACUGCCAGGUGAUUAUGACGCAACUGCUUCCGGUUGCAUUGAGGGGGCUUCUACCGGAAAACGUCCGAUUAGCCAUUGUGAAGCUAUGUGCAUUCCUCAAUGCAAUCUCUCAAAAGGUGAUUGAUCCAGAAAUCAUACCAAGGCUAAGGAGUGAUGUGGUGCAAUGUCUUGUCAGUUUCGAGCUGGUGUUCCCACCAUCCUUCUUCAAUAUCAUGACGCACGUCCUAGUUCAUCUAGUUGACGAGAUUGUCAUUCUGGGGCCCGUAUUUCUACACAAUAUGUACCCCUUUGAGAGGUUCAUGGGAGUCCUAAAGAAAUAUGUCCGUAACCGCGCUAGGCCAGAAGGAAGCAUCUCCAUGGGCGAUCAAACAGAGGAUGUCAUCGGGUUUUGUGUUGACUUCAUUCUUGGCCUUAAGAAGAUAGGUCUCCCUCAAUCGCGGUAUGAGGGGAGACUGACUGGAAAAGGCACGCUUGGAAGGGACUCAAUAAUAUGCAGGGACGGAUAUUCUUGGUCUCAAGCACGCUACAGAGAUCUACAGAACUCUACCUUGGUGACCCCGUAUGUCGAUGAACACAAGAACAGUCUGCGCUCCAAACACCCGGAGCAGUGCGACGAAUGGAUUACAUGUGAACACAUCGGGACUUUCAGUAGUUGGUUGGAAGCACGUCUCAGAGGUGACAACACUGUUUGUGAUGAGUUGUACUUGUUGUCGAGGGGACCAUCUUUGACUGUUACGAUUUGAAAAGGGUACGAGAUAAAUGGAAAUACAUUUUACACGAUUGACCAAGAUCAAAAGAGCACCAACCAAAACAGCGGUGUCCUCUUUGAUGCAACAACCGAGAGGGGAAAGGACACAUAUUAUGGUUACAUAGUGGACAUAUGGGAACUUGACUACGGACAUGAUUUUAAGGUCCCUUUGUUUAAGUGCAAAUGGGUCAAUCUGUCAGGAGGCGGGGUACAGGUAGACCCAUAGUACGGAAUGACAACAGUGGAUCUGAAAAAUCUUAGGUACACUGACGAACCGUUCGUCCUAGCCAAUGAUGUGGCACAGGUUAUCUAUGUGAAGGACAUGUCUACCAGACCGAGAAAAAGAAAAGAUAAGGAAGCGAAUACAUCAUACGAUGAGGCAAAGCGCCACAUAGUUCUUUCAGGAAAAAUGGACAUCGUGGGAGUGGAUGGCAAGACAGACAUAUCUGAAGAUUAUGAAAAGUUUCAUGAAAUUCCUCCCUUGAAAGUCAAGGCUGACCCCAGCAUCCUGAUAAGCGAUGAAGAUUAUCCAUGGUUACGGCGCAAUAAGCAAAUGACACAAGCGAAGAAAAAGUGAAGACUUUCUCCCAUAACUAUUAUGAUGAUACCAUGCCAACUUUGUAACACACGAGUAUGAUACCAUUGUCCGUUUUGUACAUGCACAUGCUAUGCGGGUGAAUUUAUGAUACCAUGCCAACUUUCAACUUUUUCAUAGUUCAUUUGAAAUGCUUUAAUGUCUUAUGGUUCGGCCCUCGUAAUAAUUAAAAAUAGCAACAAUAAAUAUUUUGUUGUAAGUAGAAACAAAAUAAAAUAAAUAAAGCAAGAAAGAAAACAAAAAACAAAAAAAAUGUUUUCAAAUUUGAAAAAUAAUGGCACUAACAGAAAGUUUAUAAUUUUUCUAAAACUAAAAGCAAAAAGAAUUAAAAAAUAAAGCANNNNNNNNNNNNNNNNNNNNNNNNNNNNNNNNNNNNNNNNNNNNNNNNNNNNNNNNNNNNNNNNNNNNNNNNNNNNNNNNNNNNNNNNNNNNNNNNNNNNNNNNNNNNNNNNNNNNNNNNNNNNNNNNNNNNNNNNNNNNNNNNNNNNNNNNNNNNNNNNNNNNNNNNNNNNNNNNNNNNNNNNNNNNNNNNNNNNNNNNNNNNNNNNNNNNNNNNNNNNNNNNNNNNNNNNNNNNNNNNNNNNNNNNNNNNNNNNNNNNNNNNNNNNNNNNNNNNNNNNNNNNNNNNNNNNNNNNNNNNNNNNNNNNNNNNNNNNNNNNNNNNNNNNNNNNNNNNNNNNNNNNNNNNNNNNNNNNNNNNNNNNNNNNNNNNNNNNNNNNNNNNNNNNNNNNNNNNNNNNNNNNNNNNNNNNNNNNNNNNNNNNNNNNNNNNNNNNNNNNNNNNNNNNNNNNNNNNNNNNNNNNNNNNNNNNNNNNNNNNNNNNAAAAGCAAAAAGAAUUAAAGCAAAAAACAAAACAAAAUAAAUAAUGCAGAAAACAAAACAAAAAAAUAGAAAAUAAUUAAAAAUAGCAACAAUAAAUAUUUUGUUGUAAGUAGAAACAAAAUAAAAUAAAUAAAGCAAGAAAGAAAACAAAAAAAAUGCCUCCUACUAGGCCCCACGGCCUGAAUACGACUAGAAACCCUACCAUGGGCCAGGAUUCAGGCCCGUAGUAGGCCCAGGAGGCCCAUCAGGCAAAGCAGUACCAAAUAGGCCCGCAAGCCUACGGUGGAGAGGAGCUCGAGAGGGGUGCGACAGUGGGGCUUAUAAACCACUGCGCGCCCCUCUCAACGAGCGAGGUGGGACUAAACUUUGGCCCCGACGCUGACAGCACAGGGUCCUUUGGUACCGGUUCGUGGCACCAACCGGUACCAAUGCCCACCCUUUAGUCCCGGUUGGUGCCUCCAACCGGGACCAAAGGUCGCCGCUUCCCGCCCGUUAGGCUGUUGAAAAGAGGCCUUUGGUCCUGGUUGGUGGUACCAACCGGGACUAAAGGGGGCAUUAGUCCCGGUUGGAGUCACGAACCGGGACUAAAGGGGGCUAUCUUGCCCACCAUGGCGCAUCCGCACUCCGCUUGGCGGCCGCCCACGACCUUCGGCUUGACGCCGAAGAUCUUUAGCCAUAGGCCAAAGUGAGGCUGGAUGCAGAGGAAGGCCUCGCACACGACGAUGAACAUCGAGAUGUUGAGGAUGAAGUUCGCGGCCAGAUCGUGGAAGUCCAGGCCGUAAUAGAACAUGAGCCCCCGGAUGAAUGGGUGAAGAGGAAAGCCCAGUCCGCGGAGGAAAUGGGGGAGAAAUACAACCCUCUCAUGGGGCCUAGAGGUGGGGAUGAGUUGCCCCUCAUCUGGAAGCCGGUGCGCAAUGUCGUCAUACAAGUAUCCGGCCUUCCUCAACUUUUUGAUUUGUCCCUCCGUGGCGGAGGAGGCCAUCCAUCUACCUCCCGCUCUGGACAUGAUUGGAGAAGGUUGGGGUAGGAAGUGCGGACUUGGGCGCUGGAGCUUGAGUGCGCAGAGAUGGAUAAGCAAAGGAGGAAGAGGGCGUAAAUCGAAAGGGUAGAUCCUUAUCCCCUUAUAUGGGCGGCCAAAACUACCAGCUCCCACCAGCCUAAUAAAACUCGCUUAUCUCCCAAGCACCGCGGUUAAUGGCGCGGUGGGGUUACCCACGCCCAUAUUGAUGAGAAUCCCGGAAUAAGGGGACACGAUCUCUGCUUUGACAAAACGUGCCAAGGAAACCGCCUCGCUAAACGCGCUGAGGUGGAACAGUAAAAUGAUUCGAAUAAAGGCUUGGCCGUGGCAUCAUGUCACGCUGCGGAAUACGUCAGCAGAUUGGAUUUGUGCAAAUGUUAUUCUCUCUACGGUGGUAUGUGGAACUUAUUUUGCAAAGCCGGACACUAUCCUUGUGUUCAACAUCUUCUAUGAAGUAUUUGGAUGAGGAACCCUCCUUGCAAUGACGAAGACAAACUUGCACACCGGACUCAUCGUCAUUGAAGUCUGGUUCAGGGGCUACUGAGGGAGUCCUGGACUAGGGGGUGUCCGGAUGGUCAGACUAUGACCUUUGGCCGGUCUCCCGGACUAUGAAGAUACAACAUUGAAGACUCUGUCCCAUGUCCGGAUAGGACUUUCCUUGGCAUGGAAGGCAAGCUUGGUGAUAUGAUAUGAAGAUCUCCUCCCAUUGUAACCGACUCUGUGUAACCCUAGCCCUCUCCGGUGUCUAUAUAAACCGGAGAGUUUUAGUCCGUACGACGAACAACAAUCAUACCAUAGGCUAGCUUCUAGGGUUUAGCCUCUCGGAUCUCGUGGUAGAUCAACUCUUGUACUACCCAUAUCAUCAAUAUUAAUCAAGCAGGAGUAGGGUUUUACCUCCAUUGAGAGGGACCGAAGCUGGGUAAAAACAUCGUGUCCCUUGUCUCCUGUUACCAUCCGCCUAGACGCACAGUUCGGGACCCCUACCUGAGAUCCGACGGUUUUGACACCGACAGUGACCCAGGGUCAUUUCAGACAAAUCCGGUCGGGUUGCAAAGUGGCUAUAAAUAGCCCACCCACUACACCAUAAAUUGGUGGCUGUUCAGAGUUAGUACACGGCUUUUGUCGUUUGAGAGCAACCCACCACCGAAGCUUUCGAGAGAGAAUCCUUGCAAGGACAAAGCCCAAACCACCCAGAGCCCAAAGAGUGUUUGGCAUCACUGAAGUCUUUCUGUCCGCGUGAUCUGAAGACUUGUUACACUUGAGCACUGUGAAUCCUCCAGCCGGUUAGGCAUCCCGUUCUAAGCAUCCAAGAGCCAUUGUGGAUUGCCGGUGAACGAAGUCUGUGAAGGUUCAGAAGUCUACCUUGAAGACUUACUAGAGUGAUUGGGCGGGGACUAAGUGUCCUUAGCUCAAAGGGAAUAAGGUGAAGACGCGGUCUUCUAAGUUGAAUCUCAGCCUCCCUAACCAGACGUACAGUUGUCACAGCAGCUGGAACUGGUCGAACAAAUCCCUGUCCUUCUGAAGCCACUGGUUCUAUCUCUUACUUCUCUUUACUUACAGUUUGUCUUCGUGAAGUAAUUGCUUGCUUGCAUUAUCUGUUUGACUUCACUGUGUGGCUACUUGUUCUGAUUGGCUUCAUACUAUCUUCCAUCAUGAUCUUACUACCUGGCUGCUAUUAGUCUUCGUGCUUUCACUUCAUUGAAUAUUUGACUAUGGCUUGUCUAGUGUAGUCUACCUUCCGCUGCAAUCGAAUAGUGUGCUUAUAUUGUUUGUCUUUGAAACUCUCAUGUUUUGAGGACUUUCCUAAAAAUCGCCUAUUCACCCCCCCCCCCUCUAGUCGAUAACUAGCCCUUUCAGUUCCGCGACACCAAACGGGCGCUCGGCAUACCCGGCCACGUGCCUUCCGCAUCACAGCCCACCCCUAGGGUCAGCGCUGCGCAUGGACUCCAACAUACUACAAACACCAGAAACUACUUGCAACUCCUGGACAGAGGAUAAGGGUGAUUAAGAAGCCGAGAGGGUUAAUUAAGGAUCCCAAUGAGUGGUAGUAGCUGUUCAUGGAUCACAAACACAGAACUCAGUUCCUGAGGACGGCUUCAAUGAGACAACCCACCAUGUACUCCUACAUGGCCUCUCACCGCUACCAUUACCAAAUAGUGUUUACACACUUAGCUCACACAUAGUAGGGCAUGUUUACACAGCUCCGAUCCAUCCCCGAUGAAUCAUACCUCAGUCAACUCUAAGCAGUAGCAGGCAUGACAAACAAGCAUGAAUGAGUCGGCACAUCAGGGCUCAAACAACUCCUACUCAUGAUAGUGGGUUUCAUCUAUUUACCGUGGCAAUGACAUGUCAUGCAGAGGAUAAGGGCUUCAACUACCGCAGCAAGUAGCAGAUGAAUCGUUGUUGUCCUAAUGUAGUAAAAGAGAGCAGAAGCGAGAGAGUGGGAUUGAUCGGAAUGAACAAGGGGUUUUUGCUUUCCUGGCACUUCUGAAGAUAGUAUAGCUCUUCAUCGGUGUCAUCGAACUCAUCAUCGGAACACGUCUACUGAGGGGGGACAAAUACCGGCAAAUAAGGAAGAACACAAUCAAUGCAAUGAACAAUAUGAUGCAUGAUCAUGACAUGGUAAUAUGAGUGUGUUGGCCUAAUGCAACUACAACCAGAUGGGUUUGGGCCAUUUUUCUGAUCAUUUUUCAUAUAUAACUUAUUUCAUUUGGAGUUACGGUUUAAUUUCUAUGAAUUUUAGAAGUUUUGGAUAUUUUCUGAAAUAAAUAAACGAUUUAAGAUUUAAUUAAAUUCCAGACGAAUUACUGCAUUAGCAUGACGUCACUGUGAUGUCAGCGGUUAACAGGGCCGAUCCAGGUCAAACUUACCAGUGGGUCCCGUGUGUCAGUGACUAACUAAACUAACCUAGUUUAAUUAGUACUAACCUAGGUUAAACUAAUUAAGUUUAAACCUAAACUAGAUUAAUUAGCCGGGCGGGGCACUCAUGUCAUAGACCCAGGGAGGUCAAAUCCCCUGGUCAACCAGGGCUAAACCACCGGCGGUCAAAGCGGUCAACAUGCCGGCGUUUAGCCGCCUGCGAGGCCGGACACGGUGGAGCGCGUUGGGUGCAUGUCCGGGACAAAAUGGUCACCGGAGCGUCACAGGUGACGAGCACGGGUGACGGCGCGUGUGGGUGUGCUCGGCGCGGUCUCUUUGGCGCGCGGCAGCGAGAACGGAGAGGGAGAGGAGAGGCAGAAACUCACAGCGGUCACGGUGAGCUAGGCAGCGGGGUCGGGGACGAACUAGAGCAAGCGGGGCAGCGAAGGCGAUCUCGGAGGACCGAGGUUAAAGAAGAUGGCGUGGUUGGCGAUUCGGGGCUUCCGGCGUUGCUUGGAACGGUGCAGAAGGCGUAGGAGACGGUGGCGGGGCUCGUGGACAGGUCAGUGAGGCCAGGGGGAGGCAGUGGCCAUGGUGAACGGCGACGAUGGCGACGAGCUCCGCUCGGUGGUGCGCGCAAGAGGGGAACAGAGGAGGGGUUUGGGUCCAGGGGGAGAGAGGAGUGUGCAGGGGGGCGAGGGGAAGUGCGUGGCACUCGGGGCUGGCUCUAGAAGCGUCGGAAGCAGGAGGUGGCUCGGGCGCGUGCGAGCGCACGGUGGCCACAUGCCCUCACCUACUGACGCGUGGAGGAAGGCGACAGGGAGCCCAUGUGGGCUGCGCCAGCCAUAUGGGCGCCAGGUAAGUUUCCAGAUGAGCGCCAGGUAAGUUUCUUCUCUCUCUCUCUCUCUCUCUCUCUCUCUCUCUCUCUCUCUCUCUUUCCUUUUCUUUUCUAUUUCUGUUAUUUUGUUUUGAUUUAGUUUGGAAAUUAAACCAUUUUAAAACUUUCUGUAAAUUUUUAUGUGAGCUCAGAGAGCUAGUCCAAGGUCACAUGCAAACUUACAAAAUAUUUGAACAUUAUUUCUUAUAUAGCAGAAAUAAUUCCAACCCAAAUACAUUAUUGAUUUAAAUCAAAGACCCAAAUAAAUUAUUUCUGUGACUCCAAAAAUAUUGGUUUGAAUUUUACCUCAUGCCAAUAUUUUCACAGAAUAAUAGGAACAUUUUCUUGGACUCAUUUGAUGAGAUUUAAAUGUUGGUUAUUUUUAGAGGUUUUACUGAGGCUUUUGAAAAUUCCUCAAUUCAAGUUUCAUUUGAAUUUAAACAUGAUGCUCACAUGGAAACUAGCAUAGGUCAGACCAGAAUUAGGGACUUGACACGGACUCUCAUGAAUCUGUUGCUUCAAAAUAAAGUGAGGAUCUAGAUGAGCUAAGGGGUGUGAAAAUCUUACUUUCCGGGUUACUCUUCGUAUUUUUUGUCUUGGCAAAAGCUCGGAGUCGGAGGAAAUAAUAGUUACCUCUUCUUCAACUCCCUGACUUGUUCCCGUGUCAUCCUGAUGAUAGUCCAUGUCAUUAAUAUGGUUCAAAAAAGAGCCAAGAGUGUCAAGGGCUACCUCCGACUCAGAGGAGUCCUCUAGGCGAAGCAAUUCAGAAGCGCUACGCUGUUUUCCUCUUUUCUUGGCGGCGGCUCUCCUUGCGGCUUUCUUGGCCUUCCUGGCUCUAUUUGCAGCCUCAUGGUCAUAUUCUUUCUUCCAAAACUCAUCAUCACCCUGUGAAAAUCAGCAAAGAUUUGAGUUAAGACAAAAUGUCAAAGAUAAAGGUAAAUUAACUAAGUUUGGCGGCUUACCCUUGGAGCGGGGUUAGCUUUGCAGAAAGGGCUUAGGCCCACCUUGCCAUAGUCUGCUAGGCUUUCAUUCAGAAGCGACUUUGUCAUAUCAUUAAUAAGGUCUUCAGGUAACUCAUCGGGGCUGUGGCACUGAGGAUCCUUUGUGUCACCUGUGUAAGUGCACAUUAACCCGGAGCGGCGGCUCAACCGGAUGAUCCGCCAUGCAACCGAGCACUGGACCAACUCAAUGCCAUUUAAGCCGUUCCCCAAAAGAGCCUUGACUUUAGCAAUGGUAGGGGCGAGCUUCGGGCGACCAGCAGCUGAAAACUUGUCUGGAAGAGGAUGAUUGGACUCGAGGCGCAGGGAGCGAAAGCCGGCCAGAGGGUUCUCAUCAGCCGGAGAAGUAUCUUGGUGUCGGUGUACUAGAGUAGGGGUACCGUAGUAUCCCGAACUCGUGCACGGGCAGUAGCAGCACCCCGCGACAAGGCUUGCCGGGUGACCGCCAAGGUCCUCCGUGGUUCCUUUGGAGCCAUUCAAGAACAAAGUAUUCAAGCCAAGGAGACAAGGCCCCGGCGAGAGGAGCUUGCUGGGAAGGCCAACCAAGGCAUCUCAAGGAACUUGCCAUGAAGCGCCACGCGUCCCGGCAAGGCCCGGUGAGCGACAAGCUUCCGGACGCGACAAGACAACGACCGCGGCAAGAUGCUUGCCGUGGCAAACUACCACUCAGUACCCGCGCUCCAGCACAUCCACCAACGUGUCGCCCUGAGGCCUUUCCAGACGCGCGUGGCGAGAGGCUGUGCAGCCAGCGAUGCGCGGUGGCAAGCGAUGCUGACAAGACUGCCAUCAUGGCGAGCGGUGGCGUCCCUGACGGUCCUUUUUGCACAAUUUGGGCGACGCAGACGGGCAUUUAAUGCCUUUGUCCCCUGCCGUCAGGGUUAGGUAGGAUACACUGUAUAGGUGGUUGUACCAACCGCAACUCCUUUUCCAUUUUUGCCCUUGUCUACGUUGCCACCUGUCGGAGACCCCUUGAGCAUAUAAAAGGAGGCCCAUGCGCAACGUAGAGGAAGGUUCGUUCCCAGAAAAACACUCACGCUCGGUCUCGUUAGCAGCUGGAGUGUAUUGUAGCACUCAGCGCUCCCGAGCAAGAACUCAAUACAAUCAGACAAGCAACAAUAGGAGUAUUACCUCUCCGGAGAGCUCUGAAGCUGGGUAAAUCUGCUCGUGUGCUUCCCCUCGAUCCGCUCUUCGUGCGACCUCCGCCCCCCGCCGAACCGAAAGGGGCUCGGUCCGCCGGUCCCAUAGGUGUUCGUGGAUCAGCUUCCCCGACAUCUUUCGCGUGCCAGGUAGGGGGCGUCGAGGUUGUGUGAACCUGAUCUGGCAUUCAAACGAGCUUGAUCUUCAUCUUCUUCAUCGACAUGCCACCGAAGAAGAAGACUUCGGCGGCAGCACUUCCGUCUACGUCGAUCCCACCACCAUCGAAGCAAACGAGUGGUGGGGUAGACGCCGGCGGAAGAACGGGCCUCGACGAGGGAGCUCAUGGUGCUGCCAGGUCCAAGGACAAGGCUACGCAGACCUCGGCGUCCGUACAUGCACCGCGCCCACCUUAGGAGGCGCAGGAUCGACAGCGUCAUGGUAUUUGCUGUGCCAUACGUUUGUUGGACCAAGAUCGAGCUGGUGGAUCUCGGGGUGCUCAAGACCAGCAUGCAUGCCAACGUCCUGGCACGAGCGAGACACGGUCGCCUGGACGGGAUACUGCUCCUUCUAACGUAGUUAGAAGUCCGAGCAUAUCCUGCUCCUCGCACCGUUCGCCACUGCCACCCACCACUCCAGCAGAAGCUUUGGCGCGAGCUCAACUGCUCCUGGAUUACCCUCCAACGGAAGACAAGUUCGAUCAAUGGAGGGCCACCAUUGAGAGUCUCAUCAGCUUCGCCAACGGCGACACUCCGCGGCAGCCGAGUGCGUCGCUGCCGCAGCAGGACUGCCAUGCACGAGCCGGUGGCGACGAAACCGGUGGGGGUGCAACCACCAUGCACUCUCCACCCCGAAGGCCAAGAUCGCCGACUCGCCGGAUCCACCUCGACAGCGACUCCACCGCAUCAUCAGAUCCACGAGCUCGUCGCGAUCAGCGCCAAGUUCUUCACGAACCACAGCAAGAAGACGCUCGUACUCGCAUCGAGCACCGAAGAGAAGCGCGGCGUCAAUUAGACCAGCACGCUGGGCCCUCUGUCGACAUGCAUGCGCCAGGGGAACCAGGCGACUUGCCGUACGCGGUAGGUUGCCCUGCGUUCACUCAUGAGCUGCGGCAAGUCCAGUGGCCCAGCACGAAGAAUUUCAAGCUAGACGUGCCAGAGAAGUACGACGGCAAGUCACAUCCGUCGGAGUUCCUCAGCAUCUACACCAUCGCGGUGCAAGCUGCCGGGGGGCGGGACAACAAGAUCCUGGCCAACUACUUCCCGCUGGUGCUCAGGCCUAAUGUCAGAUCCUGGCUCAUGCACUUGCCGGACAACUCCAUAUCCUCCUGGGCAGACCUAUGCCAUCAGUUUGUCGGCGCCUUUACGGGCAGCCACAAGCCUCAUGGCCAAGAGAGUGACCUUCAUCUGCUUGCCCAGAAGGAAGGAGAGCCCCUGCGCAAAUACAUUCAGAGAUUCAGCCGUGUACAGCACAACAUCCCAGAUGUCCACCCUGCCGCGGUAAUCAGCGCGUUCCAUCAGAAUGUGCGAAACCGCAGGAUGCGGGAGGAGAUGACGAUGUGCAAGAUCAGAGACGUCAGUGAGCAAUAUGCCCUGGCCGAAAAGUGUGCACGUGCUGAGGAAGAUAGGAAACUCCCCGGAGAAAGUAUAGGAGCAGGAGGAUCUGAUAGUGAGGAGGCUGCCCCGGCAAAGAAAAACCGGCGGCGGAACAACAAGAAGAAGAAAGGCAAAGAUGUGCUAGUCGUUGAGCAGUCCGGCAAUGGAGGUGGCGCCAAGAAAGCCAAAGCUGGUGGCUCCGGCGAGGAGGCUGUGGCGGUCGCCGACAAGCAGGACGGCACCAACAAGCAGUACUGCAAGAUCCAUCGCACCAAGGGCCAUGACCUCCACAGCUGCAAGAAGGUCGAGCAGCUUGUCGAGCAGCAAAAGGAUGAAUACGAGCGACGUGACAAGGAGAAAGCCCAGGAAGGUGCUGGAGGAGCCGGCAAGAAACGUCCCGGCCGAGGAGGGCGCCGCGGCAAGGCCAAGCAGCGGCAAGGAGACAGACCUCCCCGUGGCCGCGACAAGGAUGAAGAUGACGACGACGAUGAAGAUAUGGAUGAUGACGAGACCGAUGAGCAGGAGUUCCAGAAAGCCACAGAGGUCCUGUGCGUUGACGGCGGUGCUUCUCUGCAUACUUCACACCGCCAGCUCAAGCAGUGGGUGCGGGAAGUUAAUGCGGCAGAACCACCCGUCGAGUCACGCAGGCCUCUGAAAUGGUCCAGCAUGCCUAUCAUCUUGGAUAUUGAGGACCACCCUGAUCACAUAACUGCGGUCGGGUGCUUGCCGAUGUUGGUUUCACCAACUAUCCGCAACCUCAAGGUCACUAAGAUGCUAGUUGACGGCGGGGCCGGCUAUAACCUGAUCUCCUCCGCGGUACUCCAGAAACUCCAGAUCCCUGAUGGCGAGCUCGAAGAGACCGGCACGUUCCAAGGAAUCAAUCCGGGAAGGAGCAAGCCGAAGGCAAAGAUCACGUUGCCGGUGACAUUUGGCAGCGAGUUGAACUUCAGGACUGAGAGGGUCACUUUUGACGUUGCUGACUUUCCAUUGCCUUACAAUGGGAUACUCGGCCGUCCAGCACUCGCCAAAUUCAUGGCAGCCUCUCACUAUGCAUACAACAUACUGAAGAUGCCAGGCCCGAUAAGUGUCAUCUCUAUCCCUGGCGACAAGAAGGAUGCUCUUAUCUGCGCCGACAAGAUCUACCGGGAAGCGGCAGCCGCAAUAGAUCGCAAGUCACUUGCCAUUGAAGCUCCCGGGGCGAAGAAGAAGACCAAGUCCGGCAAGAGUUCUGAUGCCCACUCCGGCAAGCGCACCUCUUCGGAGUGCUGCGCUAUCGUCAAGGACGCACCAUCGAGCUCCACCGGCAAGUGUAAGAAAACAAUGGUAGCUCCACCUGAAACCAAGAAGGUGUCUGCCAAGGAGGAUGGCACUGGUGGUACCUUCACCAUCAGUGCCACUCUCGAGCCUAAAUAGGAAAGCGCGCUCGUUGCUUUCCUGCGGGCGAACGUCGACGUAUUUGCUUGGCAACCGUCUGACAUCCCCGGUGUUCCUAGGAAAGUAUCGAGCACCAUCGUGCCAUCUAUCCUCAUGCGCGGCCCGUCAAGCAGAAAGUCAGGAAAUAGGCAGUGGAGCGCAAGAAUUCAUCACAGAAGAAAUCAAGAAAUUGGAAGCAGCAGGCCUCGUCAGAGGAGUGCUCCAUCCUACGUGGUUGGCCAACCCUGUAGUUGUGCGCAAGCCAAAAGGGAAAUGGAGGCUUUGUAUCGACUUUACCGAUGUCAAUAAAGCUUGUCCCAAAGACCCAUUUCCCUUGCCGCGCAUCGACCAGAUUGUUGACUCCACGGCCGGAUGUGACUUGCUUUCAUUUCUUGAUGCAUACUCAGGAUACCAUCAGAUCUUCAUGGCAGAAGAGGAUGAGGACAAGACCGCAUUCAUCACUCCAUGUGGCACUUACUGUUUUGUACGGAUGCCUUUCGGUUUAAAGAAUGCUGGUUCAACAUUUGCAAGGGUAGUCCAUGACGCUUUUGAGCCACAAAUACACAGAAAUGUGGAAGCCUACAUGGAUGACAUAGUGGUCAAGAGCAAGGACAAGGCGACUCUGAUUCAAGAUUUAGACGAAACCUUUGCAAAUCUGCGCAAGAUCAACCUCAAGCUUAACCCCAAGAAGUGCGUGUUUGGAGUCCCCUCCGGCAAGCUUCUCGGGUUCUUCGUGUCUCAGUGGGGAAUUGAAGCCAAUCCCGACAAGAUCAAGGCCAUUGAGCAGAUUGAAGCUCCAAAGCGCGUCAAGGAUGUACGAAGAAUUGCCGGUUGCAUAGCUGCUCUCAACAGGUUUAUCUCUAGGUCUGCUGAGCGCGCCCUGCCAUUUUUCAAAAUAUUGAAAAAGGCAGGUCCAAUGAAAUGGACUCCGGAAGCGAAGGCUGUGCUGCAGGACUUGAAGAAAUACCUGUCCUCCACUCCAACACUUGUCGCACCUAAGCCACAAGAGAAGUUGCUGCUGUAUAUAGCGGCAACCAAUCAAGUGGUUAGUGCUGCGUUAGUAGUGCAGAGGGAGGCGGAUGAUGAGCCAGCAACCACGGCAGAUGGGUCCAGCGACAAGCAGGGGACUUCACCGACAAGCUCUGGUCCCGACAAAGAUGGAUCUGCGCAGGCGCGUGAGAAGAUGCAGAAAAGAAUGAUGCAGCGCCCAGUUUACUUUGUCAGUUCCCUUUUGCAGGGGGCUAGGUCAAGGUACUCUGGUGUGCAGAAAUUGCUUUUCGGCCUUCUCAUGGCCUCGAGAAAGUUGUGCCAUUACUUCCAAGCACAUGAGAUCACAGUCGUCACUCGUUUUCCGCUGAAGAGGAUACUGCAAAAUCCAUAAGCAACAGGCAGGAUUGUCGAGUGGGCACUGGAACUAUCAAGCUUUGGCCUCAAGUUUGAGAGCACUUCAACUAUUCAAAGCAGAGCAUUGGCAGAGUUCAUAGCAGAGUGGACGCCAACACAAGAUGAAGAAGUUCCAGAAACGAGCAUCCCCGUCAAGGAAGAAAGCAAAGAGUGGCUGAUGUACUUUGAUGGUGCCUUCUCGCUGCAUGGCGCCGGUGCGGGCGUGCUACUUGUUGCACCCACCGGAGAGCACCUCAAGUACGUAGUCCAGAUGCACUUUCCCAAGGAGCAAGCAACGAACAAUACUGCAGAGUAUGAAGGUUUGCUUGCCGGUCUCAAGAUCACAGCAGACCUCGGGAUCAAGAAGCUCAUUGUCAGGGGUGACUCACAGCUUGUCGUCCGCCAAGUGAACAAGAAAUAUCAGGGUCCGUUGAUGGAAGCUUACGUUGACAAAGUGAGAAAGCUAGAAGAGCACUUUGACGGCCUACAGAUGGAACAUAUUCCAAGAGCUCAGAACGACAUUGCCGAUGGCCUGUCAAAGUGCGCCGCACUUAAGUUACCUGUGGAACCAGGGAUCUUUGUGCUCAAGCUGACUCAACUGUCCGUAACACCAUCAACUGGACAGAGCAAGAAGAGGAAGUUGAUUUCUGGUGACUAUUUUCUGACAGGUGGUGGGGAAGCUGAUCCACGAACACCUAUGAGACCGGCGGACCGAGCCCCUUUCGGUUCGGCGGGGGGCGGAGGUCGCACGAAGAGCGGAUCGAGGCGAAGCACACCAGCAGAUUUACCCAGCUUCGGAGCUCUCCGGAGAGAUAAUACUCCUACUAAUGCUUGUCUGAUUGUAUUGAAUUCUUGCUCGGGAGCGCUGAGUGCUACAGUACACUCCAGCUGCUAACGAGACCGAGCGUGAGUGUUUUUCUGGGAACGAACCUUCCUCUACGUUGCGCAUGGGCCUCCUUUUAUAUGCUCAAGGGGUCUCUGACAGGUGGCAACAUAGACAAGGGCAAAAAUGGAAAAGGAGUUGCGGUUGGUACAACCACCUGUACAGUGUAUCCUACCUAACCCUGACGGCAGGGGACAAAGGCAUUAAAUGCCCGUCUGCGUCGCCCAAAUAGUGCAAAAAGGACCAUCAGGGACGCCACCGCUCGCCACGAUGGCAGUCUUCUCAGCGUCGCUUGCCACCGCGCACCGCUGGCUGCACCGCCUCUCGCCACGCGCGUCUGGAAAGGCCUCAGGGCGACACGUUGGUGGAUGUGCUGGAGUGCGGGUACUGAGUGGUAGUUUGCUGCGGCAAGCGCCUUGCCGCGGUCGUUGUCUUGUCACGUCCGGAAGCUUGUCGCUCACCGGGCCUUGCCGGGACGCGUGGCGCUUCGCGGCAAGUUCCUUGAGAUGCCUUGGUUGGCCUUCCCAGCAAGCUCCUCUCGCCGGGGCCUUGUCUCCUAGGCUUGAAUACUUUGUUCUUGAAUGGCUCCAAAGGAACCACGGAGGACCUUGGCGGUCACCCGGCAAGCCUUGCCGCGGGGUGCUGCUACUGCCCGUGCACGAGUUCGGGAUACUAGGGUACCCCUACUCUAGUACACCGACAGGAGAAAGGAGAAGAUAAUGGUGCGGACUAGGCAUCGUUCAAGGAAGUCUCGCCUAACCGGAAACCAAACGACAAAAAAGCUAAGUUGCCAAAGUUUGAGCAAUCAGUUUUAAAUUUUUAAGUUAUCUUCCUCGAAUGACCGUACUUUGUAUGGAAAACCUGUGCGCGGAUGAACCAACUCGUAGCUAGUUGCGCCCUUACUUUGUUUCGAGUCCGCUCAACAACUUAAGUGAGUUGCGGCUAGUUGCGACAAGGUUUCUUGUCGGUAGCGGCACCGCCAACAGGCUGCUGAUGUCCCGCACUCAGCGCUCGCGGCUAAGGUUCCUGCGCCGACAAGUUCCCUAAAAGCAUAGGGCAAAAACAUACAAAGGAAGGAAUCAAGUAAAGGAAAUAACACAGCAAUCUCUACCCAAAAUAGAGUUAUAUUACAAGAUAGCUUGUUGCAGCUCUAACAGAUUAUUCUUAUAACAUGACCAGCAGCGACAAGAAAAAGAGAAAACGGGCGGCCUAAUCUACGCGAUCGCCCUCAACCCUCUUGAUCUCGCUCACCUUGUCCACAAUGGGUGCGACAAGGGCCUUGAGCGCUUCCAGAUCAGCAUCCGGCGGCAGGGACCUGAGGACGUUGGUGAGGUUGAGGCCUAGGUUGCGGAAGGCCACCUUCACCAACACCUUUUGAAGAACUCCCACGCAGAUCUUGCGCGACUCGUCGGCCAGCUGCUUUGGGAUUUUCUCCCGGAGUCGCUGGAGGGCCGUCGCCACGCCUUUGAAGAACAAGCUGAGCUUGGCGCUGGGUUGGAGGUGCUCGUCGGAAGAAUACCUGAGGUCCUCCAUUCCCAGCUGCGCCAGCUCCUCGUCGAUGGCGGCGGCAACAUUCACGAGACCAUCGGUCCAGUGCUUCACAGUCUCCCUAAAAGCAUUCUGGGCGACACCAGCACUCGCCAGCAGCGCCUCAUCGGCUUUGAUCUUCUCCUUCAAGGCCACUUCCUGCUCCCUGGCGCCGUCUAGCGUCUUGGUCAAAGUGGCCAGCUUCAACUCAAGAUUUGCGUUGGAGUCCUUGGCGGCGCUAAGCUCUUUGCUCCUCUCAGCGAGACGACCCUGCAGCUCGCCAUGAGCGGCGGCGUCCUUCUCGCGCUCACGCUUGAGCGCGGCAAGCUCCUCGCCGCUCGCCUUGAGAUCGACCUCCAGCUGCGCCAUCUUCGUCUCCAGUUCCUUCUUGGCGGCCUCGGCAGCUACGGCAGCAUCCUUUGCUUCCUUGAGAGCUCCGCCAAUUGCUUGCUCGCGCGCGGCAAGCUCCUCCUCGUGGCUGUCAAGAUUGACCUUGCGCUGCGCCAACUCACCUUCCUGCGCAGACAGCUUCUCUGCAGCGAGCCGAUGUUGCUCUUCAACUUCAGCCUUCGCGAGGAGGAAAGCUUUCCGCUCCUCGGCAACCUGCUGCCGCUCCUCUGCCAGGGAUCGGAGAGUUUCCUGCCUGAGACCCCGGAGCUCCUCAGCGCGCUUCUCAAUGUCCACUCCCACCCUCGCGACAAGCGCUUCUCGGAAUUCCAGCUUGGCUUGUCGGGCGCGGUACAGCGACAACAGCUUCCGAAGCAGCCGCUCCUCCUCAGGCUCAUCGCUGCUGCUGCUUGGCGCGUCGACCAGCGUCAGCCCAGUGGAGGCGAGCACCUCUCCUUCGACCGGCGCCCUGGAGCUUGACGCCCAGGGGAGCUUGAUGAAGAUGUCGUCGCCGGCCUUCAAAUAGGCGCCGGGCUGGGGCUCUUCGGAGCCUGGCGCUGCAGCAGCGGCGGAGGGAUCGGCGGUCGGCCUAGCUCCUGGCGCUCCCGCGGCCUCGGGGCCGUUAGUGCGAUCGCCGGAUCCCUCGCCAGCUUCUGCGGCGGCAGCUUUGGCGGCCUCUUCUCCGGCGGGAUCAUCAGCGCCGGCUUCUCCUUCGGUGGCAACGGCGCCAUCGGUGUUGCUGCGCGCGUUCUCCUCACCGGCGACCUCGGUUUCCAUCGGAUCCGUAGCAGAUGGAUCUGACGACCGAAAAAGGGAGAAAAGUCAAGCAAAUAUCCAAAAAGAAAAUCAGAAGAAGAAGAACCAAAGGGAAGUUUUCAGACAAGAGGAUUACCAUUACUAGGAUCCGCAGUCGUGGUCUCAACCACCGGAGGAUCAUGGUGCUGUCCCUUGCCGGAGAACUGUCCCUUGCCGGAGAGUUCUCCCUUGCCGGAGAACGCUCCCUUGCCGGGGAAUCCUCCCUUGGCGGUGUAGUCGAAGCAGAUGGCAUUUCGGGAGUGGCUUCCGGGCCCUCCUGGUGGAGAUGCUCUGCUCCUACACAAAUCAACAGUCAUAUAUCAGCAAAGAAAGAGCAACCAUGCGCGCCUGGCAGCAGGAAGUAAACUAUGUACUUACGCUGGGGGCUGUGCUGGGGGCUGCUUUGGGGAAAAGUUGCCGGGUCCGGCAAGAUGGUCUCGGACACACCCUCUGCUGUCGCGGUGGGUUCGUUCUCGGUGACAAUCACCGGGACCAUGGCUCUCUUCGCCGCUCUCUGGGCCAGAGUCCUGGAAAGGAAUGGGUUCGGAGUAAAGCAAAUCAGAUACAAGACAAAACAGCAAGAAUUGAAGAACUACAAGCACGGCAAAGAAUCUUACUCUUCUUCUUCCUCGUCAGAGCUGAGCGCGGAGAGAUCGAAGUCCGGCUCGCCUCCGGUGCGAUGAGGCAGAGGAGUAGCUUCCCUUGUCCGCUUGGUAGGAGCAGUAGCGGUGGGCCGGGAAGACCCCGCUCCAGUUGCCGCAGCGGCGUGAGGCGCUCCCGCGGCAACAGUGCUUGCCGCGGUAGAGCGUGUCGCGCGGCACGGCGGCUAUUGACUCGUCUGCCGCCCCGCUACGUCCACGGCCUUGCAGAGAAGCCUUCUUGGUGGAGCUGGGGGCUCCGCUUGCGGCAAGCUGUCUGAAGGUUCGGGUCCGACAAGCUCUCCCUCGCCAGGCUCGCUCGACUCAUCUUCGGGCCCGACAAGCUCUCCCUCGCCGGCAAACUCCUCGCGCUCGGCAAGGCUUGCCGCCUCUGCUGCCUCUGCCUCCUCCACGGUGAAUCCAAACUCACCCGCGGCCGCGGCUGCCGCCGCCUCUUCCAGCCUAGUGGCGAUACGCUGCAUCUCCGCGUCGGUGGUUUCGCGAGUAAGGCUCUUCUGCUCGUCGGAGCGGACUGGCACUUCAACCAAGCCAUCAAAGAACUCCUGCAUGACGGUGUCUGCCGGCUCUUGCCAAGUUGGGACAAUUCCAUGCGAGUCGCACAGCGGCAUCAUUGCACGGAUGCGGUCGAGCGAGGAGUUGUUGCACAACGGAAUGACACCCCUCGGCAACAUGAAUGAAUGUUGAGGAUCGCGCUUUAACAGUUCCAGGAGAAUCGCGUCCAGCUCCAGGAUAGUGAAGUUGAAGUUGAGGCCCGGGCGCAGCCUCAUGAUAUCCGCCGAGUUCUGGAACUCCCAGGCGGGUCUCCUCCUCUCCUGCAGGGGGGGCGAUGCGGCGGCGAAGAAAAUCUGCGCCAACGCCGCCUACGGUGAGCCCGGCAAGCCUAAGGCGAAGGAUCCGGGUGACGGCAAUCUUCAGCCUAUCGUCUUCCGGGGCUACGUUGCUCCAAUCGUUGCCGCGCGCUAUUGGGGCUUGUCGCAGGGCGGUAAAUGGCUGCGGGUUCUCCUCGACAAUCCAGCACCACUCUGCUCUCCAUUCCUCCCACUUGCUGCGGAGCUCUCCCUCCAGAUAAGCUUCCUUCUUGCCGACUCUCGAGAUCCAGGCGAUUCCGCCGGAUAAAGGCUCUCCUCUCUUGACUCGGGGCAUAAAGAAGUGACGAAAAAGAGCGACAUUUGGAUGGACUCCGACAAAGUUUUCGCAGAGAUGUGCGAAAACUGCCAUGGUUAGAACGGCGUUGGGGGUGAAGUCAAAGAGGCGGAACCCGUAGGUGUUCAUGAUGUCACAGAAAAAUUCAAAGAAGGGCGAGCAGAGCCCGCAGUAGAAGAACAGCGCAAAGAAGGGGUAUCCAUUCGGAGCCAGUUCCGAAGCGGUAGCCGGGAGUACCUUCGUGCGCGGAUGCGCUCGCGUCUCCGUCGACCAGAAGAGGUAGUAGUACUCCCUCAGCUCCUUCGCGACAAGCUGAGGGGGGAAGAUGCCCCGCUCCUUUCGCAGCGCCGCGAGCCGCUGCGCCUCGACCGAUUUCACGCCCUUCCCCUUGUCGGCUUUCGGAGCCAUGGCGGAGGUGGUGGGGGAGAUCGACGGCGUUGGUGGUGCUGGUGGCAAUGGGGGGUGGCGCGCUGCUCUCUUUCGUCUUUGAAAAGAAGGGGGGAGCGGCGGAGAUUUCCGAGAUUGGAGUAGCAACCGGCGAGAUGGGCGAACUGCCCCUGUUUCCCCUGCUUAUAAAGAGGGAGGGGCGGACAUUCCGCCUUUCUGAAUAAAGAAACCACCCACGAUCUCUCCCACGACGCCGCAUUCGACGCGUGCCGUUGGGGGAGGGCGCGGUGGAUACGGAGUAAGAUACGGCGUAACCCAGGCCAUGCAUGCCCGUGCCCUGUUUUGGGCUUGACCCAACAGCGCUCAGCACCGUGUGUGGCCCAGGCCCGGGGGCUCCUGUCGGUGUACUAGAGUAGGGGUACCCUAGUAUCCCGAACUCGUGCACGGGCAGUAGCAGCACCCCGCGGCAAGGCUUGCCGGGUGACCGCCAAGGUCCUCCGUGGUUCCUUUGGAGCCAUUCAAGAACAAAGUAUUCAAGCCAAGGAGACAAGGCCCCGGCGAGAGGAGCUUGCCGGGAAGGCCAACCAAGGCAUCUCAAGGAACUUGCCGCGAAGCGCCACGGGCCCCGGCAAGGCCCGGUGAGCGACAAGCUUCCGGACGCGACAAGACAACAACCGCGGCAAGGCGCUUGCCGCGGCAAACUACCACUCAGUACCCGCGCUCCAGAACAUCCACCAACGUGUCGCCCUGAGGCCUUUCCAGACGCGCGUGGCGAGAGGCUGUGCAGCCAGCGGUGCGCGGUGGCAAGCGACGCUGACAAGACUGCCAUCGUGGCGAGGGGUGGCGUCCCUGACGGUCCUUUUUGCACUAUUUGGGCGACGCAGACGGGCAUUUAAUGCCUUUGUCCCCUGCCGUCAGGGUUAGGUAGGAUACACUGUACAGGUGGUUGUACCAACCGCAACUCCUUUCCCAUUUUUGCCCUUGUCUACGCUGCCACCUGUCGGAGACCCCUUGAGCAUAUAAAAGGAGGCCCAUGCGCAACGUAGAGGAAGGUUCGUUCCCAGAAAAACACUCACGCUCGGUCUCGUUAGCAGCUGGAGUGUACUGUAGCACUCAGCGCUCCCGAGCAAGAACUCAAUACAAUCAGACAAGCAACAGUAGGAGUAUUAUCUCUCCGGAGAGCUCCGAAGCUGGGUAAAUCUGCUCGUGUGCUUUGCCUCGAUCCGCUCUUCGUGCGACCUACGCCCCCCGCCGAACCGAAAGGGGCUCGGUCCACCGGUCCCAUAGGUGUUCGUGGAUCAGCUUCUCCGACACUUGGCAGUAGAACCAUAUCUGGUUCCAGUCCUUGGGAUGACUUGGUGGCUGCGCAUAAGGAAAAAUGGCUUCUCUCCGUCGUUGGAUUGAGACCCCGCCAAGUCCCAAGCUAGGUCUGUUGGAGUACUCAUUCUAGUAGUUCAAGUAAAAGUAUUCUCUAAAUGUUCCAAGGUGUGCUCUUCUUCAAGGUACACCUCACAGAACACUUGAAAGUUGCAUAUGUUAGACACAAAAUUGGAACCGAUGUCUUGAGGAUGGAGGUCGAAAAAGCGCAGAACAUCUCUGAAGAACUUAGAGCCACGCAGCGAGAAGCCAUGGUUCAUGUGAUCAGUGAAAACGAUGACCUCCCCAUCUUUGGGUCAGGCUUCUCUUCUGUCAGUUUAGGAGGGCGAUAAGACAUGACAUCCUUCUUGGGUAGAUACCGGAUUUCACAAAAUCGUCAAGUGUACUCUCCAUGACAACGGAUUUGACCCAAUUCCAAGAAGUGUUUGUUUUGGCCGGCAUUGGUAAGAAGGAAGCCUAAAAAAGAGUAAAUUUGUCGGAUUAAUUUUAAGCCGGAGGAAGAAGUAUUACAACACAUAUUUAGACUCGCGGCUUAUAAAGGGGUCUAAUGGUAUAUGACUAAUUAUGUCAGGUUAUUUAAGCCUCCAUGAUCAGUUUAAUAUGAUCUGUUGAGCAUUGAAAUUUAAGCCGGUGGUUGAUCCGCCAUCACUAGGUGGAUCUAUCAAGAUGCAGUUUUUUGCUAAGUACCAUACGAACAGGUUUCACAGGCUGCGGCUAUUAUUUUGGAUCAGCGUCAGUUCAGAAAAGAAAAAUAAAUCAAGACCUAAAAAACCAGUACAAAUGAGUUCAUGAGUUCUAAGGAGAUCUCUCUUCAAGGAAAAAGGAUCCGCUGGUAUGGAAGCCAGAGGCGAAACUACCACUGCAUCAGUUUUAUACCGUUUUCAGAUCUAAGAGGGUUAAAGUGCAGGCACUAAAGAUGAACUACGACAAACUAUGAAGAACACGGCAAAGUUCAGAAACCCUAAUGUGGAUCUAAGGUACAGGAAAGCAAGUAUUUACAGAUGAAGAUCGACUGCGGAGGGGCACCGGUAUUCUCUAGUUCGUUCAGGUUCAUGCAGCGGCCAAAGAUGAGGACGAGGUGCGCUUCACGGCGGUGGCAGAGCUCGAGCGGCAAAAGGUCGAGAGAGGAGGAAGAAGAUGGAAAGGGGGAGAAUGAGGAAAGACUGGUCGUGGCUAUUUAUAAUGAAAGCCUCAUAAGUGGGCGCGAAAAAUGAGGAGACCAAAAAGAUGGUUAUCCAGCUACUCGGGUGCCUCGAUUCUCGGAUGAUUAUUAAGAUAAAGAUCCGUUGAGAUAUGUUGGAUAAAGUGUGAAUUAAUGACAAGUGACGUCAUGGCGGGUUAUCACAAAUCCAUAAGAUGACAUCAUGGAGGGUUAUAACUCUCAUGCAAUGAAGAGCAGAAGAAUUUUCCUAAGUGUUGAAGAUUGACAUGAACCAGUUCAAAUCAAUCGGGGGCCGAAUGUUGGAGACAUAACUAUUAGGUAUGACCCGCCCAGGAGGGGCCGGGUUAUACCUACACUAGUAGAAAAGGGGGCAAAGGUCCAGGCCGGAUCAGCCCAUUAGUCCUGGUUCACUCCAGAACCGGGACCCAUGGGGGCAUUGGACCCGGUUCGUGAGCCGGGGCCGGCCGAGCUACGUGGGCCAUUGGUCCCGGUUCGUAUGGACCUUUUGGUCCCGGUUGGUGGGACGAACCGGUACCAAUGGGCCUCGCUCCUGGCCCACCACCAUUGGUCCCGGUUGGUGGCUUGAACCGGGAACAAAGGCUACCCUUUAGUCCCGGUUCAUGCCACCAACCGGGACCAAUGAUGUGCCUAUAUAUACCCCCUCGCGUGAGAGCAGAGCACACUACUCUGUUUUUUCUGGCCGCCGAGGGGGAGUGGGCUUGGUGGUGCUCUAGCUCACCUCCGAUGCACACAAGGUGUUCGAUGGAAUGCCCGAGCCACACUAUUUAAGCUUUCUCCUCUCCAAGCUCCAUUUUCCUCAAUAUUUGUCUAGGUUUAGCGGUCCGUCAUGCCCCGUCCCCGUCUUCACCAUCGUCGAUCACUCGCGCCGAUCUCAUCGCCGGCACCACCCUGGUGAGCCUCUUGUUCUUAUCUUCUUUCUGAUUGGAAAAAUAUUCUUACUUGUAUGUUUAGAUAGAUACUUAUAUUAUUUUCUUACUUUUAUUAUUGCAUCUUAUAUAGUGCGAUAGUUUUGGUAUCCGCCCCCGUCGGCCCUCGUCCUGUCUAUGAUUCGGAUGUGGUAUAUAUUAUCUUUUUAUAACUAUUGGUUCAUUUAUUGUUUAUGACAAUUAUGCCGACCAACGUGACAUAUAUUUUAUUUAUCUAGGAGGUUGUUGAACCAGAAAUUCCAACCGACCCUAUUGUCGAGAGGAUAAAUUUAGUUGAAGAAGAAAACAAUUUCAUGAAGGAAAAAAUAAGAAAAAUUGAGGAGGAGAAGAUGAUAUUGGAGUUGCAUGUUGUGAAUGUCGUCGAUGAUCACAAGAUCAAGAUGGAUGCAAUGCGCUUGAAGAUUAGAAAGAUUAGAAAAUAUGCCAUUCAUACCGAGGCUUGGUAUCAUUAUGCCAUUGGAUCAGUUGUUACCUUGGUUGCGAUUAUGAUCGCAUUUGUUUUCGCAUUGAAAUGUUUUACAUAGUUUCAAUGUAUGGUUUAAUUAAUGUAGAUGCUCUUUAGAGCUUUAUGUUGUUAGAUGAGAACUAUGUAUGUACUUUGGUUUUAAUGUGAUGAUGAACUUCUAUUAAUUUGGUCACUUAAUUAUCUAUUCAUGAUGUUCUGUAAUGGUUUUUGACACACUUAAUUAUAUAUAAUGCACGCAGAUGAAUAGCUACUAGCUAGCUAGUUGCGAGCAUCUACCGUUGAUUCUAUAGCUAUACUUUCAUCAAUGGCAUUUAUAAUGCUUCAUUGUCACUUUAAUUGACCUCUAUUUCUCUUAAAGUGCUUGUGGCAGGAACAAGGGAAUAAUUACUGUGGAUACUACAUGUGCGAGUUCAUCUACAACGCGACUUUGAAAAAUAAGCGGGGCUACUCUAAAAGACAAUAUGAAGUGCGUAAGCAAUAAUAUUCCCAAUUUCAUUUUGUUACACCAUCAUUUCUUUUGAGUUUCAUUCAUAUAUAUGUAUUAACCCCCUUCUUCAAAUUAGACGUGGCAGAUGCGGAAUGAACUCCUACCACAAGAUUGCAUGAAAGCAAUUCAAGAGGAAUUGGCGGGAUUCUUUCUUGACCACGUCAUCUAUAAAGCCGGAGAAUACCAUGUGGAAAUUGAUUUCAAUUGCUAGGGGAUUGUAAGAGAUAUUACAUAUUGUAUAUGUAUGCAGCCAGUAGCGUCGGAUAGAUAAUACAAAAACUUGUUGUUCGACCAAUCUCUCGGAGAAGGAGAGGUCGAUUGAUCACUUCUCUCGGUAUGCAUGACGAACUUCUGUACUUAAUGGUUUCCUUCAUUUUCUUACUAGCUAGCAUGUCGAGGGCCUCUCUAUGUAUAAUACGUAGCGUCGACCAAGCACGGACAUAAGAAAGGACACUUCUCUCUAUUAAUUAGCUAGCUAACACAACAUAUGAAACACCUAAAUUAACCCCCCAAAACCCCCAACCCCCCUCCCCUCUUUCAAAAAAAACACCAGCCCCUAAAAUGCUAACGCGUGGAUGCAUUUUGGUCCCGGUUGGUGCCACAAACCGGGACCAAAGGCCCUCUUGCCUGAGCUCGGCGCACCGGCCACGUGGAGGCCCAUCUGUCCCAGUUCGUGUUAGANNNNNNNNNNNNNNNNNNNNNNNNNNNNNNNNNNNNNNNNNNNNNNNNNNNNNNNNNNNNNNNNNNNNNNNNNNNNNNNNNNNNNNNNNNNNNNNNNNNNNNNNNNNNNNNNNNNNNNNNNNNNNNNNNNNNNNNNNNNNNNNNNNNNNNNNNNNNNNNNNNNNNNNNNNNNNNNNNNNNNNNNNNNNNNNNNNNNNNNNNNNNNNNNNNNNNNNNNNNNNNNNNNNNNNNNNNNNNNNNNNNNNNNNNNNNNNNNNNNNNNNNNNNNNNNNNNNNNNNNNNNNNNNNNNNNNNNNNNNNNNNNNNNNNNNNNNNNNNNNNNNNNNNNNNNNNNNNNNNNNNNNNNNNNNNNNNNNNNNNNNNNNNNNNNNNNNNNNNNNNNNNNNNNNNNNNNNNNNNNNNNNNNNNNNNNNNNNNNNNNNNNNNNNNNNNNNNNNNNNNNNNNNNNNNNNNNNNNNNNNNNNNNNNNNNNNNNNNNNNCGUGUUAGAUCCGGGACUAAAGGUCUAGGGCAUUAGUAACAACCCUUUAGUCCCGGUUCAAGAACAGGGACAAAAGGCCCUAACCAACUGGGACGAAUGGGGCUUUUUCUACUAGUGCUACAGCGAUUCAUCAUAUGAAGCCCAAGACGAUAUUCGAAGAUGGCGGCCCAAGGCCCAAAGGCUUCUUAAGGCCCGUCGAGAUAAACCGCCGUAUAUAUAUAUAUAUAUAUAUAUAUAUAUAUAUAUAUUCUAUUACCCUUGUUGAACUGACGGAUUCAGGUGGUUGUACUGAUGUUUUCGAAGCGGUUAAACUGAUGCUUUUAGUUGUAUUUAACAGAUCUUCUUCUUUAGUUCAAAUUUUUUUUGUAAUUUUUUGGUCGGAACGGGUCGUGUAAUAUAUCGUUGGAAAGCUCUUGACAACCAUAUUUCAAGUAUAUUGAACGUUUUUGCAAAAUCAUUAUGGUUUAAGAGCAGUUUUGAAAAAACCGUUUUUUCAAAACCGAAAACGUGAAUCGUAUUUUGGACUCAAUUUUCAAAAGGUUUGUUGGAAUUGAGCAAAUAAGAUGGCGUUGGAAAGCUGGUGAAAAUCCGCAUCUUCCAUAUAUGUAUUGUUUUUUCUAAUUCUAUAUGAUUUAAAAGUAAUUUGAAAAACGGUGAAAUUUUGGGCGGAACGUAUUUUCACGAUUUUUUGCAAACGGUUUGUCGGAUUGACGCAAAUGAUACGGCGUUGGGAAGCUAUGGACAAUGCACAACUUUUGUGUAUAGAAACUUUUUUCUAAUUCCUUACGAUUUAUUAAAAUUGGUUUUGAACGCGGUUUUUUAAAAAGUUUGUCGAAAUGGGGCAAAUAAUAUACCGUUGGAUAGCUAUCGAAAAUGUGAAACUUAAUCAUGUUCGACGAUUUCUUUACUUCGCAACCGUUUAAGAGUUAUUUCAAAUACGGUAUGAUGGAUCCUGUUGUUUUCUCGUCUGAAAAACAGAGUAGUCGUACUGAUAUACGUGUAUGUUUGUACUGAGCUAUUCUUUGUACAGUAGUUUUGAAUGGUUCCAAAAAAGUAUACUUGUACUGAAAUUUGCACGGAUUUGUACUAAGCGUGUUUUCACUAACUAGAUUUUGCUCUAUUUUUUGGGUAAUUUUUUUCUCGUAAGUUUUCAACAGUGUACUGUAUCCUAGCCCGAACUUGCCUGGUUUUUAUUGUUGAACUGAAUGUUAUUUUUUUGCCACAUUUUUUUGCGUGUUUCUUUUUUUUAAGUCAAUUUUUUUUGCAACGAAUGUUCUAGAUUUCUCUUGUUUUCCAACUUGAACUUUAUACCAUUUUAAACUUUUACCAACUUGAAUUAUCAUGUGUGGAUGAGCACUUGAACUUGUAGAAUUUAAAUUUUUUUGUUUUAGUUCUUAUUUGUUUUCUCGUCCGAACUUAUGGUAGGUAUCACUGAACUUGCGUAGUUUCUGUAGCUGAACUAAAAUCCAUGUUGUCUGUGAAAACCAGGAAAAUUGCAUCUACUCAAUGGGCCAUGAUGCAAGCAUCGCCGCCGAAAAUACUUGGCGCACCAGAGAACCCGCACUGCUGGAUUUGUCGGUAGAGAACUGAGGGCAGCACAUCCCAUACCUUUUUUCUGCAGCAGCUACACUUGGUUUACCAACUCACACACACACAAAAGUGAUAACAAGUUGGCACACGACCUGAUAACAAGAGCACACAUGAACUGAUAAACAAGAGCACACCGGUGAUUAACAUAAUAUAAAUCCAUUGUCGUUUUUUCCAUUUGUUAAGUUGGUUUUUUCUUUGAACUUUUACUGCUAUGAUUUUUUUGCAAAUUUGUCUCCUUGAGUCAGAACUUAGGCAAUUCUUAAUUUUUAAUUUAUGGUACUUAUGGUACUAGAGAGUUUGUACUUCUUAAAAAAUAAUCACUCGAUGUUCUUUUAGUUUUAGUUUUUAAUUUUCUUUCUCAUCCUUAUCCUUACUGUCAAUGUCAUCACCAUCGUACUUUUAUGGUUUAUAUAGUUGAGCGGACUUACAUUUUUACCAUUCCUUCUUUUAAAAAAGAAGAUUUUUGGAUCGAGUCGGGUGAACCGGCUACCUGUACUCCGGUGGACUGACGGCUCCGUCGAGGUGGAGCUGAUGGAAGCAGGGAUGCGAUCGGCCGGCGUGAGUGGAAGGGAGCGGCCGGAGCAUCGGGAGGAAGGCGGCCAGAGCGCGGGGAGGAAGGUGGACGGAGCGCCACGAGGAAGACAACGGGAGAGUGCGGGGGAAGAAGGUGGCUGGCGAGCAGCCUAGCUCCGGCGAGCAAGACUCAUAGGUCCUCCUCAGCCUUGGAUCUCAGCGGCCGGCCAUGGCUGUGUAGGGGUGGUGGUGCACUGGUGUGCAGGUCGUCGGGUGAGGCGGCGCACGGGAGAUAGACAGGGAGGGAUGCGCGCCGCAGACGGCAAGGGAAGCACGCCGGCGGAUGGAGGCGGGUCGUCGGCAGGAGGCAAGUUGGGGGCGGGGGUCGGCGACGGGAGGAACGCUGGGAGGAGGGGAUUGGCGGAGGCGCUCUGGGAGGAGGAGGAUAGAGCCAGCGGCACGGAGGGUGGCGGUGGAUCCGAGCGGCGGCGCGCUGGGUGGAGGUGGGAUCGGGACGGCGCGCUGGGCGGAGGUGGGUUCGGGCGGCGGCAAGAGGAAGAAAACGGACACGCCUCUAUAUAGGGCGCGAGGGUAACAGAAUAAUAUUCUGUUACCGGUAACAGAAUAGUCCAGCCCUAUAUAUAUAUAUAUAUAUAUAUAUAUAUAUAUAUAUACAUAUAUAUAUAUAUAUAUAACUUGUAUUGUAAGGCAAGAAUAGAUAGGCACCGAGCCGGACACUGUUUACGAGCCGGUCAGGACUCCUGAGCCGCUGGGCGUCGACCUGUGUAUAUAAAGGGACGACCCGGUUGCGAUUCAGGACAAGUAAGAUCAGAUCGUAAGCUAGGUUAAGCGGAUUCGCUUCCUGGUAAUCGAGACAUAAGCAAUACCACCUCAAACUGGAUUAGGCCUUUACCUUCACCACAAGGGGCCGAACCAGUAUAAAUUCAUGUGUGCUUUGUCCCGUUUUAACCCCUUUAAGCUUCCAAGUUGCGAUGGCUCCACGACUAAGUCCUUUCGCUAGGACAUCUGUCGUGACCUUUCCACAACAUAGAACUUGAUGAAAAAUGCAUGAAGUCAUGUUUUUUUAAAAUAUAGAACUAAUCUCUCCACUUCAAAUUCUGUUUUUUUAAAUAGCAACAAUUGCUUUAACUAAAAAAAUUAAAUAACAACAAUUAUUUUAACUAAUCUGUCCUAGGUUUCAUACUAAUUCUAAUUAACUAGCUAGCACUAUAAAAUUUAAAUAACAAAAAUUUCUUUAACUAAAAAGUGCAAGAAACCUAUAUAAUCAAUUCUGUUUUUUAUUACACUAAAAAAUAACCUAGGGUUCAUACUAUUUCAUACUAAUUAGCACUAAAUAGCAUAGAAGAAGGGAGGGGAGAGGGCUUAUAGAGGGCAGAGAGACAGACAUGGGGUCGGGGGAGACGGCGCGGCAGCGAGGCGAGGCGGGGCGAGCGCCGGUGUCGGGGGUCCCUGAGGUUGGGGGAGACAGGGCGAGCGUGGGGACGGGGGCGAGCCCGGGUAGGGGGGCGAGCGCCAGGGUCAAGUGCUUCGGCGGCGACAACACUAGGGAAGACAGAGGGGGAUUUGGGGGAAGUGUAGAGGUGGGAAGAAGCAGAGAGAGUGAGGAUUUUGGGGGUUAAGUCGAGAUAGCAGUAGCGCAUUCCAGACAAACGUGCUAUAGCUAAUUUGGCUAUAGCGCUUUUGCAAAGAAUGCGCUACUGCUACUAUAGAGAGCGAUAGCGUUUUCCUGUAGAAAGCGCUACGGCUAUUACCUGUAGCAGUCUUCCUGUUUGUUUCUUCUAUUAUCUUUUCCUUUAUUUUCUCACCUUUUCUUUUGUGCCAGUACUCCAAGUCCCAGAACACAAACCUCGUCUUCCAUACCUUCAGCAGCGGCUCUGGCGCCUUUUUCAUCGUCUUUCCCAGUGCGGGGCACUGUUCGUAGUUUUUCAAUAGCUCAACGAUUUUGGCGCCGCUCUGCUUACGUGGAGGUCCUCGAUGCUCAACAUGACCAUUGAAUAGAUUUCCACGGUUUCUCCAUGGGUCGUCCUUCUCGAGCCAUCUUCGAUUCCCCAUGUACAUGAUUUUCCCGGACCCGCCCUCUUUCCUUGACGUUAGCUGCUGAGACGUCAUAUCAUCCAUGCACCGCGUGCAUUCGCAAUAUCCAUGGCACACCUGGCCUAUGACAUAUACGUAGCCGAGAUAGUCGUGCACUGUCAUGAUCAGCGCAGCUCCCAUGUAGAAAAACUCGCAUUUGCUGGCGUCCCAAGUCUUGGCCGGUGUUUUCCAUAACGUUUCUAACUCCUCUUGAAGUAGCCCCAAAUACAGAUUAAUAUUAUUUCUCGGUUGUUUCGGCCCUCGAAUUAGCAUGCUCAUGUGAAUGUACUUCGACUUCAUGCACAACCAGGGGGGAGGUUGUACAUCAAUACAAACAUGGGCCAUGCGCGAUGCUUGGUGUUCUGGUUGCCAAAUGGAUUCAUGCCAUCGGUACACGCGCCGAGCACGAUGCUCCUUGCAUCCCAUUCGAAAUAUGGAUAGAAGCCGUUCAAUGCUCUCCACUGGCUUCCGUCCUUGACGUGUCUCAGAUUCAGAUCAUCUCCAUCGUCGGGCUUCUUCCUCUCCGCGUGCCAGCGCAUGAGCUUUGCUUCCUUGGGAUCUACAAAAUACCGUUGGAGACGGGGAUUUAUCGGUAAGUACCAUACAACUUUCUGGGGAGGUUUCUUCCCGGCCUUCUUGAUUCGAGAAGUAUUGCACAAUGGACAACUUGUUUUUUUCGUGUGCUCCUUCCGAUAAAUUAUGCAAUCGUUUAUGCAUGCAUGGUAUCUAACAUGCGGCAGAUCAAGAGGGCACACGAUCUUCUUGGCCUCAUCCACACUAGUAGGACAUAGAUUCCUCGCGGGAAGAACAUCCUUUAGGUACUUGAGAUGCUCAUUGAGGCUAGUGUCGGUCCAUUUGUUUUUAGCCUUCGUCUUCAGGAAUUGGAGCGUGAAACUCAAGCGGGUCACCUCAGGAUUGCAACCAUCAUACAAUGGAGUGUUCGAGUCUACCACCAGUUGCUGCAGCUUAGCCUCCUCCCUAGAAGCAGCUCUCUCAGUACUCAUCUCCUUGCGAAGCAGUGCUUGAACAUGAGGGUCCGGCACGAUUGAACUUAGUACCGACGAACUCUGCGGCGUGGAGUCCACGUUCUCUCCGCCGCCAUGUCCGGCCCUUUCUCCGCCGCCAUGUCCGGCCCCUUCUCCUUCGCCAUGACCGCCCCUUCUCCGCCGCCAUGUCCGGCGUCUUCCCCACCGUCAUUGUCGAUCAUCUCUUCGUCUUGCCCCGUGUCGUCAUUGCGUGCCCCAUCGGCGUCCUCAACAUCAUCAUCCUCAUCUUCAAUUAUCCACCUAGUAUAGCCAUCCAUGAAACCAGUCAUGAGCAGGUGCGCCAUCGCAUCAUAGGGGUCGAGCCAAACUCCUCCUUUGCAUCUUCGACACGGACAUAAAACCUCUGUCAGGUUAUUUUCUUUCAUGUCCUACACCGCCGACCGCAACCACCUGUCCACCAUCGUUCCACUGACCAUCAUGAACGCUUGCACAGUAAUAAUAAACAAUCUGAUUAUAAAAAUGUGUGCAUGCAUCAAAUUCAUACAAAAAUUCGUCAUAUAGAGUUUGCCCGAAAUUCGCCGAAACAGAAAUAAAUCGACAUUUCGGCAAAACAUAGGCAACUCAAGCACAAUUCGGCGGCAACUCAAGCCACACACACAAUUUCCAUCAUAUCAAGCGAUUAUGUCAUAUCGCACACAUACACAUAUUUCCAUUCUUGCAAAAGCACUAAUUUUUAAUCACCAUUCCGAGAUCGAGCACGGUGAUGAUGAUGUCGAUCGGUGUCACCACACACCUAGGGAAUGAUCAUAAGUGGACAAAGCUUACUUCUUGAGACGGCUAGAUCUAGUUAGUGAGGUACAUAUCUCACUUCAUUGAACGGGUAGAUCUAUCAAGCUAGUUGGGGAAAGAGAUGACUAUCUAGUGGAGGGAGAGGAAAAAGAGAAAGGAGAUGCAUUAAUGGAGAUGGUGUAAGUUAGCUAGGAGCAAUAAAGAGAGAGAAAGGUAGGUAGAAGAAGAAGAGUAAUGGGGGAGAAGUAAUGGGGAAGAAGCAAAGUGAGGGAGAGAGGAGGUGGUAGGUAGGGGAAAGUGAGGAAGAGAGGAUGGGGGAGGGGAGGGGGAGGGGAAAAUGUGGCAUAUGCUGCGGCUUAGCAGUAGCGCUGGUCCUAAACCGCGCUACUGCUAUAAACAUAGCAGCAGCAACGCUUAUGACACACGCGCUACUGCUAAAUGGGUCCCGCCAUGUGGCCAGUUUCAAAAAAGCAACAAUUAGCAAUAGCGCGUAUAGGAAAAAGCGCGCUAUUGCUAUUACUUUAUCAACAACGCUCUUAUAUAGACCGCGCUACUGCUAAAUCUAGGUUGGCGGGAACUGUCGGUCGACUUUAGUAGCAGCAUGGUUCCGCCAAGCCGUGCUACUGCUAAGUCAGUAGCAGUAGCACCUCCUUUUUUUGCCUCUCUGCUGCUAAUUAGCAGUAGCACCUCCCCCUGAACCGCGCUACUGCUAACAUUUUGUGUAUAAGGUUUUCUCUAGUAGUGACAACGCUUUUUUAGUCCCGGUUUAGGUGGACUCCAGAGUUGGUCGGGCGAGAGGGGGUUGAUCGACGUCCCCCCUCAUGUCGAAGUUACCAGACCACCUCUCUCUCUCAUGCAUGUCCGACGUCCCCCCUCAUGUCAAAGUUAUCGGGGAGGGGGUAGAUCCACAGCGACGCUCACCCCUCAUUUUGAAUAUAUGAACAUUUUAACUUAUUAAUUAACUUAGUAACUUGGUAAAUCUAUGAUAUACUUAAGACAAGAGGCAAAGAAGCCAUCACGUUUAUCUACACAGAUUAAAUUAUCUCAACCAUCAACUUUUUGUUAUAAAGGGCCCAGAUUUAAAGAUAUAACGUUACAUACAAAUAUUGUGUGUAGGCAUAUAUAUGUUCUGUCAUAAAGAAAUCUAGAGUGGGCGCACAUAUGGGUUCAUGUACACGUAAUAGCCAGCCCAAACUUGCUUUCGGAGAGUUAAAAAAAGCUUGCUUUCAGAAACAAAGACGGCCGCCGUUUAUGGAACAAUCGAGCCUCACAACAAAAAGGAAAGAGCAGUCCGGCUGCUUUGCAUGUGAUGACGCGUGUCAUCCUGACAUUAAUAUGUCAGUAUUCUCCCACACGUGUUGCCUCCGUAAGCUGCACAUGACAUUACUACGGGUCAAACAUAAAUAAGAAUAUUAUUUAAUUUCAAAAUAAUAAGAAUAUUAUUUUAUGAAAGGAAAAAAGAGAAAACACUAGGAGUACAAAUCUAGACAAUCCAACGCAAAGCAAUGCUAAUGGAUGGCUCACCGUAGACAGUUAGUGUAUAAUUAUAGAAACAUAAAAACAUGCUGCCAAAAAAAAUAUAGCUAUAUACACGAGUAGGGCGUUUCGGUGCCCACGCUUAUCUGCACCCGGUUAAAAAACAACUGUAAAAAACUUCAAAGAAAAUUGAAAAAAUUCCAAAUUUUUUUGUGCCGUAGACAAUUUGAUGCGCGAGGCCCGCUCCAACUUUCAAGUCAUUUAGACGUCCGAGAAGCUCUCAGCAAAAAACACAAACGGGCCAAACAGUACAUGAACAGUAAACAUUUUUACAGAUCCCCAAUUGUCUUUUUUGCUGAGAGCUUCUCAGAUGUCCAAAUUAUAUGAAAAACAGAGCAGACUUCACGCAUCAAAUUGUCUACCGUGCAAAAAAAAGGAAAUUUUUAAGUGUUUGUUUUGAUUUUUUUUUGUCAGCGCAUGUGCAGAUGAGCUCGGGUGCAGAGAUGAUUUUCGCUAUAUACACCAGCUUAUUUUAAUAACAAUUCAGUGGCUAAAAUAGCAUUAUAUUUUAGAAAAUUGUUGUACAUGCCACAGACGCUAAGAGAUGACAUUUUAUCUAUCUUAAUCACCUCGACGAGGCAGACAUGAUAGGGACAUUCAAAUACAUUAGCUUUAGACUGAUGGUCAUGAUGCGAUGAAAUUCCUUCUUGGGUGGAUAAAUUUACAAAUAUUUUCUCUAUUUGAAUUCCAAAAUAAAUAAUAGGGACGUAGCAAAAAUGUAUCUAUCUAUUAUAUAACUAAAACAUAAGUAAAAGAAGCCAUCAAGUUCAUCCACAUAGAUAAAAUUAUCCUAGCAAUUAUUUUCUUAUAUUGACGGCCGAGAUUUAAAAUUGCAACCUUACAUACAAAUAUUGUUGUAAACAAACUAUUAGACUGUCAGGUACAUAUGUGCCAGGCAAGUACGUAAUAAUUUGAGCGGUUCAGCUUUAUAACAAGAAAAAAUACCAAUUUGGAAGGAGCAGUUCAGGCGUACACGUUAAAAAGUACUCUAACUUGGAAGGAGUAAUUCGGAGAUAAAACAUAUUGCUUCAGGCUUACAUGCUUAGGACUCUCAAAACUAGCAUGCGUACCUUUUUUUUUUUUUGCGGGGGAACUAGCAUGCGUACCUAGCCUAGGCUUCCAACUUCCGGAUGCAACAAGCCAAGGCCGGUGUAAAAUUCUAGAUCAAACAUACUGUAGUCCUGCCUCACGUGAUCUUGAUGGCUCCGUCGCUGAUGUUGUUGCCACACAGGCGGCAAUCCGUGAUUAAGAAUAGAGUAAGAACCAUCAAAGACGUACUCUGUUGUGACUAGAGAAUUACCUAUUUUGCUACUGGCUGGAAUUUAUGAUCUUACAAUCAGCAAUGUUGCAGGAUAGGGACGCAUGCAUGCAGCGGCGUGGCCGUGUGAUCGCGAUUAAGAUCUUCGGCCGAGCAUAACACAAACACGCAUGUACGCAUGCGUCUGGACGUGAACAGGUUGGUUGAUUGAUCUCUUGAGGCUUUUCGGCUUUAGGGCUCCAUUGAACACAGUUUUUUUGAAAAAUUCAAAACCAAUCUUUCAACACAUAAGUUGUUACAUGUAUAAUAGACGCAUGUAAAAAAUUUCAUUAUGAAAUAGGUUUUGAUAUGAUCUCUAUAAAAAAACAAAAUCAUGUAUUUUUUAGGGAAUAGUACAUGUUCUAUAAUCAAUUUAUUUUUUUAUUAGAUCGCAUAUAGAUGUAUUUCGCCAUGAAGAAAUAUUUUUUGCAUAUACAUGUAUUAAAGACAAGUCGUGUACAUCCAUAGGUAUGUGCGUAUUAUUUUUAGAAUUUUUAAAAACAUAAAACUUCUUAUAUUGGAAAUUUUAAAAGCUACAUAGAACUCGGGCUUCAUUAGCAAUUUCCGCUAUGCUACACACAUCACGUGCAUGCACACGUUUAUGAGAUAUAUUCAUUUUUGUGGGGUAUAUGCAUAUUUUUAUUUUUCUAGAUGGGAUAUUAUCAUGUGUGUGUAAGAUCUCUUGGCUGUGAAGUAACUACGUAUUUCUUACAUAGAGGUCCAAUGCGCUUGACCUUUUGUAAUAAAAUCCAUUUGAUUAAGAAUGAGCGGUUAUAUAGUGUUUGGAAAUGGCUAUGAUCUGCUACAAUAAUGGUCUACAAAAUGAAUUCUCAUUUUCUUUGCUUUUUCGUAAUAUUUUCAAGCAUAUCAUUAUUUUCACUGUUUGGACAGCACGGAUAGUUUAAUAUGCAUAAAUACCAAUUGUAUUUUUUCUCUCAAAUAUACACCUAAAGUUACUUAGCCUUAGAUGGUCAGGCUACACAAACAAUUAGAAAGAGACGUUAUUACCAGGAGCAUUUAGAAGCAUGAAUGGAAGUUCAACCUCCAUGACAUCAUGCUAUCUAGAAACAAAAUUGCACUUCAAACAGUGGUGAUUUAGAUAGAGGAAGAUAGCAUAAUAUUUAGGCAGUUAACUAUUCAUGAAAUAUUGUGGGGUAGCAAGAGGCUAACAUAAAUGCCAAUACUCACCUUUUGUGAGGCAGUCGCCGAUGACUUUAUCAACAAUACAAAAUUUACCAAAAAGUUUUCACAUGUAGUUUGAUGAUGUUUUGUUAGGACACACAUUCCAACUAGAAUAUUCUUUUGUAUUUCAAAUCAUCUAUCAAAGGGGACUCAUAAAACAUAGUGGAAGAGAGAAAUAUGAAGAUUGGUUGAAAUUAUAUAGCUUUGCAUGGCACGGUGACGAUUCUUAUCAUAGACCAAUUCAAAAAUAAGAUAGUUAAAAAUAGAGUUCCCAAAUAUUAUCACAUCCACGGGGAUGAACUUUUUGCCUUUUUAAUAUAAUUUAACUGUUCAUUGACAAAUACCGGUGGAGAAAAAAUACACUCAAUGUAAUAAUUACUGACUAGCAUGAUCAGAAGAUGUGGAAGCAUAUAUAAGGAUAUGUUUAUAUAUGACACUGGUAAUAGAUAACAAUCUAUGCCUGAAGGUCAUCAAUGUUUUCAUUUUCUCUAUCAAAAUUCUAGAAGAAUAUUGGGUGCAAAGAUAAAUGAACGUGGAUAAAAAGGUGGAACAGUGGAACUUAGAGAUUGCUAGCAAAUCCAAUGGUUUGGUAUGGUGGGAUACAUGCCUUGGUUCUUUGAUAUUCCAUUGCUUAACAAUCAUAUUACUAGCAUUGACUUUACAGAGGAUUUAGCAAAGUCUAAUAAUGUUUUAUAAUAGAAUGCAUUUCAGCUUUAUUUUUUAUAUAUGAACAUACAUAGAGCAAAACCAGCAAAAUAAAUAAAGGUGUAAAGGAAGACUAGCCGCGCAAAUGUGCGGGUCACCCAGCUAGUUUGUGAAUGACUUUACUAUAAAAAUGAUUUUUGAGUGAUUAUUUUUCCUGCUAUUUAAUAUUACUGUGUUUUAUCAUUAUAUUUAAUUUGGUAAUUUUUAGGUUAUUUUAAAUGUCUGUUUUAAACAAAAACAGAUUUUGUUACUUUAGUUUGCUAUUAAAGUUUCUAACAAAAAAAUUCUUUGUGAAAAUUCUUUUUGCUAUUAAUGUUUUGGACAAAAAAUAAUUUGAUAAUUUUUGUGGCAUAAAUUGUAUAAAAUUUUAGUUUAUAAAAUAUUUUUAGUUGAUUCGUUUUGCUAUUGAAGAAUAUUAUAGUUUUGUUUUGGUUGAUCAUAACAGAAUAUUUUAAUUGAUUAUUUUUAGUUCAUUCUUUUUGCUAUUAGAGUUUCAUAAAAAAAUUCUAGCUCAUUCUUUUUGAGAGGGGCAUUUUGGAGGCCAAGCUCCAUGGAGGCCUUUAUUUUUGAAAAAUUCAAAUUCAAACUUUUAUGGUUCAAAAAAUUUUGAAUUUUUUUUUGCAUGUAUGUAAGGAUGUAACCCACAUGUGUGUAAAAAUUCAUGAUGAAACACCUUGAGUUGCGACCUGCAGAAAAAAGACAAAUUCAUGGCAUGCGAGGAUGAAUAGUAUCAUGUGUUAAACAACCCCAGAUUUGACUUUUUUGCACAACCCUCAUUUCAAUGUAUUUUAAACUGAAAAUUUACACACAUGUGUGUUAUGCCUUCAUCUAUAUCUGUAUUUUUUCAGAACUUUUUGAAAUGUAAAAAUAUGAUUUUUGAUGAAAUUCCAAAUUUGAAUUUGGAGGCAUCACUGGAGGCUGAGCUCCAAAAGGGAUUUCCGAUUCUUUUUGGUAUUAGUUCAUUCUUUGAGCUAAAUGACCCUGAAAUUGAAAAGCACUUCAAAUGAACUCUGAAAAGGUUAAAAGAUGGCAAUGUAUCAUCAUUUCACCCACAUAGCAUGUUAUAAAAAGUUGAGAGGGUUACAGCAAAAGGUGGAUGCACUUCGUGUACAAAAUGGGCAAUCUCUUCCGAAGUAUCAGGGUUUCGGAAGAAAACUCAUCAGUUACAAAGGGAUUUCAUUUUUUAACUUAUUUGAACUCCAGACUCUUUGUGUAUGCAAAAUGCACCAUUCAAAGCCACAUCAAUUUUCAACCCUUUCUGACUACAUUUGGUAUUUUGCAUGCAUUUACAGUUUUUUUAGCUAAAUGACCCUGAAAUUGAAAAACACUACAAAUGACCUAUGAAUAGGUUGAAAGUUGGCAUGGUAUCAUCAUUUCACCCAUGUAGCAUGUGCUCAAAAGUUGAGAGGGUUACGGCAAAAGCUGGAUGCACUUCGUGUACAAAAUGGACAAUCUCUUUCGAAGUAUCAAGGUUUCAUACAAAAACUCAUCUGUUACAAAGGGUUUACAUUUUUUUGAACUUAUUUGAACUCCAGACGUUUUGUGUGUUCAAAAUGCACCGUUCAAAGCCACAUUAUCAUUUUUCAGCCCUUUCUGACUUCAUUUGGUAUUUUUCAUGCAUUUACUAGUUUUUUUGAGCUAAAUGACCCUGAAAUUGAAAAGCACCACAAAUGAACUCUAAAAAGGUUGAGAGUUGGCAUGGUAUCAUCAUUUCACCCACAUAGCAUGUGCUAAAGAGUUUAGAGGGUUACGGCAAAAGCUGGAUGCACUUCGUGUGCAAAAUGGACAAUCUCUUUCGAAGUAUCAGGGUUUCAUACGAAAAAUCAUCCGUUACAAAAGGCAUUUCAUUUCUUCACCUAUAACUGCAGUGAUAUUCUAGAUCAAAGGCAUCAUCACAAUAGUUGUGGAGAGAAAGUCUUCAUUUUUUUUCGCUUGUGUCCUUUGCAUAUUGUGCCGUAACCAUGGAUAAUCUUCAUUGUUUAACUGGGUGCUUGGGUCAGCCUUGACUUUGAAGGGAGGAAUUUCAUGAAACUUUUCAUAAUCUUCAGACAUGUCUAUCUUUCCCUCCACUCCCACGAUGUCUCUUUUUCCUGAAAGAACUAUGUGGCGCUUUGGCCCAUCGUAUAUAUGAUGUAUUCGCUUCCUUAUCUUUUCUUUUUCUUGGUUUGGUAGACAUGUCCUUCACAUAGAAAACCUGCGCCACGUCAUUGGCUACGACGAAUGGUUCGUCUGUGUACCCAGGAUUGUUCAGAUCCACUGUUUUCACUCCGUACUAUGUGUCUACCUAUACCCCGCCUCCUGACAGAUUGACCCAUUUACACUAAAACAAAGGGACUUUAAAAUCAUGUCCAUAGUCAAGUUCCCAUAUGUCCACUAUGUAACCAUAAUAUGUGUCAUUUCCCCUCUUGGUUGCUGCAUCAAAGCGGACACCACUAUUUUGGUUGGUGCUCUUUUGAUCUUGGACGAUCGUGUAAAAUGUAUUCCUAUUUAUCUCGUAUCCUUUGUAAGUCAAUACAACCGAAGAUGGUCGCCUGGCCAACAAGUAGAGCUCAUCCGAAAUAUUGUUGUCACCAUGAGAUGUGUUUGCAACCAACUACCAAAAGUCCUGAUGUGUUCACAUGUAAUCCAGUCGUCACACUGCUCUGGGUGUUUGGAGUGCAGAAUAUUCUUGUGUUCCUUGACAUACGGGGUCACCAAGGUAGAAUUCUGUAGAACUGUGUGGUGUGCUUGAGACCAAGAAUGCCCGUCCCUACAUAUUAUUGUGUCUGCUCCUAGCGUGCCUUUUCUAGUCAGUCUCCCCUCAUACCAUGAUUGAGGGAGACCAAUCUUCUUAAGGUCAAGAAUGAAGUCUACAAAAAAACCAAUGGCCUCCUAUGUCUGAUGGCCCAUGGAGAUGCUUCCUUCUGACCUAACGCGGUUAUGAACAUACUUCUUUAAGACUCCCAUGAACCUCUCAAAGGGGAACAUAUUGUGUAAAUACCGGGCCCAGAAUGGUAAUCUCGUCGACUACAUGAACUAGGACGCGCGUCAUGAUAUUGAAGAAGGAUAUUGGGAACACCAACUCGAAACUGACAAGACAUUGCGCCAAAUCACUCCUUAUCCUUGGUAGGAUUUCUGGAUCGAUCACCUUCUAAGAGAUUGCAUUGAGGAAUGCACAUAGCUUCACAAUGGCUAAUCGUACGUUUUCCAGUAGAAGCCCCCUCUAUGCAACCGGAAGCAGUUGCGUCAUAAUCACGUUGCAGUCAUGAGACUUUACGUUCUGGAACUUUUCUCUGCCAAAUUUAUUAUUCUCUUUAUAAUCGACGAGAAGCCAGAUGGGACCUUAAUACUGAGCAGGCAUUCAAAGAAGAUUUCCUUCUCUUCUUUGGUAAGAGCAUCGCUGGCAGGACCUUCAUACUGCUUUGGAGGCAUGCAAUCUUUUUCGUGCACACACUGCUGGUCUUCCCAUGCCUCCAGUGUAUCUUUUGUCUUCCCAUACACGCCCAAUAAGCCUAGCAGAUUCACGCAAAGAUUCUUCAUCACGUGCAUCAUGUCGAUUGUAUAGCGGACCUCUAGGUCUUUCCAAUAGGGUAGGUCCCAAAAUAUAGAUUUCUUCUUCCACAUGGGUGCGCGUCCCUCAGCAUCAUUCGGAACAAAUAGUCUGCCGGGACCCUUUCCAAAGAUUACUUGUAAAUCAUUGACCAUAGCAAGUAUGUGAUCACCAGUAUGGACCGCUGGCUUCUUCCGGUGAUCUGUCUCACCUUUGAAAUGCUUGCAUUUCUUUCGACGUUGAUGGUUGCUCGGAAGAAAUUGACGAUGCCAAAGGUACACAUUCUUCCUGCAUUUGUCCAAAUAUAUACUUCUGGUGUCAUCUAAACAGUGUGUGCAUGUGUGGUAUACCUUGUUUGUCUAUCCUGAAAGGUUACUGAGAGCAGGCCAAUCAUUGAUGGUUACAAACAGCAACGCAUGUAGGUCAAAUUCCUGCUGUUCUUGCUCAUCCCACACACGUACACCUUUUCCAUUCCACAGCUGUAAAAGUUCUUCAACUAAUGACCUUAGGUACACAUCAAUGUCGUUGCCAAGUUGCUUAGGGCCUUGGAUGAGAACUGGCAUCAUAAUGAACUUUUGCUUCAUGCACAGUCACGGGCCAGGUGCUAUGAUUGUUGUUCUACUCCCCAAAAUGAUUAAUGCCAUCCGUGCUUAAACCAGACCAUACGUUCCUUGCGUCACCUGAAAAGUCCGCCCACUUUCUUUUGAUUUUUCUCCACCGGGACCCGUCAGCGGGUGCUCUCAACUUCCCGUUUUUCUUAUGGCCUUCUCUGUGCCGUCGCAUCAACCUUCAUGCUUUUUUUUGGAACAAACGUUUCAACUGUGGUAUUAUAGGAGCACACCACAUCACCUUGGCAGGAAUCUUCUUCCUAGGGUGCUCGCCCUCGACAUCACUAGGGUCAUCAUGGGUUAUCUUAUAGCGCAAUGCACCACAUACCGGGCACACAUUCAAAUCUUCGUACUCACCGCGGUAGAGGAUGCAGUCAUUAGGGCAUGCAUGUAUCUUAUGCACCUCUAAUCCUAGAGGGCAGACUACCUUCUUUGCUUCAUACGUACUCUCGGGCAAUUCAUUCUCCUUUGGAAGCAUAUUCUUUAACAUCAGCAAGUUUCCAAAACCCUUGUCAGAUACAACAUUCUCUGCCUUCCAUUACAACAAUUCUAGUGUGGUCCCCGGCUUUUUCUUGUCAGCUUCGCAAUUUGGGUACAAUAAUUUCUUGUGAUCCUCUAACAUGCGAUCGAACUUCAACUUAUCCUUUUCACUUUCGCAUUGUCUCUUUGCAUCAACAAUGAGCCGGCGAAGAUCAUCAUCGGGCACAUCGUCUGGUUCCUCUUGAUCUUCAGCUUCCCCCAUUGCAGCAUCAUUGUAUUCAGGGGGCACAUAGCUGUCAUCAUCCUCUUCUUUUUCAUUGUCUUCCAUCAUAACCCCUCUUUCUUCGUGCUUGGUCCAAAUAUUAUAGUGUGGCAUAAAACCCUCCUCAAGCAGAUGGGUGUGAACGGUUUUUUGGUUAGAGUAAGACUCCGUAUUCCCGCAUUUAGGGCAUGGACAACACAUAAAACCAUUCUGCUUGUUUGCCUCAGCCACUUCGAGAAAAUUAUGCAUGCCCUUAAUGUACUCGGAGGUGCGUCUGUCACCGUACAUCCAUUGCCGGUUCAUCUGCGUGCAUUGUAUAUAAUUAAGUGUGUCAAAAACCAUUACAGAACAUCAUGAAUAGAGAAGUGACCAAGUAAAUAGAAUUUCAUCAUCACAUUAAAACCAAAGUACAGUAGUGAUGAAAUGUUAUUACUGAAAAAAUAAAUACAUAAAGUUCAUACAUAUAUAGUUCUCAUUGAACAACAUAUAGCUCUCUAGAGCAUCUAAUUAAACCAUAUAUUGAAACUAUGUAAAACAUUUCAAUGCAACAACAAAUGCGAUCAUAAUUGCAACUAAGGUAACAAUUGAUCCAACGGCAUAAUGAUACCAAGCCUCAAUAUGAAUGGCAUAUUUUCUAAUCUUUCUAAUCUUCAAGCGCAUUGCAUCCAUCUUGAUCUUGGGAUCAUCGACGACAUCCGCAACAUGCAACUCCAAUCUCAUCUUCUCCUCCUCGAUUCUUUUCAAUUUUUUCUUCAAGUAAUUGUUUUCUUCUUCAACUAAAUUUAACCUCUCGACAAUAGGGUCAGUUGGAAUUUCCGGUUCACAUACCUCCUAGAUAAAAGCAUCUAUGUCACGUUGGUCGGCAUAAUUGUCAUAAAUACUAAAAUAACCAAAUAGUAAUAAAAGAUAAUAUAUACCACAUCUGAAUCAUACACAGGACGAGGGCCGAUGGAGGGGGAUACCAAAAUCAUCGCACUAUAUAAUAACAAACAAUUAUAAAAGUAAGAAAAUUAUACAGGUAUCUAUCUAAAUCAUACAAGUAAGAACUUUUUUCUUUUAGGAAGAAGAUAAGAACAAGAGGCUCACCACGGUGGUGUCGGUGACGAGAUUGGCACGGGGGAUCAACAGCGGUGAGGACGGGGAGGGGACAGGACUGACAGCCAAACCUAGACAAAUCUUGAGGAAAAUGGAGCUUGGAUAAGGAGCUUCGAGAGCAGAAAUCUUAAGUGUGGCAUGUGCAUAGGAGGUGAGCUAGAGCACCACAAUGCUCUACCACAGCCGGCCAAAAAAACAGAGUGAUAGCUUUGCUCGCGGGCACACUACUACGGAAAUGCUUAUACACAGGAGCUCACCGGUAGCGCUUUUUACAACAAAACGCUGCUGCUAAAUAACGGUAGUGCUUGUGCCCGAAGAGCACUGCUACUAUGCAUAUAGCAGUAGCGCUUUGUCUACAAAACACGCUGCUUAUGUAAUUGCCAUAACCGUUGCAGGCCGUGUAGGCAUACUAGUAGCGCUCAUAAGCAACAAGCACUACUGCUAUUGUACGUAGUAAUAGCGCUGUCGUCUAACCAGCGCUACUGCUAAAUAGCAGUAGCGGUGAGUUCUUAACAACGCUACUACUACGAUUACCUUAUCCACACCCGCACAUCCCUCUCACUCUCCCCUCACACACUCUCACUCACCCACCGUACUAUUCCGUCGCCUGCCGUCGCCGCCGUCGCCCGCUGUCGCCCCCAACGUAUCUGCCUCCCUCCCUCCUCCUUUCACCGCCCUCCUCUCUCCCUCCUCCCACGGCCGUCCUCUCGCGCCGGCGGCCGUCGCUCCUCCCUCCUCUCCCUCGUACGAUCGCCGCCCUGUUGCCUGCACCCUCCUCUCUGCUCCCUUCGUCCCCAGUCGCCCGAAGCCCUCACUCCUCCCUCUUCCUCCUCCUCCCACUGCCCUCCUCUCUUAAAAAUUUAGGUAUAAAUUUUUUUAGUAAAAGAAUUUAGUAGUAGAAAUUGUUAGGUAGAGAAAUAUUUAUGCUAUGUGAGAUUAUUUUAGUAAAUGUACGUUUUCUGAAUAGAAUUGAAAAAAUAAGUAAAUGUAGGUCUGUUGAAUAGAAUAGGAAUUUUUCUAAGUUAUGUGAAAUUAGUGCAUUUUUCUAUGGUUCAAGAAGUAGACAGUAGGUAAAAAAAUGAGGAUAAGAAUGUUCUUUGGGUUUAGGAAACAAAUUGCAGACAAUUGAAAAUUUUAUUUGGAAUCAAAUUGGAUAUUUAUUUGAUAGCUUAUGGAGUUUCACUAAGUCCUAAGAUGACAAUAAUAAUGUUUUUCUUUAUAUUUUGUUUUUGAAGAAAUCAAGGAGCCCCUGCAUCAUCCCCGCCGUCGUCCCCGUCACCGACCCCCUCCGACCUCGAUCAAGGUGAGACCAGCCACCCCAUGUUGUUAAUUUAAUUUAAAUAUUUUAGGUGUUUAAUCUUAGAAUAAUAGAGUAUGAACCCUAGUUUUGAUCGAAUCAUGUUCAAAACGUAGGUUUUUAAUUAGGUAUAGUUAAUAGAAUUUGGUGUUUUAGGUGUAUUUAAUAGAAUUCUAGGUUGGUUCGUUUUGAAGUGGACAUGUCAUAUUCUGAACAUGACACAUUUGUUAUUAUUUUUAGUUCAAGCAAUUAUCCCUGUAUCGACGUCAACAAUGCCUAUCCCACAUCCUCGUUGUCGACUCGACGGAGGAGGCCUGCUUGAUCAGAGGGGCCAUGUCCGGGACUGGGCUCCGCCGGGCUGGUACUGGGAGGUGCUACCUUCCAGGGGCGCAGCUUGGUGAGGAGCCAGCCCGUCAUUGACCCGAACCUUCUUUGGUGGCAGUCGCGUGGGCCAGUGACGGUGCGGAGGCUUGAGGACCCCACGGAGGUUGUACGUCAUCAUGUCAGCGAGGAGGAUGAGCACGUCCAUCGCUACAUGAUUGCGUUGGAGGGCAGGUUCUCCAAUACCUUGCAGGUUCUUCAGAGAUCUCACUGGAGCUAUGAUCAUGUGAUGGUUCCUUCUCUUUGGGUGUCCACCGCCCGCGCCGAUACCCGUCAUUCGCUAGGGUUUUAGCUGUAUUAGUGAUGUUAUACGUAUGAUACUAUUCGAGAUGUAUUAGUGAUAAUAUUCUAUGAUGUACGGACAAAAGAGAUGAUUUAGUUUUGCUUAUUGAGUGCAUGCUAAUUUGAAUAAUAAUUUAUUUUACAUUUGGUUUUGCUUACUGAAUUCUCAAAUUGGAAAACUAUUCCUACUUCAAAUGCUCAAAUUGGAGAGCACUAUGCUUAUAGGGUUUUUGUUUUUGCAGAAAUCAAGGUGCCCCUCCAUCAUCACCGUCGCCGUCCCCAUCACCGACCCCCUCCGACCUCAAGGUGAGACCUACCAAAUCUCCAUGUCAAUAUGAGUCCUAUAAUACAUUUUGAAAUGUUAUAUAUACAUAUUUUUUGAACCAUUGUAAUGCAAUGACCAUCAAGUUUGAAUGCUCAUACGAUAUAGAUAUAAACAUGUAUAUCUUGUGUUGCUCAAAUAGGAUAUGUGCUUGCCCAAGUGGCCGGCCAUGUUUGUUACACCUCCGAGUGGCCUAUGUUUUGCCGAAGUGUUAAUUAAUUUCCGUUUCGGCAAAUUUCAGGCGCUCAAUAUGUCCUCUUUUAGCAAAGGUCAUGCCGGAUUUUUCCGUGAAUUCUGGCAUGACUUGUGCUAGAAUAUGUAGGAAAUAUCGAGUGGCCUGGAUUUUCUAGAAAAAUAAUUAAAUGCCAUUUCGGGUUGACUUUAAGUCUGUUGAGGCUCCAUCACCAACGGUCCAAAAAUCAGUGAGGGAGUGUAUCCACCAUAUAUGAGAGAGGACGAAGAAUCCCGACUAUUGUCAUGGUGGUCGUUUCUCCUUCUUCUCUGGGUGCUAGACCUUUGUUAUGCACUAGGGGAAGGAGGAGUAACGACCAUCACCGACGGUCGCAGAUGUCAGAGAAGAAUCAGUGAGUGAGAGUCUCCACCACAUAUGAGAGGACGAAAAAUCCCGACUAUUGUCGUGGGGGUUGCUUCUCCUUUGUUCCCGUGUGCCAGACAUUUUCGUGUAGUGCACUCGGGUACGAAAGGAGGAGCGAUCAUCACCAAUGGUCGAAUGUAUACACCAUGCGAGCUUAGAGUUUUCAAUAAAAAGACUCGGCAGACCGAUAGUCAACCCGUGAUGAAUAAUAAUGAUCUAAUUUAGUUUUGGUAGUACAUAUAUUGAAUUGUACAAGUUUAAUUUUUGAUUUACAAACCUAGGAAAUGUCGUUAUCGGACGACGAAAGUCUCCCGUGGGAGUGCGACUAGUGCAACGAUGACCAGGGUCUGUGCGACAGGCCUCACCUGGACGAAGGUCGGCACUUCAGCAUUAAGCUCCAGGAGACCUUCAAUGUUGAAACGGUACACAACAGCGACAAGUGUUUUUUUCAUAAAUAAGCAUGACUUCAACUAUUUCAACGUGUAAUUUUGUCUUUUACAAUUUGAGUAGCUUAUGUCAUGCCAUGCAAGACGCUAUGUCUUGGAGAGGAUUUAUUUUGAAGACGAUGGAAAUUUUGAAACAAACAAAAUUCACCUAAGGACCCAUCAUGGUAUGGAUUUUGAAGUAAAUUUAUACAAUUCUGAGAGUGUAACCCAUUUUGGUUGCACAAAUUGGGAAGCACUUUGCAAGAUGUAUGGUUUCUAUGAGGGUAUGCUUGUCACCAUGGAUCUUGGUGAUCCUGACAUCGACCAAGACAAUAUGGACAUUUGGUUCCUUGUUGAUAUGCUUCCAGUUCUACCACUAUGUGAGUUUCUCAAACAUAGUUAUUAACUAAUGUAUAUUGUUUAUUUCAAAGUAGUUGACAACAGAUUUCCAUUGACAGCUUAUUUUCAUUCUUCAAACAAUGUGCGGAAGAUGGUAGACAGAACCUACUACACCGAUGGCUCUGAGUUAACUUAUGAGAAGAAAAAUCAUCUGGUCGCAUUUUGUACUGAGCUUGAGAAUUACAAUAUCUAUUAUCAAACUCCUUCAUGUUAUGGUCAAUACAUGCCACUAGUGCACGUGUUGAACUACGGUAACAUCCAUGGAGAUACCAUGCACUACUAGGGAAAACCUUAUACACAGAACUUUAGUAGUAGCGUGUGUUAAUAAAGCACGCUGGUGCUAAGUAGCAGUAGCGCGCUGGUGUAAACGGCGCUACAGAUACAGUUGUAGCAAUAGCGCGGCUGAAGAUAAAAGCGCUACUGCUAACAUUCCCACGGUUUAGCCGAUAGGCUACACAUAGUAGUAGCGAUCUACGUCAAACCGCGCUACCGCUACUUUCUUUGUAGCAGCGCGUUUACGCUGAAAGGCGCUACUGCUAAAGGAAAUAAAAUUAAAUGGAAAGCAAAUAGAAAAGUAAAUGAAAAUGAAAGAAAUAGAAAAAGGUGAAAGAAAAAAAUAAAAUGUAAAGAAAAAUAAAUGAAAAGGGGGAAAAAGAGAAAGGAAUAGCAGUAGCGCGUAUCGAGGAACGCGUUGUAGCUAACUUAGCAGCAUCACACUUCCUGGAACGCGCUACUGCUACUUCUGACUUAACCGCGUGGUUCGUUCCUCCCCACGGCCACUUCCCCCAAAUCCAACUCCUCCUCUAUCGCCGCCGCCGUUGCCGGUUGGCCACCUCGCGCUCACCCGUCGCUCUUCGCACACCGUCAACGCCGCCCCCGACCCCGGAUUCGACGCCGCCCCCGACCCCGACCUCGAUGCCGCCCUCCACCUCGACGCCGCCCCCGACGCCGACCUCGACACCUCCCUCCACCGCGCGCCCGAGCCCCGACCUCGACCUCGAUGCCGCCUGCCCCUCCCUCACCGCAGGCACCCGAGGUGAGCCCCCUGCUCCUCCCCCUCCCCUACAUCUGCCUAGGGUUCUUCAAAUUUUAGUUGCAUCAAAUUAGUUAGGGUUCAUCUAUGGGUGGAAACAAAUCGGAUGCGGAUGUUAUCAGAUAUGAAUGCGGCUCGGAUGUUUUCUUAGAUGAUGAAUAAACAUUAUUGUAAUGCAUAAUAAUUUGUAAGAUUAAUCAUAAAACGAGUAAAAUUUGACCACUUAUGUCACUUUCCACCCCUAGGUUCAUCAAAUUAGAUGGUAAUUAGGCAGUAGUUCCUAGGUACUUAUUAGUUAGUAAGAACUAUGUACUAAUUUAUUUUUAUUUAUAGUUAGUUUAUUUUAAGUAAGAACUAGUUGAAUUAAUAGAACUAGUUGAACAUGUCACAUUUGUUGUUAUUUUUUUAGUUAAAGCAAUUUUUCCCGCAUCGAUGUCGAUGAUGCCUAUCCCGCAUCCUCGUCGUCGACUCGGUGGAGGACGCCUUCUUGACCAGAUGGGCCAUGUCCGGGACUGGGCUCCACCGGGCUGGUACUGGGAGGCGCUACCUGCCGGGGGCGCAGCUUGGUGAGGAGUCAGCCCGUCGUUGACCUGAACCUUCUUUGGUGGCGGUCGCGUGGGCCAGUGACGGUCGAGAGGCUUGAGGACCCCGCGGAGGUGGUAACUCACCGUUUCAGCGAGUAGGACGCGCACGUCCAUCGCUACUUGGUUGCGCUGCAGCUCAGGUUCCCCAAUACAUGGCAGGUUCUCCAGGGAUCUCACUGGAGCUAUGAUCCUGUGAUGGUUCCUUCUCUUUGGGUGUCCACCGCCCGCGCCGAUACCCGUCAUUUGCUAGGGUUUUAGUUGUAUUAGUGAUGUUAUAUGUAUGAUACUAUUCGGGAUGUAUUAGUGAUAAUAUUCGACGAUGUACGGACUCAAGAGAGAUUAACUUUUUCUUAUUGAAUGCAUGCUAAUUUGAAGACUUAUUUAUUUUGCAAUUUGGUUUUUCUUAUUGAAUGCUCAUGUCAAUAUGAGUCCUAUAAGGUAUUCUGAAAUGUAUAUCUUGUGUUUUUUUGAGAGAUCAGAUAGUGGGAGAGGCUCCCACUGUGUUUGUAUUACUCAAAAAUAGAAUACAAUGUACAUGGUGCAGUUAUAGGGUGCUUGUCCUCCACUUUUGGAGGGAUUAGCAGCUACUUUUUUAUGUUGGAGAAGUCAAGGAGGUUCUAAGUUUUGUACAAAGGAGAGAAUAAAGUCUCUCUUAUCGGUUCUAGUUCUAUGUUGGAGAAGGCUAAAAUCAUGCUUAAAAUGCUCAAGCCAAGAAAGCAAAGUUGGGGUGAUGCUUCUGAAGUGCUUGUUAUUCCUCUCUUUCCAGAUACUACAAGCUUCCUGUAAGAAUACUUCCAUGACCAUGGGCUUGUUCCAAUUAUUUGCUGCGAGACUAAUCCAUUGAAGUCUGGAUCCAGAGACUUGCCAUGUGAUCCCAAGGAUGGACCAACAUUGUUUACUGAAAGGGCAUUGAAAGACCAUGUGUUCCACGUUCUCUUCAAUUUGUUGACCACAUAAGAGGCAGUUGAAGUCAUCUCCAAUGUUGUAGUGCCUCCUCUUGAGCAUGUUGCAUGUGUUUAGGCGGUCAGCGAGCAGUAGCCACCCAAACACUUUGAUUUUCAACGUCGUCUUCGCUGCCCAUAGCCAUUGGUACGAUUGGUGUGCGUGCACAUCCCUAAAGUAGAACUUGUAGUAUCUGUUUGCCUUGUAUUCCAUUGAUCCCUAGCAGUAUGUCCAGGUAUCAUGGGGGGUCGGGUCUACAUUGUUGCCAAGAUGGAUCACAUUUUGUUGCAGCUCACGGAGUUCUUGUAGCGCUUGAACUGAGAGUGGAAGGUGAAACAUUUCAUGUAGUGAUGUGGAUCCCAAGAAAGUUUUAACUGAUAUAUCCUCAUUUUUUUCGUAGGAGAAUGCGCGUGGGUACGUUUUUCAUCCAGUGUGGCAUCCAACCACAGAUCCUUGCACAUAAGUACCGUGGUGCCAUCAUGGACAUUUGCUUUUGAUAUACCUCUGUAAAUCGGGGCGAGCUUCAGGACAUCCCUCCACCAGAAAGAUCCGCAUGGCUCCGUGGCAUGGGGGAUCUUGUUUGUGUAGUAAGUCGACCAUAUGAGCUCAACCCAUGGCACAUUGUGUCUGUUAUAGAAUUUAUGUAGGUACUUGAGGAGGAAAGCUUCACUUUAUAUGCGCAGAUUUAUUAUACCAAGUCCACCACACUUCUUUGGCUGGCACACCAUGCUCCAGGCCGUAAGCGAGUUACAUUUGUCCCCUUGUUCUGUCUUCUUUGUCCACAGCCAUUUCAUUCUUAGUUUGUCGAGAAGUUCUAAAAUCUUUGGUGGCAGUUUGAGAGUCCACGGAGCAAAGAUAGCUAGUGACGUGAUCAUUGUAUUGAGGAGUGAGAGUUUGGCCCCAUAAGACAUCAAGGCAAGUGUGCUUGUCAUCCGUCUUUCCAUCGUGCAAACUAGCGGCAUGAGAUCUUGAACCGAGGGCUUGGUUGUCCCGAGUGGUAGCGCUAGGUAAGUGAAUGGCAUGGAUCCAACUUUGCAGCCAAAGAUAGUGGAUAGCUCAUUGUAGCAGCUCGCAUCACAGUUGAUUGGGAUUAGUGUGGACUUGUGGAAGUUUAUCUUCAGCCCAAUGGAGACAACAUAGUCAGAAAGAAUGUCUUUAAUCAUUCUAGCUUGAUCAGGGCAGGCGGGAAGAAUGAUGAUCGUGUCGUCCACGUAUUGGAUCACAGGGUAUUCAAGUUGAUUAUGUCAUGGGAACGGUAGAUGGAUCUUCUUUGUCUGAAGGCAUCAUUGAUGGCAGCUUGUAAGAGGUUAGCCGCAAGCACAAAAAUCAACGGAGAGAAAGGAUCUCCUUGGCGAACCCCAUAAUUACAGAGGAAUUGUCUGCCUAGGACACCAUUUAAAAGCACCGCUGACUUGCCCGAGGAGAAGAUGCAUUUAACCCAGCGAAGCCACCUAUUAUCAAAGCCCAUGUGUUCCAUAAUCGUAAGCAUUACAUCAUGUUCAAUCGUGUCAAAUGCUUUGGCGAAAUCCAGUUUUAGAAGGAUGAUCUUUUCCUUGGAGGCUUGGCACUGAUGGAUAUACUCGAACGCCCAAGCCAAAUAGUCAUGUAUUGAUCGGCCUUUUAGGAAGCCAUAUUGAUUUCGAUGGACAGUUUUAAGUAUGAGUUUUUGGAGUCUGUUUGCAAGUAGUUUGGUGAGAAUCUUGAGACAAUAGUUUAGCAAUGUGAUGGGUCUGAAAUCAGAGACUGUCUCCGGGGACCGAACCCUAGGAAUGAGUGUAAUAAACCCCUCAUUAAUACUCUCAAGAUUGAGUCCCCCCUUACAGAACUGGUUGCAAAGCUCAUAAAAGUCCUCCUUAAUAACAUCAAUCUCCUCCUUGGUGAAGGGAACAGUAAGUUGAUCCAGUCUCUCCACUUUUUUGAUGAUGUUUUGCAGGUUAAAUUUCAUUUGGAACUCUCCUGACUUGCCUAGUCUCUCUAUAAAGUUUGGUAUAUGACAGCCUCCUUGCCGGCGUGAUCUUCUACCACCGUACCAUCUGAAAUUUUAAGUGUUUGUAUUGUGUUCCGCCUGUAUCUCUUAGAGGCCAAAGCUUUCAAAAAGCAAUAUCCCCUCCGUGUAGACCCGAGCGUCCGUUUCCCCCCUCCAGGUGCCGGCGGCAGAGCCGUCCCUGAGUCGGGCCACACCUCGGAGAAGCGUGUUGCCUCUUCAGACAUGCCACCACAACACCCCGCAUGUAUGAGGACCUGGUGCGACGCUCCUGUGGCAUUGCUACCCCUAGGGCCCCCGUCCCGCCUAACCCUGGAGCGGUUGACCACGAGAUCUAGCCCUUUGACUUUCCACGGACGGGCUUUGACCGGUGGACCGCUCCACCUAGUUGUGUUAGGUCAGCCCAUAGGGACACCUGGGAGCAACAUCCGGGCCAAACCCACAGCAAGAUCCCCUCCGUGUAGACCCGACGCGUCCGUUCCCCCCCCUCUAGNNNNNNNNNNAGCGGUGGCACCGUCCGUGAGGGUGGCCACAUCUCGGAGACGCAUGCUGCCUCUUCAGACAUGGCACCACACCACACCGCAUGUAUGAGGGCCCGGUGCGAUGCUCCUGUGGCAUUACUACCCCCCAUGGCCCCCGUCUAGCCUAACCCUGGAGCAGUUGUCCACGAGAUCUAGCCCGUUGACUUUCCACGGACGGGCUUUGACCGGUGGACCUCUCCCCCCACCCUCGGUUGUGUUAGGUCAGCCAAUAGGGACACCUGUGAGCAACAUCCGGGCCAAACCCACAGCAAGAUCCCCUCCGUGUAGACCCGACGCGUCCGUUUCCCCCUCCAGGUGCCGACGGCGGCGCCGUCUGUGAGGGGGGCCACACCCCGGAGAUGCUUGCCGGGCGUUUGCAACCGCCACAACACUUCCAGAGUUGUGAGAGGCCCCGUACGCAAGAUUGGCGGCAUUCUUUCCCCGGAGGCCGCCGGCCACAGUCGUAGACACGCGAAGAGCAAUCCGCGUAGAGGGAAGUGUUCAUAUACUUCUCCAUCACCAAAAAUUAUGGAAAAUUACCAUCAGUCCUAUAGCACAUGUGCCCACGUCGUGUAAAAACUCAUGAUUUUAUCGCGCUCCGAGUAUUUAAUAAUAUUCACGCCGCACCGUUACCGCAGAACGUCUACUACUGUGUCACCGCCGUCCGUGAGGAGGGACACACCACGGAUACGUGUGCCGCCUCUUCAAACAUACCACCACACCACCCCGCAUGUAUGAGGCCCCGGUACGACGCUCCGGUGGCAUUGCUACCCCCAGGGCCCCCGUCCCGCCUAACCCUUCAGUGGUUGACCACGAGAUCUAGCCCUUUGAUCUUCCACGGACGGGCUUUCACCAGUGGACCUCUAAACCAGGUUGUGUUAGGUCAUCCCAUAGGAACACCUGGGAGCAACAUCCGGGCCAAGCCCACAGCAAGAUCCCGUCCGUGUAGAUCCGACGCGACCGUUUCCCCUCUUCNNNNNNNNNNGUCUAGCCUAACCCUGGAGCAGUUGUCCACGAGAUCUAGCCCGUUGACUUUCCACGGACGGGCUUUGACCGGUGGACCUCUCCCCCCCCCGGUUGUGUUAGGUCAGCCAAUAGGGACACCUGGGAGCAACAUCCAGGCCAAACCCACAGCAAGAUCCCCUCCGUGUAGACCCGACGCGUCCGUUUCCCCCUCCAGGUGCCGACGGCGGCGCCGUCCGUGAGGGGGGCCACACCCCGGAGAAUAUUGCCGGGCGUUUGCAACCGCCACAACACUUCCAGAGUUGUGAUAGGCCCCGUACGCAAGAUUGGCGGCAUUCUUUCCCCGGAGGCCGCCGGCCACAGUCGUAGACAUGCGAAGAGCAAUCCGCGUAGAGGGAAGUGUUCGUAUACUUCUCCAUCACCAAAAAUUAUGGAAAAUUACCAUCAGUCCUAUAGCACAUGUGCCCACGUCGUCUAAAAACUCAUGAUUUUAUCGCGCUCCGAGUAUUUAAUAAUAUUCACGCCGCACCGUUACCGCAGAACGUCUACUACUGUGUCACCGCCGUCCGUGAGGAGGGCCACACCACGGAUACGUGUGCCGCCUCUUCAGACAUACCACCACACCACCCCGCAUGUAUGAGGCCCCGGUACGACGCUCCGGUGGCAUUGCUACCCCCAGGGCCCCCGUCCCGCCUAACCCUUCAGUGGUUGACCACGAGAUCUAGUCCUUUGAUCUUCCACGGACGGGCUUUCACCAGUGGACCUCUAAACCAGGUUGUGUUAGGUCAUCCCAUAGGAACACCUGGGAGCAACAUCCGGGCCAAGCCCACAGCAAGAUCCCGUCCGUGUAGAUCCGGCGCGAUCGUUUCCCCUCUUCAGGUGCCGGCGGCGGCGCCGUUNNNNNNNNNNNNNNNNNNNNNNNNNNNNNNNNNNNNNNNNNNNNNNNNNNNNNNNNNNNNNNNNNNNNNNNNNNNNNNNNNNNNNNNNNNNNNNNNNNNNNNNNNNNNNNNNNNNNNNNNNNNNNNNNNNNNNNNNNNNNNNNNNNNNNNNNNNNNNNNNNNNNNNNNNNNNNNNNNNNNNNNNNNNNNNNNNNNNNNNNNNNNNNNNNNNNNNNNNNNNNNNNNNNNNNNNNNNNNNNNNNNNNNNNNNNNNNNNNNNNNNNNNNNNNNNNNNNNNNNNNNNNNNNNNNNNNNNNNNNNNNNNNNNNNNNNNNNNNNNNNNNNNNNNNNNNNCUUCAGACAUGCCACCACACCUUCUCGCAUGUAUGAGGGCCCGGUGCGACGCUCCGGUGGCAUUGCUACACCCAGGGCCCCCGUCCCGCCUAACUCUGGAGCGGUUGACCACGAGAUCUAGCCCUUUGACUUUCCAUGGAUGGACUUUGACCAGUGGACCUCUCCACCCAGUUGUGUUAGGUCAGCCCAUAGGAACAAUUUGGAGCAACACCCGGGCCAAACCCACAGCAAGAUCCCGUCCAUGUAGACCCAACGCGACCGUUUCCCCCUCCGGGUGUCGGCGGCGGCGCCGUCUGUGAGGAGGGCCACACCUCGGAGAUGCGUGUCGCCUCUUCAGACAUGCCACCACACUACCCGGUUGUGGUAGGUCAUCCCAUAUAUAGAAACACUUGGGAGCAAUGUCCCCUCCGUAUAGACCCGAUGCGGCUGUUCCCCCCUCCAGGUGCCGGCCGGCGGCGCCGCCGUCCGUGAGGGGGGUCACACCCCUCCAUAUAGAACCGAAAAAUAAUGUAUGUAUGCUUAUAUUAACACAUGCUACAUGUAAGUUAAUCAAAUAAUAAUAUGUAAAAAACAUAAAAAAUUGUUAUGCAAAAAAAUAUAGAUAUGACAGCAUAGCUGCGGCCAGGGCAAAUGGACGGUGCGCCGCGGACCGAUGACAUGUCAUCUAUGCCGACGGCCGCCCGUCUCCGCCAUCGGCAUAGAUUCGACGACGUUAGCCGCCCGUCACGAGCGUGGUCUCCGGGCCCGUAGCUAUGCCGACGGCCCGUGUAUGCCGACGGGAGCUGUAGGCGUAGCCAGGGCUAAGCCGACGGUUGUUCUUUGUCGACGGGGGCCGUCGGCGUAGCAGGGGAUAGCCCGACGGCCAUUGUAUGCCAACGGCCUGGACCUAGCUGUCGGCAUAGCAUGGAGUAGGCCGACGGGGGCCGUCGGCAUAUGUUUGGCCGUCGGCAUCGAGCCCUGUUCCGUUAGUGCGCACGACCUUGCUGCGGCCGUGGUCACAAAUGGUCUGCUCCGAGCCUCCGACCUCACCGUGAACACGGCGUGCCUCCUGCUCUAAACCUACCUCCUGACUCACGUCGAGGAUCUCUAUGAACCUUGUUGGCGGUGUUAGGUUAGCUUUAUAGUGUGUCGAGUCUGUAUCUUAUCCGGUAGCAAGAUUCUUUCCUAGUUGUAUACGAUACAUGAUGGAAAUGGACAUGGGCUUGUAUGAAUUUUAAAGGAAAGAAGAAUCGGCGAAAGGCAUUACCGAGAAAAAAAUAGAUGCACGUUAGGAUCUUAUUAGAAAACUUAUGAUUUUUUUUCCAUAGAGCGGCCUUUUGAAUCUCAACCGUCGAUCUUUAUGGUUAACACAAAAUCAAUGGAUAUAAAGGGAUGAUUUGUGGAGAACUAUGAAAGCUUCCGUCCAUUAUUAUUACUAGAUGACUCGUUGCGCCAAUGGCGCAAAGGCCGAGAGGGAGCCAAGUAUUGUGAGAAUAUUUAGACACUCAAGUCGAAAAUCAAAUGUGGCCAACACUCCCGCAUCCUCUGCUUGGAAGACGCCUUUUCUCACCGGAUCAAACAUAGAUAAAUGAUUCUUCAAGAGCAAAUUUCAAAGAAAAUAUAAAGGAUGGAAGGCUUUAAGUUGUACUAUUGAGACCAUACCACCAUAUCUUCUUUUAGUUUCUUUGGAAAUCGAAAGGUAUAAGAGGUUGGUACAUGUGAGAAGCUGUGAAUCCACAACAAAAAACUAAACUAACUUCCAAACAAACAUUUCAAGUUUGGAAGCCACAAAGAAGCAGCCCAGAUCUCUCGUUGUAGUGCAGGUUCAAGAAAAUGGGCCGAAUGACCAUCACAGCAACAUGUAGAAGCAGCAAAAAUAUAGGCUUGGUGUGUAACUGAUCAUGAAAGAUAGUUUGAUCAGUUUCUCCAUUGUUGGCUUAUACUGAGCAAGAACAUCAGCCUGCAGAGAAGAAAAAUGGAGGACUGCUUUAUUCUGCGGUACAUCCGCAAUACUACAGCAAAUAACGUAGUUAAAUGUGCGCUAAGAUGUAAGACCUUUUAGAUCACUAUUUUAGUGAUGUAAAAAGUAAGCGGUCAUCUAAAAGCUCUUGUAUUAGUUUAAAGUGGGAGUACUUAAUAAGACUGUAAGCCAGUACAUCAAAGUAAUGCCGGCUUCCCAUUGAUUUGAUCAAACCAAUAUGACAAAGGGAAGGUGAAACUUCAGAAGACCAUAUAAAUUGAAAGCGAUGUCUUAAUUUAAAACUCUGGAAUGAAGUAAUAAACAUUAAGUCUGAAUGUUGUCACUAAAAAAGCAUAAAAAAGGCAGACCAGCCAGCAGUGCAUCAUAAUUAGUGGUUCAUCAUGGGCAAACCAGGCAGCAGUAGCCUAAUAACUUAGAGGGAAAAAAUGCAAGAAGUCAAAGCACAAGGUGGGAAAUAGGACCGAGCAUUGACAGGUAACCAAAUAAUGAAGGAAUAUCCCCAGAGGAUGCAAGAAAUGAGAGAGGAGCACCUAGCAGAGGUUUGUGGACUACCUAUUUAUGCCACACCAUAUCCACAUCCCUAGCACUUGACGUACUUGCUGCUAUUGCCAUGUCUACCUUAUUUCCUCCAUUGCCGGUUCGUGGACUACCUCUUCAGGACACGCCGAAUACAUCCUCUCCUUCACCAGCUGGUAGUCUCGCCCUUCAAUCAUGCCACUAACAAAUAAAAGGAGAAAACUAUGAUCAAGUUGAUAAGUCUUACGACUGUAUGUGAGGAAAGCAAAUAAUUCAUGCUUGUCAAUACCAUAGUGUACAAUUCUAGCAGAAAGCACAUCAUCAUUCUGGAAGAAAAUAGGUGGAAGCAUAAGAAAGCAAUUAAACAAUCUCUUCAGAGGCACUCACAUGGUAAAAUCCAAAACAUCGAAAGCAAUAUAUUAUUUUUGCGAAAUGUACAGGAUUCAAGAAACUGAGUACCAUCAAAAGUAGUCUGCUAUCCAUAUCCAGAACUCCAAUUCUUACAUACUUGCUAAAAGUUUUAUUGGUUGAGAUCAUUUUUGGAUCACCCACCAGCAAGUAUGCAUGAUUCAUAUGUGAAGAGAAACUGACAAUUACAACCAAUAACCAAUUAGCCAACACAUGAAAAACUAUCCUAAACCACUAUGACUACUAUUCACCAAUACCAUAGAUGAUAGCACUAUGCUAUCAGUUUCUUCAUGAUUCACCAUAUAAAAAGAUUAUACCUCUUCUACAUAGCAGCACAAGAUGUUUACACAAGGAAGGAAAAGAGUAAGUUUAAUUUCUUUUCACCUAUUUCUUAUCAAUGGAGAUGGAAAGUGCUCUAGUCUAUUUUUAAUGUUUUAUCUUGUCCACCUAUUUGUAGAUAGGCCUUUUUGUAACAUGACAACCUGAAAUUUAUUAAGAGACAUGAAACUUUUAUUAUAUGAUCGAAAGAACAAAAGUUAGUAAAUAUUUGUUACAAGUACCUGGCAGGAACAAGUGCAGCCUCAGUCUUUUUCAGAAGGCUAGUACAUAUUACAAACCAGGAAACGAUUGUUGAAAUAUGUGCUAUGAUGCAGUUUCUGAAACACGGUUUCAUGGUUGGCCAUGAUAAGUGUCAAAUGUUUUCUCCUUUUUAUUCGGGGUCCAUUAGGGUCAUAGCUGAUGGUACCUUAUAAACAAAAUUUUCAGAAUAGAUUGCAGCUUGUAUAAGAUAGACAGGUUUAGUUAGUAUCAUAUUUAAUCGAAAAGCAAAAUAAUCAUUUAACUAUUUACAUGUCUAGAUCCAAGGUUUGAGAAAUCAAUAAAGUGCCCUCCCUAGAAAUCACAGUGGAAGCAAGUAAAUAACCCAAGCUUGGUGUCGCACCACAAUAAAGAGGAUCAUAAAGGAAAAAAAUAGAGGGUCAUACAGAAUAAUCAGGAAUCUGUACACACAACUUACUACAGUUUACUCAUGCUUCAGAAUCAAUCAACAUGCUUAAUGCCGCACCACAAUAAGUAGCACAUGGAUAUUCUAACUCACAGGACAACCUAUAUAAUGUCAUCUUGCCUUGCAUUUGCCCUCUCAUUGCAUCGACCACCAAGGUAACAUAAAAAAGCACGCCAACCAAGAUAAACCAAAUCAUGGACUUGGACAGGAAAAUCAAAGAGAGGGAAAACCUAUGGAUGGGUUAGAUAGCAAGUCGCUCGCGAGGGCGCCCAGGUCUAGCCGACAACACCCGGCCCCACACACAGUUCGGAAGCACUCUAGCACAUAAUCAGAUGGCAUGAAAGUACCAACAACGACCAACCAAACCGAAUAAUCCACAUGAAUGGUUGUGAAUGAAGGCAGAAUCAUAUGCAUCUCACAACUAACAAAUUUAACUGAUAAUUCAAGAUACUAAAGAUCUGCUCUACAUUUUCGACGGUGAAAAUAGUAAAGAUCUCGAAUGCAAUAAAACAACAAGGAAGCAAACAAGUUGCACAUGAUUUAAAUUACGUCGCGUAACUUCUAAAGUUUUCCCUUUAUAUGACAACCUUCGUCCCAGCAAGAGUCAUUACAGUAUUUAGAUAUCUUGUAUAAAAAAGAUCAAGAACUAAAAACUACAUUCGGCAAGACAUCCUCUCUACAAAAGGAAAUUCCCAGAGCAAACAUUAGCCGAUUCAGUGCAUAUCUCCAAGGCUCAUGUAAGGGAAUUGUCAAAAAGGAGUGAACUGGAUUGGAAGGAGCUGCAAUACCUAAGGAUGGGUUGGAGACUGCGAGGUCGACAAGGACGCCUAUCAAAGCAUGUUUCUUCUGUCAUAAGCUUUUAUUUUACUUCGUCAUGAAGCUGUGAAAAAAGCCAUCUCGGUAUGAGCUUUCGAGAUUUAAACCAACCAUUUUCAUGAAUAAAUUAGUUGCUUCAGUUCUGUUGGGCCGUAUCAUAUAACAAAGAACAGAACAAAAUAGAAGUUUCUCUACCAAUGUUGUAAUUGUCUUGAGUAAAUGGAAGUUAAGAUAAAUGAGAAUCCUUGAGGCAAACACAAAUUAAAAAAUCAGCCACCGCAAUCCUCAAUGUCCGUUGUUCCUCUCUCUAUGGCCAGGCAUUAAAACCAAAACAGCCUAACCAGCCCACAUUAAAGCAAAAAUGGAAAACACGACAUCCUCUAUUGUAGAAUUAAGAAAAAUAUGCUCUCCGGGGAUAGAUUGGUUCACCUUGAGGUACAGAAUAAUUCGAACUCCUACAAAACAUUACAUUGUUUGCUUUAGUAUAUGACCCGUUCAAUCUGAAAAGUAUUCAAAAUUUUCAUCCAAAUCCUUGCAAUUCUUCCUACUGUGUUGAGCUUGUAACAGUGAUAUUAGUAUAAGAAUUUUAUUCUCUUUCUCUAGCUAGAAAUCUCCAAUCUGAAGUUUCAAGACACUGAUCAAAGUAUAUUAUGUCAGAAAAGAAACUCAUUCCACUAUGGAUAUAAUUAUUUGGCUCACACUUGUGAAUCAAGCAAGGAAGGAAGCGAACCUGAUGGUGUUGGUGUAUUGCGGCUCAGGCCAGUGUGCUCGACUUGCCGCUGCGUGUUGUUGGCUUCGCGCCACAAGACUCACCAUGUCCUGACCAGUGCAACACAUAUAAGAUCACCCUCAUAACCCAAGAGAAGUAGGGAAGUAUGUAACUAACAAAAAAACAGAUGUAGCAAGUGCAAGGUAGGCUUAGUGGUGCUUAGAGCUUACUUCAACUUUAUACCAAAGGAUGUACACCGGUCAUCUUCCUCGCUGGUCCCAGACAUUGCCGCAUGCCACCCUUCGAGAAGACAGUAGAGGGAUGAUUCUUCAACUGAAGAUGAAGAAAUGAAGGAAGAGCAAAAAUUUACCUGAGCAUUGGACCGGCGUCAUUCAUGGAUGGAGCUUGGAGGAACCCUCUUCUCCACUUCUCUCGAUCCACUGCCGCUAUUACUGCCUCGCACCAUGCAUCCGAGCCUACAUAAGGAAAAUGGCCCUCAACACCUGAACAACACACGGGGCGCAAAACUGGGCAUACAGAAAAAGGUGCAUCAAUCAAAUAUCGGCAGAGAUGCAUAGCAGGAAAUGCACAUACAACUUCAUGGUUUUUUAUGGAUGAAAAUACCAACAUCUAGACCUAAACAUCACCCAAGGAUUAUACAUUUCAAAAUAUAGAGCAGAGAGGCUAUCAACAGUUGUAUUCUAAAUCUCUUGACAUCACAAUUCGUGCAAGAAAAAUGGACAAAAUAAGACACUGCAAGCAAAUGUGCACCAAAUUAUGAGCAAAGAAACUGAUAAUUAGAGCAGAUUACUCCGCUUGCCCUUCUCACCGGCCUGCUCCUUCCCCCUGACGUCGGCCUCCUCCCCCUCCCCUGUAGCUCCUUCCCCGUGUCAUCGGCCUCAAUUGCAUGAAGAAAGUAUUAUGGUGGUGGAAAUAAGCAGAAGAUAGUCUUCUUCUGGGAUCUGCAAUAAUACUCCCUUAGGAAGAACUGCAAGAUACAAGGCAUACAUACUCAGAUGAGAGAGCAGAUCUGCGGGCUAAGCAUUUCUUGUAAGGUGAACUGAAGUAACGCAUGAAUGUACCUCGAGGAAGACGACCUCAGAAUGAACCCGUCGCUACCCUUCGCCUCCAACAAACACCGCAUCAACAGAUUGAUUGGAAUAUCAAUUCCUAAAAAGGCAUGAUCAUACAAAAGGGAUUUAUCAGCAGACGUAUACUGAUUCCAAUGAUGGGCUUCUAUAUGAAACCAAAUUUUAAAUAUACUGAACUCUUUUGCAUCAGAUUAAAAUUAGCAAAAAAAAUGAUGGUAAAUCUAAUAUCAUAUCCAAAUACAACUUUGUGCUCAGCAGCACCUACAAUCUAAGGCGGCUAAUCCAUCAAAGAACGUAUAUACAUUACCUACAAUCGAACGCAGCUGAUCCAUCAAAGAACGUAUAUACAGGAAAGGCUAAUCUAAAACAAAGUCUAAAAGGUAAACUAAACCUGCAUCCAGUUGAUAGAAAAUAAAAACAAUCUACAACUUAGUGUGUAAAUUAUGAAAAAAAUACAGGGAAUGAUGGGGGCAGAAGGUUGCAACCGGCCUGGAGAUGGACACCAUGCCACCACUGAAACUCAGUGUAGGAAUCAAGUGCAACCCAAACACUAUGUGCAUAAUUAGAAGAAAAAAAGGAAGUAUGAGCCCAGUUCACCAUGGGAAGAUGAGGAAAGGAGGAAGAAAGAGCUCACCGCUGUGUUGCAUCUCUCCUCCAUGAACUGGCAACCGUCCUUGACCUCUCCCCCUCUGCACGCAACCACCGGGGUGGGGACCCUGCUGCCCUCACUGCAGCAACCGCUCCUUCUCGACCUGCGACCAAUCUGGAAUCAUGGCGUGCAGCGACCCCCGAAGAUGGAGAGGGAUGGUGGAGUCCAUGGCAAAGGCAAGGACGCCGGGGAGGGGCAGGGAAAAGAGGGACGCGAGAGAGGCGGCGGGGGGCAAGGCACGACCUUCGUCGCGCCACCAUGACCACGGCCUCCUCCUCCUCACGCAUCUGCCCCUGCCACCAUGACUCUCUCCGUACCUGGAUCUCGGGGAGGAUGCAUCUGGAGAGGGACAUUGGCUGGGGGGAGCGGCCGGCGAGGCUCUGGCCCUGGUCGGAGAGGGAAGAGGAGAGGAGGAGACGAGCGGGAAGAGGAAGGGCGGCGUGGGGGAGAGGAGGCGGCUGAGGGGGAGGCGACUGGCAGCGGCGAGGGUUUCUCCAUGGCAGCGUUUUCUAUUUAUACCCCUACACAUAAAAAGACUAAAAUGCCCUUGGCGGGGCACAAAAUUUACAAGUGGUGGCACGAAGCGAUUUAAAGGCGACGUGGCUGGCUUCGUUGUGCCUAGGAGUUCUUCAGGGUUUAUAUGUUCAAUAGGUAUAGAUAUAGAUAUAGAUAUAGAUAUAGAUGUGGAGUUGUGGAUAAUCUGCAUAUAUCACCUCAUAAUACAUGACUAACUUAGCUAUAACAACACAUAGGUCCUGGCCUAGAUUUUAUCUUUUGAGCAACUUUAACUGGAUUAGAAAGUCCAAAAAGAAAUCAUACAAACUAAACAUGUGCAGGUAAACUUUAUUUAUUUUCUUUUUCGCAGGGCAAUGCCCUCAACACGAAGAGCAAUAACAAAAAUCAUUAGGGCUAGGGCCACGACAACGGCCACCAUUAAAGUGUAACCCGGUGCAAUAGAGUUCACAGACGAUUACUGGAUGAACGUCACGACAUGGCGGGCCAUAUGCCUUUGUUUCCUUGCAAUCAUGUCUGAGUGGUAGCACUGGAGCCAAAUUAUCAUCGCCUCUAUCUGUUCCUGUAGAUGGAGCCAAAGCCUUCCCACCUCGUCCGGGAGAUAAAGGUGAAGCACCACCACCAAUAAACUUUUGGCGGCCUAGUUGCUCUCCACUACUGGGUUCUGUUUGUGAAAUCAAGUCCUGAAUUAGCAUCAAGAGGUAAAGGGACAAGGCAAAACUGUGAAAUAAAAGGAAAAUCAGAUAAGUGUGGAUCAGUUUUUCCUUUGGUAUAAGUUGAACACAAGAACCGUAUACCAAGCCUAUUAUUAUCAUAAGUUCACAAUGACGAAUUUGAGACAAUAAACAAAUACCAAGUACUGCUAUGAAUAUAGAAGUACUACACCUAUAACUAAAUAUAAGAAGGUUUUGGUAUAGUCUUUCUAUAUAUACAUAAGUAUGGCAUAUGUAGGUUAACGUAUGAUUCAUUGUACCUUCAAUGGUUAAUAGGACCAGAAACAUGAUCACUAGAAUGGUCAUUUUCCCGGCCAUCAUUUUGCUCUGCUUGCGAAAAGCCAGAAGUGUUCUUCCAGAGGGACUCUAUUUAUGGAAGCUUGGAUUAAGCAGGUUUGCUGAAGUGAUGUGUAGAAUAUCUUUAAGAUAUUGUAGCAUUGUCUCAUGACUUUUAUCAAUAAAAGAAAUUAGAAGAUAUGCAUCUACCAUUAGUUCCACAUACAUAAUAUAUUUCCACAAGAUAUACAUGAUGAUGAAGAUAGAUAUCUCCACCAGAUAUACAUGAUGAUGAAGAUAGACAUCUCCAUAAGAUAUUCAUUAUGUCAGAAGGAUUGUUGCAAUAUGGUGUAAGUGGGUGUUGAAGCAUCUUCCAUCUUAUAUCUUAUAUCUUAUAUCUUAUCUUGUCUUAUCUAUCUAUCUAUCUAUCUAUCUAUCUAUACCUAUACUAAUUAUGUACUCCCUGAAAAUUCAUACGGUGUAGAUCGAUCAGCCGAUAUAAUUAGGAUGUAGAUUUCUUUAAUUCUGCGGAGAAUUACUAGUUAAAUUGUUAGUAAUGGCGCACCUAUGGGCAGUGCGCCAUUACUAGUUAAAACUAGUAAUGGCGCACUGUCCACAUGUGCGCCAUUACUAACAAUUUUUUUAAUUUUUUUUUCAAAACUACUAAUGGCGCACGGUGGGUGUGGUGGGCCAUUACUAUGUCAACUAGUAAUGGCGCACCACUCCCAUGGUGCGCCAUUAGUAGUUUUGAAAAAAUUAUAAAAAAAAUUACUAAUGGCGCACCAUGGGAUGUGGUGCGCCAUUAGUAUUUGCACACUAAUGGCGCAUCAACACAUGGUACGCCAUUAGUAUUUAGUAAUGGCGCACCACAUGUACAGUGCGCCAUUAGUGUCCAUCCCAUCUAUAGCCCUUUUCCUAGUAGUGUUUAUUAGCCGAUAGUCGCACCCAAGCAACCCUAAACUCAAGAAAAGAGUGAAGUAACUCUUUAGCCUCGUCAACUAGUUGCCCAUUUGCAAAGAAAUCCCGUUGCUUGUUUCUGAUCUUGGUUACCACCAAUUGGGAGUCCGUCCGGGCGUUAAUUCCUUUGGUUAGAACAAGGGCCCGUUGACACGCCAUCAGCUCCGCCACCUCGGCAUCGUGAGCGGAAGGGAAAAAAUGGCAUGCUCCCGCAAUGAACUUGCUAUGGUGGUUCCUAAGGACGGCAACUCCCCCUCCUGAUUCUUGGUGCUUUGCCAUAACACCAUCAGCAUUAGCUUUUAUCCAUCCUUCAGCUGGCUUUUUCCAUCGCUCCAAUGCGUUUCUUUCUCUCUGUUGAGGUAUUUUCUCACGCACAGACUUCCAUUCAGCAGUAAGCCGAAGCACUCGUUCACAUAUACUUCCUGGGUCUUUCAUUCUGCGGAAGGGAAAAAUUGGAUGAUUGAGAUAAUGGGUGUGAGUACACCCGGGAGUAGUCACACCUUUCCGGUCUUUCAUUCUGCAUGUUUCCUUUGCUUCAUUCCUCAUAGUCCAUAGCUCGUACCAACUCCUAAUCACAAUUUCCUUUUCUUCAGACCCUGCGGAGCUAAGCCAAUCCAUGAGCCAUGCACGUAAGGCCGCAGGGUCAUGAACUUGCACCGAAAGGCAUGGCAGCGGGGCAGCGACAGCCUCACGCAGGCACCUCCAAAACUCAAUUGCAUGCGGGCACCUCCAAAACCUAUGCAUAGCAUCUAUCUAUCUAUCUCUCUCUAUAUAUCUAUGAUAAUUAUGGACGCCCUGAAAAUUCCCACGUUAAUCAGAAAUUAAGAGCCAUUAAUCUUAUGGGAUCAAUUUAUUACGGUGUAGAUCGAUCAGCCCAUAUAAUUAGGAUGUAGAUUUCUUUAAUUAUGUGGAUAAUAAAAUCUGUCUAUAUAUAUAUAUAUAUAUAUAUAUAUAUAUCUAUACCUAUACUAAUUAUGGACUCCCUCAAAAUUCCCAUGUCAAUCAGAAAUUAAGAACCUUUAAUCUCGUGGUAACAAAUUAUUACGGUGUAGACCGAUCAGCACAUAUAAUUAGGAUGUAGAUUUGUUUAAUUCUACAAAUAAAAAGAUGUGUCAAAUCGAAGGCUCACGGCCCUUCCUGGAAAAACGUUCAAAAUUUAUUUUGCAAAAGGUGAUCUGAUUCUAAUCUAUACUAUUCCACCGUCCUUUCCUCAUCUAUUUAAAUAUACUAGUAAGCAUGCACGUGCAACGCACGUCUCAUAAUCUGACUCUUAUAAAAACAUUUAUUUUGAAUAUAGUUUCUCUGUUAGCAAGUUAUUUUUACCGAACCAUUUAAAUGUGUCUUAUACGAAACAAUAUGAUCGCACAUGUAACAUACAAUCCGUGGGACCUGGGUUGUUUGCAUCAUUUUUCAUGUCUCAAUUUCUUAAAUUAUCAUAAUUCAAGUGCACUAAAGUGACAGCUAGUUUUGGUCUACAAUCUGUCGUAUGAGCCAAUAAAGUAGUAACCUAGUGGUACAACAUAGAAUAAGUAUAAUGAUACGUGGCGAAAAAUACAUGUGUAGGAGUGUCAGAAAAAAUAUCUCACGUGAAGUACGCUGUAAAAUGUAACAUCCAUAGACUACACGAUGACCUAACUUAAAUAUAUUCAACAAAAAAUUUAUCAACUUUUAUGGAGAUUCAUAUAACAAAUUUUAAAAUCAUCAAACAAAAAUGACAGUAACCAACGCUGAUGAUUUUUACGUAGAAGAUAAAAAGGAUGGCAGGCAUGCAGGGGAAUCGGAUAAAAAAGAAUGGGUCUUUUUAGAAGAUAUUUUUUUGAUUUGGACAAGGCGCACAAUCACAAUCUCUCUCUGGUAAGUUCCUAAUUUUAUUUAAAAAAACGUUAGUUAUCCUCCCCACCGCCACCUCAGUCCCUUACAUUUCUCUCCCCGUUCCCCAUUCUCCCAUGGUGGCCACACCCCUCACUCCACAGCCGGCCCUCUUCGUCACCAACGCCGGCGCUCCCUGGUCAAGCCGCCGCUCACCUUCAUCACCACCGUCGGUGCUUCCUGGUCAGGCUGCGGCUCCCCUUCGCAGCCGCUGCUCUUCCUCCCCUUGAUGUGGAAUCGCUCGAGGAAGUGGCCGAGGAGGCCCUCGAGCUCGGCAUGCUCGCGCCAGCGCUAGGCGCCGGCGAAGGUGGACGCGAAGGUGUGGCACUCGCACGCGCCUGCUCUACCCCGCACCUUCUCCGAAUCCGUUGGCUGAAGUGUUCGAGAAGGCGCUCGAGGUCGGAAUGCUCGCCGGCGAUGCCGGGCCCCUCCCUCCUCCUGAUACCCUCUCCGUUGCCGCCUUGAGCCUCUCCACCCUCUCCCGUGCGGUCGUCCGGGUCCAGGUAAGUCCCUCUCUGCAACCCUGCCACCUGCUCCACCCAGUCAAUUUGGUUCUUCGCCAGGUGCAUCCCCUCAUUGAUAAAUCACCAUGAAUAUUCCCAAGACUGUGUAUAAUUGUUCUAUUAUAGGGCUUUUUUUUUGCGGGGUUAUAGAGCUUUAUUAUAAAAGCUGAUUUAACUGACUAUUAUUCUGCUCUAGAUUGUUGCACCUUCUGGCUGUGAGUGGAUCCAAGAGUCAGCAUGAUACAAUAUCUUUUCAAAAGAUGAUAGAUUAUCUUCAUGAAAGAAAGGAAGUUGGAGAAUUAUUAUUGAAGAUGAAUUCAGUGUCAUGUGUUUCUCAAGAGCUAAAAUGGAACAAGAAGUGCAAAACUGGCAAUUCUUUUUGUAAAACUAUUAAGCUCGUCAUGGUGGUUACCAUGAAUGAGUGUCUGGUUUAAUGUUUAGAAAGUGAGUUUUGUGUUACAAUGUUCUCUUUCAAGACUGUUAUAUGAGAAAUCAUCCGUUUAAUUGGUGGCUAUGUUGAUGAUAAGGCCCUUAAUGGUUCAGAUUUCCCGAGGGAGGAAAAGGAGGUGCUGAAAGGGGAUGGGAGCAACAAGUAUAAAUCGAAGAGUAUGUUUUGAUUCUGAGUUGCAUUGCACAGUAUUUCUAUUGUUCUAUGAAAUCCAUGGAAUUGUAUGGAACAUUCCUUCAUGUGAUAGGCAUAUUUGUUUACUAAAUCAAACUGCGUAGUUCCAACAAACAGACAUUCAAAUGCACCAUUUUACCCUUUGAAAGUAGGAAGUGCAACUUCUUUAGUGUUUAGAAUGGAUCAGGUGUACUUCAGAUGUUUUCAGUUUUAAAUAAUUAUGCACAUUCUCAAUCAUCAUGUGUGCAAAAAGUGGGUUUAUACAGAUUUGUACAAUUCAUUGUAACAUCCUGGAGCUUAAACUAAUUAUGAUUAAUUUGGUCGUUCUCUGAUGUGUGAUUACAUUAAUACCUUUGGCACCUUUGUAAUUUGCUAAGCUAAAUUCAAUAUUUCAGGUGUUCUGCGACAACUCAAGUCACCUUCGUAAAUUCUGGAAGCCAACUUUUUUGACACCAGGCCAAGGAGAUAGAGUGCAUGAUUCAGUCAGUUACAAAAGUGCAGUAGCCAAAAACACUAACCAUUUUCCACAUAAAAAACCAUUAAUGACCUUUCCCUCUCCAUUUGCCUCUUCAGAUCCUUAGGGUCUACAUCUAUGAUACAUUCUAGUUAGUUUAGCAUCUCACCAGUUAUCUGAAUAAUACAUAAGCAUCCAGUACAAGGGCAUUUUUACCUUGGUACAUGGCAUCUCAUCAGUUAUCUGAAUAAUAAAUAAGCAUGCAGUACAAGGGCACUUUUAUCUUCGGACAUGGCCAGGGGUGUAUGUGGUACAUUUUUCUCGUCAUUAAGCAGUGAUGUUGAAGCCUGUUUCUUCUCACGGGCUUCACGACGUCUUUUAAGAAUAUCAUCUUUAUUGCGUGCAUAAUACUCUUUUUUCCUCUGCCUCUUCAAUUCUUCAAGGUAUGUAUAAAUACAUGCCAUUAAAUUUUGCACAUAAGCAACAGCAAAACAGUAGCGCAAAGUAGGAACCGAUUGAUGAUAGUUACCCAAUGUUUGGUUGUUGCUUAUAUCCUGAAAUGGGGUGCACGCCCCCGCACUAUUGGGAUAUGUCAUACCUUCGCCUUCAUGUGAAUACUCAUGCCAUUAAAUUUUGAGAAGCAUGGAAGCUGUGGAAAUUAAUCAUGAACACCACCAUCAGAUGCAAACAUACUACACUGUCCUUUCUCUUGAUAUUGUGUUUCAACGGAGUUCUAAUUUGACAUUAAUAACAAUUUUGAAUGGCAGAUCCCCUUACUGGACCACAUUAAGUUGUUGGCCCUGCUAUUUAACGUCCAUGGUGAUGCUGAUGAUGAUCUUGGCAGGGGUAAUGCUUUGAUUUCAUAGACCUGUUGCUUUGAUAGCUAGAGAACUAAUUUCUCAAGAGGACUUGAUUUAGUGUUCUUAUGAUAUUUUUUAGCUGGGGCUGUUUUUUUUCAUGGAUUUUCUCUGUCCACUACAUCAUAAAUCUGGUAAUGUAAAAGUAAUAUCUAUUUCUGAUUAUGUAAUGACCGACUGUUAUCUUGCUUCUUAUUCAUGUAUCUUCAGAUUUAUGUAUCUGCCUGGGGUGUUGGCAUGUCCUUGAGCACGCAUCAGGUAUGUAUGUAUCUGUUGGUAUCUUAGUGUACUUUGUAGUUUCAGAGUAGCACUCUAUAAUUUGGCACAUGCCUAUGAGUGUAUAUGUAUGUGCAUGUGUACUGGCCAUAGGCCCGAGCUGAAACUAAUUAUGAUUAAUUUGCUCAUUCUGUUAUGUGCGCUUACAUUAAUACCAUUGGCACCUUUGUAAUUCUAUAAGCUAAAUCCCAUAUCGCAGGUGUUCUGCGACAACUCAAGUCAAGUUCGUAAAUUCUGAAAGCCAAGGAGACAGGGUGCAUGAUUCAGUUAGCUACAAAAUUGCAGUAGCCAAAACACGAACCAUGUUCCACAUAGUAAACAAUUAAUUACAUAUAUAAAACGAACGGCUUAUAGCAUUAUGAUGUGAGGGGACGUGGGCUCCCACCAAUCAUGUUCAACAUUAUGAUGUGCAGGCAGGAGACGGGGUUGGUGGGAGGCACCGUGAUCAAGGGAGAGGGGAGCUAAUUUAGUUGAGUUUCCUUAUUAGUUUGUGAUCACAAUUGCGUGAUUGUAGGGGACGUGGGCUGGUACUUGGAAUAUUCCUCCGGUGGUGGAGUGCGGUCAGUCAUGUAUGCUAAGUGCACACCAUAGAGGUAUUAGAUUAAUGAUGGCUGUUAGAUUACGACUUGUGGGACUAAUUGUGUGGUGUUGAUUGGUUCGUAUAUUUUGUGGUACUAAUUAUUGGGUGCACAUAAGAAAGUUCUUGUUUGAUUGUUUAAUAGUAGUAGUGGAGAAAAAGUACUUGAUGGGUUAAUCAGAAAAAGAGAAAUAGGCUAGAAAUUACCAUAAAAAUUAGAAACAUCCGUCUAUCAAUUUAAUAGAUCAAGUUUUCAUAACAAUUAGAUAUCAUUGUAAGUCAAAAAAUUACCCACCACUGCCACUAUAAUUAUAUGGAAAGAAAACGUUUUGCUACAUGUAGCCAAAGUUAGGACGUGGGAUGCAUCUAGGAAAAAGACGCGGCUGCUCUUAUAUGUAAAAAAAGGACAUCAAUGCUCAGUUAGAAGAAAAAAAAAAGAGUACAUGCGACGAUGCAUAAAGGGACAUGAGAUCCUCAGUUCAAGGAAAAGUGCGCACAGCUUGCUAUAUGCAUGCAUGCAUUUAGGUGGAACAAAAAACGUGCAUCUGUGUGCCCUUCGUAUGCCUGCAUGGCCUGCCAAAAAAGUGUGCACACAAGCCCUUGAUACUAUAUGCGCGUAUUUGGAGAUUUUAAAUGGUGGCGCACCAACUAAGAGCUCGCAUGGACACGGUGAAUUUCUGUUGCUCCGCAUCCAUGCCAAUAAAGCCUUUGUUUCGUACAAUGGAAUCGUCUUUUGUCAUCAAGUGAUGCUAGGGAAAGCCUCAAGAGUUGUUCCGGAGGGAGCCGUGGGACAUGUAGUCUGCUGCUGCAAUGCAUAGAAGCGGUGGAACAUGAAACACUACGGAGCACCAGAUCAGUAAUUAGUACAGCAAAGAACCAAGACAAGAAGAUGAAGCAAUUGACACGUCUGCACAGAUCAGCAAUUAGAGAGGUGGAGAGCCAGAUCCCACAGAGGACUCCAAAAGACUUUGUUUUCUGAGAUUGGCAAGGUUUAUGAAUUAUUAUUAUUUUUUUGUAAAUUUGCUUCAGCCAUCAUGUCACACACAUGUAUACACGAGAAUUAGAUGCCUCGAAGGCACAACUGAAGGUUUUCUGGUAACCUAACCUAGGAGAGAAGGGUGUGCCUGAUGCCUUUUUUAUAUCCACAAAAUAAAUUCCAUGGAUUGCCUUAGGAUCCCUGAGUCCAAUUCUGAUCGGGAGAGCUCUACCACCUCCACCGGUCUGGAGGGAAACGUGCCGGGGAGUAGGCGCCGAAGGACAGAAUUAGAGGUGGGCCGACACAGGCGACAAACCUUCCAAAAAUAUGAUCGUUCGGAGUUUCCAUAUGUUGAUGAACUUCGUGUGCCUCAGUGUGGUUUUGCCUGCUUUCAUCUGAGUCGUUUUGCUACCAGGCCGCGACUCUCCGGUUCCAACGCCGUUCCAUACAUGAGGACAAGCAGCCGAUAUCGUUCGCUUCUACAUCUAGAUGUUCAUCAUAGAGUGAUGAACUCAUUGAUUCGGGUAUAAUUCUGAUCGGAGUUUCAUCCACACUAAGAUCGAUUUUUUCUCUGGUAACAAAACCUUAGUUCCGCUUUCUUUGAAAAUCUAAAGGAUUUCUACUUGUCUUUUCCUUCUGUGAGCACAGUAAUCCAAUUUGUUUUGUCAUCUUCUUCUCAUAAUCAUGCAUCUAAUUAGUUUUCCAUAUGUUUGGUGGUCUAUAAAGAUCCUAUUGCUCAAAGAUUGGUAAUAAAUAUGGUAAUAAUAUGUAUUGUAUAUGCCAUAAGUUUCAUCAUAAUUUUUACACACCACUAGUAGAAAAGGGGGCAAUGGUCCAGGCCGGGUCAGCCCAUUAGUCCUGGUUCAAUCCAGAACCGGGACCAAUGGGGGCAUUGGACCCGGUUCGUGAUCCCCGGGGGCCGGCCGGGCCACGUGGGCCAUUGGUCCCGGUUCGUCUGGACCUUUUGGUCCCGGUUGGAGGGACGAACCGGGACCAAUGUGCCAUGGUCCUGGCCCACCACCAUUGAUCCCGGUUGGUGGCCUGAACCGGGACCAAAGGCUUCCCUUUAGUCCCGGUUCAAGCCAUGAACCGGGACCAAUUAAUUCCCUAUAUAUACCUCUCGCCCGCGAGCAGAGCACUCUCACUGCUCUGUUUUUCGUGGCCGGCGAGGAGAGAGCUUUGUGGUGCUCUAGCUCACCUCCUAUGCACACGAGGUGUUCGAUGGAAUGCCCGAGGCACACUACUUAAGCUUUCUCCUCCCCAAGCUCGACCUCCAAGCUCCAUUUUCCUCAAUAUUUGUCUAGGUUUAGCGGUCCGUCACGUCCCGUCCCCGUAUUCACCGUCGUCGAUCGCCUGCGCCGAUCUCGUUGCCGGCACCACCGUGGUGAGCCUCUUGUUCUUAUCUUUUUUCUGAAAGGAAAAAAAUUCUUACUUGUAUGUUUAUAUAGAUACUUGUAUAAUUUUUUUAUUUUUAUUAUUGCAUCUUAUAUAGUGCGAUGGUUUUGGUAUCCGCCCCCGUCGGUCCUCGUCCUGUCUAUGAUUCGGAUGUGGUAUAUAUUAUCUUUUCAUAACUAUUGUUUCAUCUACUGUUUAUGACAAUUAUGCCGACCAACGUGACAUAGAUUUUAUUUAUCUAGGAGGUUGUUGAACCGGAAAUUCCAACCAACCCUAUUGUCGAGAGGUUAAAUUUAGUUGAAGAAGAGGAGGAGAAGAUGAUAUUGGAGUUGCAUGUUGCGGAUGUCGUGGAUGAUCACAAGAUCAAGAUGGAUGCAAUGUGCUUGAAGAUUAGAAAGAUUAGAAAAUAUGACAUUCAUACCGAGGCUUGAUAUCAUUAUGCCGUUGGAUCAGUUGUUACAUUGGUUGCGAUUAUGAUCGCAUUUGUUUUUGCAUUGAAAUGUUUUACAUAGUUUCAAUGUAUUGUUUAAUUAAUUUAGAUGCUCUGCAGAGCUUUAUGUUGUUAGAUGAGAACUAUGUAUGUACUUUGGUUUUAAUGUGAUGAUGAACUUCUAUUAAUUUGGUCACUUAAUUAUCUAUUCAUGAUGUUCUGUAAUGAUUUUUGACACACUUAAUUAUAUAUAAUGCACGCAGAUGAACCGGCAAUGGAUGUACGGUUCAAGACACACCUCCGAGUACAUUAAGGGCAUGCAUGAAUUACUCUAAGUGGCUGAGGCAAACAAGCAGAAUGAUUUUAUGUGUUGUCCAUGCCCUAUAUGUGGGAAUACGAAGUCUUACUCUGACCGGAAAAUCCUUCACACCCACCUGCUUUACAAGGGUUUCAUGCCAUACUAUAAUGUUUGGACGAGGCACGGAGAAAUAGGGGUUAUGAUGGAAGACAGCGAAGAAGAAAAGUACGAUGACAACUAUGUGCCCCCUGAAUACGGUGAUGCUACUGAAGAUCAAGAGGAACCAGACGAUGUGCACGAUGAUGCUGCAACAGGCGAAGCUGCUGAAGAUCAAGAGGAACCAGACGAUGUGCCCGAUGAUGAUGAUCUCAGCUGGGUCAUUGUCGAUGCAAGGACGCAAUGCGAAAGUCAAAAGGAGAAGCUGAAGUUCGAUCGCAUGUUAGAGGACCACAAAAAGGGUUGUACCCCAAUUGCAAAGAUGGCAACACAAAGCUCGUUACCGUACCGGAAUUGCUGCAGCGGAAGACAGAUAAUGUUGUGCCUGACAAUGGAUUUGAUAAGCUACUGAAAAUAUUGAAGAAGAGGCUUCCAAAGGAUAACGAAUUGCCCGACAGUACAUACGCAGCAAAGAAGGUCGUAUGCCCUCUAGGAUUGGAGGUGCAGAAGAUACAUGCAUGCCCUAAUGACUGCAUCCUCUACCGCGGUGCGUAUAAGGAUCUGAACGCAUGCCCGGUAUGCGGUGCAUUACGGUAUAAGAUCAGACGAGAUGACCCUGGUGAUGUUGACGGCGAGCCCAACAGGAAGAGGGUUCCUGCGAAGGUGAUGUGGUAUGCUCCUAUAAUACCACGGUUGAAACGUCUGUUCAGAAACGGAGAGCAUGCCAAGUUGAUGCGAUGGCACAGUGAGGACCGUAAGAAAGACGGGAAGUUGAGAGCACCCGCUGACGGGUCACAGUGGAGAAAAAUCGAGAGAAAGUACUGGGAUGAGUUUGCAAGUGACCCACGGAACGUAUGGUUUGCUUUAAGUGCGGAUGGCAUUAAUCCUUUCGGGGAGCAGAGCAGCAAUCACAACACCUAGCCCGUGACUCUAUGUAUGUAUAACCUUCCUCCUUGGAUGUGCAUGAAGCGGAAGUUCAUUAUGAUGCCAGUUCUCAUCCAAGGCCCUAAGCAACCCGGCAACGACAUUGAUGUGUACCUAAGUCCAUUAGUUGAAGAACUUUUACAGUUGAGGAAUGGAAACGGUGUACGUACGUGGGAUGAGCACAAACAGGACAAAUUUCACCUAAAGGCGUUGCUGUUCGUGACCAUCAACGAUUGGCCCACUCUCAGUAACCUUUCAGGACAGACAAACAAGGGAUACCACGCAUGCACGCACUGUUUACUUGACACCGACAGUAUAUACAUGGGAAGCUGCAGGAAGAAUGUGUACCUGGGCCAUCGUCGAUUUCUUCCGACCAACCAUCAAUGUCGAAAGAAAGGCAAGCAUUUCAAAGCCGAGGCAGAUCACCGGAGGAAGCCCGCCAUGCGUACUGGUGAUCACGUACUUGCUAUGGUCAAUGAUUUACAGGUAAUCUUUGGAAAGGGUCCCAGCGGACUAGUUGUUCCGAGUGACGCUGGGGGACAUGCACCUAUGUGGAAGAAGAAAUCUAUAUUUUGGGACCUACCCUACUGGAAAGACCUAGAGGUCCGCUCUUCGAUCGAUGUGAUGCACGUGACGAAGAACCUUUGCGUGAACCUGCUAGGCUUCUUGGGCGUGUAUGGGAAGACAAAAGAUACAGCUGAGGCACGGGAGGACCUGCAACGUUCGCACGAAAAAGAGAGCAUGCCUCCAAAGCAGUAUGAAGGUCCUGCCAGCUAUGCUCUUACCAAAGAAGAGAAGGAAAUCUUCUUUGAAUGCCUGCUUAGUAUGAAGGUCCCGACUGGCUUCUCGUCGAAUAUAAAAGGAAUAAUAAAUAUGUCAGAGAAAAAGUUUCAGAACCUAAAGUCUCAUGACUGCCACGUGAUUAUGACGCAACUGCUUCCGGUUGCGUCGAGGGGGCUUCUACCGGAAAACGUCUGAUUAGCCAUUGUGAAGCUAUGUGCAUUCCUCAAUGCAAUCUCUCAAAAGGUGAUCGAUCCAGAAAUCAUACCAAGGCUAAGGAGUGAUGUGGUGCAAUGUCUUGUCAGUUUCGAGCUGGUGUUCCCACCAUCCUUCUUCAACAUCAUGACACACGUCCUAGUUCAUCUAGUUGACGAGAUUGUCAUUCUGGGGCCCGUAUUUCUACACAAUAUGUACCCCUUUGAGAGGUUCAUGGGAGUCCUAAAGAAAUAUGUCCGUAACCGCGCUAGGCCAGAAGGAAGCAUCUCCAUGGGCCAUCAAACAGAGGAUGUCAUCGGGUUUUGUGUUGACUUCAUUCUUGGCCUUAAGAAGAUAGGUCUCCCUCAAUCGCGGUAUGAUGGGAGACUGACUGGAAAAGGCACGCUUGGAAGGGACUCAAUAAUAUGCAGGGACGGAUAUUCUUGGUCUCAAGCACGCUACACAGAUCUACAGAACUCUACCUUGGUGACCCCGUAUGUCGAUGAACACAAGAACAGUCUGCGCUCCAAACACCCGGAGCAGUGCGACGACUGGAUUACAUGUGAACACAUCAGGACUUUCAGCAGUUGGUUGGAAGCACGUCUCAGAGGUGACAACACUAUUUGUGAUGAGUUGUACUUGUUGUCCAGGGGACCAUCUUUGACUAUUACGAUUUGAAAAGGGUACGAGAUAAAUGGGAAUACAUUUUACACGAUUGACCAAGAUCAAAAGAGCACCAACCAAAACAGCGGUGUCCUCUUUGAUGCAACAACCGAGAGGGGAAAGGACACAUAUUAUGGUUACAUAGUGGACAUAUGGGAACUUGACUACGGACAUGAUUUUAAGGUCCCUUUGUUUAAGUGCAAAUGGGUCAAUCUGUCAGGAGGCGGGGUACAGGUAGACCCACAGUACGGAAUGACAACAGUGGAUCUGAAAAAUCUUGGGUACACUGAUGAACCGUUCGUCCUAGCCAAUGAUGUGGCACAGGUUAUCUAUGUGAAGGACAUGUCUACCAGACCGAGAAAAAGAAAAGAUAAGGAAGCGAAUACAUCAUACGAUGAGGCAAAGCGCCACAUAGUUCUUUCAGGAAAAAUGGACAUCGUGGGAGUGGAUGGCAAGACAGACAUAUCUGAAGAUUAUGAAAAGUUUCAUGAAAUUCCUCCCUUGAAAGUCAAGGCUGACCCCAGCAUCCUGAUAAGCGAUGAAGAUUAUCCAUGGUUACGGCGCAAUAAGCAAAUGACACAAGCGAAGAAAAAGUGAAGACUUUCUCCCAUAACUAUUAUGAUGAUACCAUGCCAACUUUGUAACACACGAGUAUGAUACCAUUGUCCGUUUUGUACAUGCACAUGCUAUGCGGGUGAAUUUAUGAUACCAUGCCAACUUUUAACUUUUUCAUAGUUCAUUUGAAAUGCUUUAAUGUCUUAUGGUUCGGCCCUCGUAAUAAUUAAAAAUAGCAACAAUAAAUAUUUUGUUGUAAGUAGAAACAAAAUAAAAUAAAUAAAGCAAGAAAGAAAACAAAAAAAACAAAAAAAUGUUUUCAAAUUUGAAAAAUAAUGGCACUAACAGAAAGUUUAUAAUUUUUCUAAAACUAAAAGCAAAAAAAAUUAAAAAAUACAGCAAAAAACAAANNNNNNNNNNNNNNNNNNNNNNNNNNNNNNNNNNNNNNNNNNNNNNNNNNNNNNNNNNNNNNNNNNNNNNNNNNNNNNNAAUUAAAAAUAGCAACAAUAAAUAUUUUGUUGUAAGUACAAACAAAAUAAAAUAAAUAAAGUAAGAAAGAAAACAAAAAAAAUGUUUUCAAAUUUGAAAACUAAUGGCACUAACAGAAAGUUUAUAAUUUUUCAAAAACUAAAAGCAAAAAGAAUUAAAAAUAAAAGCAAAAAACAAAAGAAAAUAAAUAAUACAGAAAACAAAACAAAAAAUAGAAAAUAAUUAAAAAUAGCAACAAUAAAUAUUUUGUUGUAAGUAGAAACAAAAUAAAAUAAAUAAAGCAAGAAAGAAAACAAAAAAAAUUGCCUCCUACUAGGCCCCCACGCCCUGAAUACGACUAGAAACCCUACCAUGGGCCAGGAUUCAGGCCCGUAGUAGGCCCAGCAGGCCCAUCAGGCAAAGCAGUAACAAAUAGGCCCGCAAGCCUACGGUGGAGAGGAGCUCGAGAAGGGUGCGACAGUGGGGCUUACAAACCACUGCGCGCCCCUCUCAACUAGCGAGGUGGGACUAAACUUUGGCCCCGACGCUGACAGCACAGGGUCCUUUGGUACCGGUUCGUGGCACCAACCGGUACCAAUGCCCACCCUUUAGUCCCGGUUGGUGCCUCCAACCGGGACCAAAGGUCGCCGCUUCCCGCCCGUUAGGCUGCUGAAAAGAGGCCUUUGGUCCUGGUUGGUGGUACCAACCGGGACUAAAGGGGGCAUUAGUCCCGGUUGGAGUCACGAACCGGGACCAAUGCCCUUGCUAUAUAUACAGCACUUAGGAAAAUUUGACGAACACAUCGCCAGUUGCCGCCCGACGACGCCGAGCUCAUUGACGCCGCCAGGCUGCCCAGAUCAACGUCGUCCGCUGCCCUGACGCCGCCCGCCGCCCAGAUGCCGUCCGCGCACUGCCCCGACGCCGCCCGCCNNNNNNNNNNNNNNNNNNNNNNNNNNNNNNNNNNNNNNNNNNNNNNNNNNNNNNNNNNNNNNNNNNNNNNNNNNNNNNNNNNNNNNNNNNNNNNNNNNNNNNNNNNNNNNNNNNNNNNNNNNNNNNNNNNNNNNNNNNNNNNNNNNNNNNNNNNNUCACCGGCCACGCCCCUGCCUGGCCCGCCGUACGUGGUCGUCGCCGACGCCCUCGCCGUCGCCGCCGUCGCCCUCGCCGGCCACCCCCGUUGUGAGCCGCCGCCGUCGAGGCUCUGUGUUCAGUGCUUUUUUUUCAUACAUACAUGUGUAUUUUUUUGUUCAUUGCAUUUCUUUCAUAUAUAUAAUUAAUGUAUAUAUGCAUGUGGUAGCUAUAUCAUGAAUGGAUGUGGCUAUAUGUAUGUAUGAAUAUAAUGUUCAUAGCAUUUUUUUUGUUUAUAUAUGUUUUUUCAUAAAUGUAUUAAUGUUUUAUUUAGGUUGUUAGUAGAUAUCAAUUUUAGGUUAGUGCAUUUUAAUUAGGUUACUGUAGAGGAAAAAGUAAAAUAAGAAAAAGGAAGAAAAGAGGAAGAAGGAAGAAGGAAGAAGAAGAAGAAAAAGAAUGAGAGGAAAAAGGAAAAUAAGAAGAGGAAUAAAAGAGAAGAAGAGGAGAGGAAAAGAAGAGGAGAAAUAAAUAAGAAGAAGAAAAAAGAAGAAAAAGAAGAGGAGAAGAAGAAAAAUAGAAAAAAAAUCUAUUUUUUCUUUUUGUCCUCUAUUCCUUUCUUCUUCUUCUUCUUCCUUCUCUUCCUUCUUCCUCUUUUCUUCCUUUUCCUUAAUUAUCUUCCUUUCUCGAGGGAGAAGAAGAAAAAGAAGCGGAGAAGAAGAAAGAAAGGAAUAGAGGAGAAAUAAAUAAGAAGAACAAAAAAGAAGAAAAGGAAGAGGAGAAGAAGAAAGGAAUAGAGGAGAAGAAGAAAAAAUGGGAGAAGAAGAUUCUAUUUUUUCUUCUUCUCCUCUAUUCCUUUCUCCUUCUCCUAUUUUUUUUCUUCUUUUUUUUCUUCGAUCUUCUCCUCUAUUCCUUUCUUCUUCUCCUUUUUUUAUCUCUUAUACGUUUUCUUAUGUUUUAUCGGGUCUGUCGCCGUCAGGCUGCUCGCCUUCGCCCUCGCCGCCCCCUCGAGAUAACUUCGACAUGAGGGGCGGUCGAUAUAUAUACCCCCUCUCGACCGAGAUAACCUAUACAACGGAAGCACCCCCCUCGGCCCUUUCGCUCGACUAGAACUCUCGAGGCCACCCAAAUUUACCAAGUUAAAAGAGCGUUGUCAUCGAGGCCACCCCAAACCCUUGAAGCGUUGUGUUGAGGCGAUCCCAAACCCUAGAGAAGCAACGUCGAGGCCACUAACAUGAUUCCUUAUUGUGAUUAGCUAGCUAGUUCUACGUUUGCCACUAAUAUAUAUCCAUUUGUACCAUGCUUUUGAAUAAUAAUUGACAUGUUGUAAAUAUUUGCAGAAACUAUGGAGCACUACCGAGACGAAGCAACAGAAGCGAUGUUGGGGGAGAUGAUCGCAGAAGGAACUGAUGUUGUUGCGUCAUUUUUCACCGACGUCGUUCGUGAGGAAGGACUGGGUGAAGAAAAGGGCUAUGUUCAUGAUGGCUCCGGCCCAUUAAUGCCGGUACAAGAAGAGGGCUAUGUUCAUGAUGGCUCCGGUGAUGACCCAAUGGAGGUACAAGAAGGAGACCGUGCUGACUGCUCCGGUGACCGAACCGAGUCCGGCCAGGUAUAUAUAUAUUAGUUAAGCCCGUGAUGACUAGUUAAUUGAUGCAUUCAUUGUUUUGGUAUAUGUACACAUAUUAAUUACUCUCAUCUUUCUUCCUUUUAAUUUCUAUCCCUCUGGAUCGAGCACAACUUCGGUAAGGAGACGAGGCCGGAAGAAAAAGUUGAGCUCGGAUGAAAGGUUUGAGAUCAUAGAAAUCGCGCCCGACGGCGAACCGAUUGAACCCAUCUGGACAAAGAACGCAUUUUCUGCUCAGUGCGGGGUUCUUGUUAGGGACAAGAUCCCGAUCAGCAUCCAGCAAUGGUAUAAGCCUAAGGAUGACCCUGAGGUGUCUUAUGUCAAUGAUAUGCAGAAAGAAGAUCUUUGGACCCAGCUGAAGGCAAAUUUCACCCUACCGCCAGAGGAGGAUCCGGAGAAGCCAGUUAAAGAGAAAUUAAUCAAGUCUUGUGCUCUUAAGAAGAUGGCAACCCUAUUCAGGAGGUGGAGGAAAAAGUUGAACCAUCUUGUCGGAAAAAAGACACCAAAAUUCAUCGGCAAAUAUGAGAAGAUCAAAGAUCAUUGGCCCGCAUUUGUGGCCCACAAGACAUCGGAAAAGAGUAAGAAGAUGUCGGCGACGAACAAGCAAAAUGCUGCGAAGAAGAAGCUUCACCAUCGCACGGGGUCAGGUGGCUACCUCAAAGCCCGGCCUAAGUGGUCCAAGGCUGAGAAUGAUCUGCUUGAAAAAGGGAUCGAAUCAGAGACAAUGAGAUGGCCAGACCGUUGCCGGACUUGGUUCUUCGGGGCUAGCGGAACCUUGGACCCUGUAUCAGGGAUGUGCCGUUGGACGGAUGAGCAACUGGAAAUACCAGUCAAGAACCUUUGACACUAUAUCAAUGCAGCGCAGAAAGGGACAUUCGUACCAGACAGGGAGAAGGACGAGCUCACAAUGGCCCUCGGGAAUCCUGAGCACCCUGGACGGACACGAGGCACGCCAGGCUCCAUUCCGUGGAAGGUUGGUUUUCCGGACGCAGGGGGUUACAAAACCCACGAGAGGAGGAAGAAACUGGAGCAGGGCCAACUGCAGGCGCUGCACGAAAGGGUAAUGGGGCUAGAGGAACGAGAAGAGGAACGAGAAGCAGCAGAUCACAGCAAACGACCUGCUGAAGCUUCCCCCGAAGCUACCCCGCCAUCUCAGCGGAGAAGCAGCAUGGCUUCCACCGAGUUGCUUCAGCCGGAGCAUGUCUUGACGGCUCCUGCCAGCUAUCCCGUGGAUGCUAUCACGGAGUCUCAACACUGCCACAUUAUGGCACGAUGGAUGAAUUUGAAGGUCAAGGCGGUUGUUGGCUCUGUUUAUCCUAGUGGAUCCGGAGCAACUUAUCACUGACGGCCGAUUCCAGAAGGAUAUGCUAAGGUGAUGGUGGAUGAAAUAACGGAGGGAUUUGAGGACCUCGUGCUUGACCACCCUACCGGUGAAGGGGAGACUAGGCUGGGUUCUGCUUUGAAGACUCCAUGCCUAUGGCGGAAGGAGCUCAUCAACCUUCCGAACUGGACGCCUCCACCUCCUCCUCCUCCUCCGGCGAGUCAGGGCACUCCGCCUCCUCCACCGCCUCCUCCUCCGGCGAGUGAUGAUCAGGGCACGCGUGGCGGCACUCCGCCUCCUUCUCCGGCGCAUUGCGGCACUCCGCCUCCUUCUCCGCCUGCGCCGGCGCUCCCGAGCAGCCAGUAGCCUCCUCCUUCUCCGCCUCGCCAGCAAGGGUGGAAGAGACCCGCCGCCGCCCCGGCUGCUCCGGCGCAUCGUACUCCUUCUCCUCCGCCUCGUAAGCAAGCACGAAAGAAGACAGACGCCGCAGCCGCUCCGUCUGCUCCGGCGUCUAGCAGCACAACCAGAGGCGGGAGGCAAUACAGAUACGGUCCACCUCUCAAGCCUUUAGAGAAGUUACCGUAUGAGAGGACCGAGGAGGAAAACGGUACGAUUGUGCGGACCCAUGUGAAGUAGUUCUUUGAAGGGGUGAAAGCAAAGAGACAUCCACCUCCGGAGGAGAAGGUAGAUCCGGUGAAAGCAAAGCGCACUAUCGAUGCCCUGAGAAAUCCACCAAAGACUCCACCGAGAACCAAGUAUGAGCGCAUUACUGAACAAACAUAUCUCCAAGCCCAGCGGUCGGGAACUACUGUCAGUGCUAAAAGGUCAAAAGAACGAGCAAAGGGGAAAAAAUGCCCAGCUCGGCGAACAAGCACAGGAAUCAUGCCCCCGCUCAAUGUGUCUAAUGCUCCGGGGACGGUGGCCGGUUAUGGCAAUCCAGCAGAUUACCUGCCUGACAAUCAACUUCCUGAUUUCUUGGAGGUGGACGAACACAGGUACGAGUACGGGAAGCCUCUCAUCAAAGAUGAAAAAUCUCUGACAACAAUGAUGUGAACAUUCCAUAAUUGGUACAUGGAAACCUGCAGAGAGUCUGGGGGUACGAAUGCUUUGUAUCUGAAUAUUAAAGAGGAGCACGACCUCGUUGCAAAUGAUCUGUUGACUGUUCCAUUUGAUGAGUUCUUCGCGUUCUUCAAUCAAAAGGCCCUCGAUAAACUAAUGGUCUUUUGCUACUGUUUGUAAGUACUAUUUCUGUCAUUAAGUCUCUAUAUAUAGCUCGGCUCUUUCAUUUCAUGUAUUUAUAAUUAAUUAUCCUUAAUAUAUUAUGCAGAUUGAAGAUCAUCGAGUGCAAAAAACAAGAAAUUUAUGAUAUUGGGUUCAUUAACACAAAUAUCAUAGAUGAAUUUCUGGUUAAAAGGGACGUCAAAGAGGCCGAGGACAACGUGCUACAAUCGUUGAUCAAAAAUCAAAACAAAGAUACCAUACUCUUUCCUUACAACGGCAAGUGAGUGUUACUAUCGUGUGCAUAUUCGGUUUCCCUUAUUACUCGAGCGAGGUUAUAGUAAUGUAAUUGAUGAGUUAUGCAUGCAUGCGCAGGUACCACUAUAUUCUUCUGGAGAUUAAGCUUGAGCGUGGACUAGUAACCGUCUUAGACUCGAGACGGAAAGAUCCCAAAACCUAUGCGGACAUGACUGAAAUGCUCAGCAAGUAAGUUCAAUCAAUCAUUAUCGCGCCAUAUCGGCAACUUUUUGUUCAUUUCCUGAUAUCUCAAGUAAUAAUAAUUAUUUUCUGUCUUGCAUGGUUUGGAAACAGUUCACCGCACAAGCUCCGGGACUGCCGAAGGAGCUGCGAUAUACAUACCCAAAAGUAAGUACUACUGGCUAGCUAGAUGUGUGCAUCUCCCGUUGAUUCUAUAGCUAUACUUUCAUCAAUGCCAUUUAAAAUGCUUCAUUAUCAGUUUGAUUGACCUCUAUUUCUCGUAAAGUGCUUGUGGCAGGAAGAAGGGAAUGAUUUCUGUGGAUACUACGUGUGCGAGUUCACCCACAACGCGACUUUGAAAAACAAGCGGGGCUACUCUCAAAGACAAUAUAAAGUGCGUAAGCAAUAAUAUUCACAAUUUUAUUUUAUUACACCAUCAUUUCUGUUGAGUUUCUUUCAUAUAUAUGUAUUAAUUAACUCCAUUCUUCAAAUUAGACGUGGCAGAUGCGAAAUGAACUCCUAGAACCAGAUCGCAUGAAAGCAAUUCAAGAGGAAUUGGCGGGAUUCUUUCUUGACCACGUCAUCAAUAAAGCCGGAGAAUACCAUGUGGAAAUUGAUUUCAAUUGCUAGGGGAUUGUAAUUAAGAGAUCUUAUACAUAUUGUACAUGUAUGUAGCCAGUAGCGUCAGAUACAUGAUAUACGAAAACUUGUUGUUCGACCAAUCUCUCGGAGAAGGAGAUGUCGAUCGAUCACUUCUCUCGGUAUGCAUGACGAACUUCUGUACUCAGUGGUUCUCUCGAUCACUUAUGUAUAUAUAGUACGUAGCGUCGACCAAGCACGGACAUAAGAGAGGACACUUCUCUCUAUUAAUUAGCUAGCUAACACAAUAUAUGAAACACCUAAAUUAAGCCCCCAAAACCCCCAACCCCCCCCCCUCCUUUCAAAAAAAAAACAAAAACCCUAGCCACUGGAAGGCUGGUGCGUGGAUGACUUUUGGUCCCGGUUGGUAGCACCAACCGGGACCAAAGGCCCCCUGACUGGCCUCGGCGAACAGGGCUUCGUGGAGGCACAUUGGUCCCGGUUCGUGUUUGAACCGGGACUAAUGGUUGGAGGUAUUAGUAACGAUCCAUUAGUCCCGGUUCAUGAACCGGGACUAAAGGCCCUUACGAACCGGGACUGUUAGGUGUUUUUCUACUAGUGCACUUACACAUUGUAAGUCAUCAUUAUUCUUUCAACAUGUAGAGUAAUAAAAUUGUUUUUCUUUUCUUAGUAGUGUGCCAUACAUGGAUCAUUAUUCAUGCACAAACAGAAUGCAGUUUUCAUGCGUGAUGGUGAUUUGGAUAAUAGUCUAUGUGUAUUCACGUUACUUCUGCAUCUUCCAACUUCCGCAAGCAUAAAUUUCAAAUAUGCCUUGCCAUUUGGCGUGGUCAUAUUUAUUUCCAUCUGUCCAGUGCCAAAAAUUACAGCAGUCUGUUUUCCGUUUAUGUUUUGGUAUGCGUACAUAUCCUCUCAAUGAAAGACCAGAGUCCAUUUUACUGUGUUAUAUCUGUACAAAAGGAAAGUAUGACAAUGCAGAAAUGUCUUCUACCAAUAUUUUUAUAUACAUGUGAAGCAUUAUAUUUGUUGUUGAGCGGUUGAUUAGUGGAACUAACUAAUGCGGGCGAAUUAUGCAGCCAUGCUAUCUACUUGAAAUGGUUUGAUAACAAACUUCCUAACUAGAGGAUGCUAUAGCCAACAUUAUUUCUUCUCCGAAAGAACAUAGAUAGACUGCACGAGUAUGUCUAGUUCACCAUAUCAUCUCGUGGCCUGUUUUAUUCACAGAAAUUACAUUCCGAGUUAAUAAGUUCAAAGGGUACCGAUAGGAUACUAUGCUGUGUAGAUAUUAGAGUGAAUCAUAUACUAUCAAGCUUUUGUCAUACAAUUUUCAGAUUUGCAGUCUUGGUGAAAGCAAAAAAAAAAAGAGCCAGAAUAGCAUUUUUAGGUUGUGAAAAAGUGCUUGGGUUUGUUAAUUAAAAGAUACUACAACGACCCCCGAAUAGAAAUAUUAAAUUCUUAUAGUUGUGGCCGAUGUGAUGUAUAAUGAAGUGGUUUGAAUUCACCUAUUUAAUUUCCCAACCGCUAGGAAUUUUUUACUAUUGGCGAUGUUAGAUGUUUCUGUUAUGUCCCUUCUACCAAUCAUUAGAAUCCUGGCUUGCCUCUUAAAAAAUUAAAACUAUUUGUAUCUUCUUUAGACUGCGCCAUACAUGGAGCUAACCGUUAGUUACACACAUAACAUAUGUUGUUUUGAUUAGAUAUGGAGAUUUGCAAAAUAGUCUACAUGUAUUGACAUUACUUCUGCAUCUCCCAACUUCUCUAAGAACAAAUUUCAAAAAUACCUUACCACUUGACAUGGUUUUUUUUAUUUCCGCAUGUCAACUCCCAUGAGUAAACAAAUUUUGUUUUCCCUCAUGUUGAAAAUAGUAAUGGAUUUUUUAUUUUUCCCCAACUCGCAAAUUAGUUGCGACUUUCAAAAACUUCGAAGCUACAAACACAAUUGAGUAAUUUACAUGAGAGUUUUUUUAAACUUUUUUGGACUUAUUCAUUUUUUGAAAGGGUUCAUGUGGUCCUAAAAAUAAUCAAAGAUUUCAAGAAAGAGUGUGCCUUAUUAUUCCCUGUCCAUCCUAACUAAUACUUUAUUCAGUAAUGCACUAGCAUUGGAGUCGACAUUAAUGUUUUAAAAUCUUGUUGUGUCACUAUGAUGUGCCCUCAUGAGCAGUUGGGACUUCCAAUGUAUUAUGUUGGAGCACAAUUAAUUUAUGAGACUUUUCUAGAUUUUCUAUCCAAACUCUUGAUAUGCAUGAACAUAACUACAAGUAUAAACAUAUGUUAAAUUAGUUUGGAUCAUACUUGACUUGUAACGUAUGCAAGAAUAUCUUCCUAACCUUAAUAUUUUUAGUAUAUGCUAGAGUUACUAGAUAUGCAUUCUUGCUUAACUGAACUUGUUCUGGAAGAUGUACAUGUACAUGGUGCACUGCGCUUUGUUAGAACUGUUAUUUAGUACUCCCUCUGUCAAGAAAUAUAAGAACAUUUAGAUCACUAAAGUGGUGAUCUGAACGCUCUUAGAACGCUCUUAUAUUUCUUUACAGAGGGAGUACAAUAAUAGGCUCUUCCUUGGUAUUGUGUGAGUUUAUAAAGCUUAUUUGUUACAAACAUAUUCUAUGCAUUUGUAUUUUAUACUUUUUGUACAUCUUACUACAACAAACAUUGCUAAAGCAAUUGUUUGAAGUACCCAAAGUUUCUAUUUGUAAAAUCAAAUAGUUUUAAUUGCAUAUUUGUUUUAAAUAUUUGUUUACCAUGAGCAACACAUAUUAAUAGUUCAGAGUAACUUAAUUUCAAUCUUAAAUUAAUUAAAGAUGUUAACAUUAAACUUCAUGAAUUCUAGCCCGCGCAUCGAGGGGGCCACUUUGCUAGUUAAGAACAAAAAACAAGUCGAUGUGUUGGUGUUAAAUGGAUAAAACAAUUGAGAUAUCAGAAAGACCGAUAAAAGACUGGCCACGGAGAGCAAAGUAACAACCACUAACAUGACCGAACAGAAAUAUUCUGGUGUUUGCAUGAAUAGCACCAUAGGGACAAAAAAAUGUGUGCAAAGGAAAUGACAAGGACAGGAGAAGACAUGUUGCAGGCGUCUCAUAUAUCAGGCAGGUCCUCGUUAGUAUACCACCAGCAUGCAGGAAGCAGAUUUGUAGCACUCGGGUGCUCCACACCCCUAUACGAACAUUAAAUUCGUAAAAGGGAAUAUAAAGAAUUUGAAAAAAAAAUCUAGGAUUUUGGGAUAUCAAACCUGGGUUUCCGAUCUACUCCCGUGUGAAAUUUCGUUAAAAAUACCAGAAAACAUAUUCAUGGCAAGAAAGACAAAAAUUUCCUGUGCAUAGAAAAAAAACUGUUUGGAUGAUUUUUUUUUUGUUCGGACAGUAUUUCCUUCACCACGGAUACGUCUCCUGAUAUUUUUUCAUGAAACUUCUCACGGGAGUAGAUUGGGAACUCAGGUUUGAUAUCCCCAAAUUUCAGAUUUUUUUGAAUUUUUUUGGUUUUUUUUACAGUUAAUAUUUGUAUAGGGGUGGCGGAGCACCCAGGAGCUCCUGUGUAUUUUCCCAGCACGCGGCACUACACUUACACAAUAGCAGCCCGUUUAAAGAGUAGCUUCUAAUCAUCUACACAGAGUGUGGAAAACUAGAACAACAUUACUAAGGGUAUACAUUUGUAGCCUGAUAAGUAUAUAAAGCGUGCUCAACAUCAUAAGUCUCACCGAUGUACCAACAAAUAUAACUAUGACAGGUUCAGUGUUAGUAAGCUCCAGACUCUCAUCUGCCUCAAAAUUUAAAGCUGCAUCACCCCAAGAUAAGGAAUCAGUUGGCGCACUUGAGGAAACAAAGGCUAUAAGAAUAAACAUGGGACCAAAAAUAGAAACACCAUGUUGUCUAGCUUAAGGAAUGUAAAGAUCAACUGCUAUAAUUUUAUUUACAAUGUGUCUCACUCACAUAAAAUUGAUCGGUCCGGAUAUAAUGAAUCCCGUCUUGAACAACACUGUACACUGUAUGCAGUUUAGAAUUAUUACGAAAUCUGAAACCUAAGCAAUUUAAGUUAGCAAGUAAAAGGCAAAUUUCAAAUUAACUCCUCUAUCAAAUAUAUAGUUAGAAGUUACGACUGAAGUAUUCUUUCUGUGACACUUCCCUAAACAUUACAGGUAUAAUACGCAUUCUUCUUCAUUUUGUUUAUGUAGAGUUGUUCUUUCACGCGAACCAACCUGUCGUUGGAUGGUUAGAGGGACUGUGGUAUCCCCAGCCCACCAGGAUUCAAAUCCUGAUGCUCGCAUAUAUUUCUGGAUUUAUUUCAGGAUUUCCGUCGAUGUGCAUUCAGUGGGAGGAGACGUUCCCGUCAAUGACGAGGUGACUACGGUGACUUCGUAAAUUUCAAGAUGUAUGCCGACUUAGUCUUUCGGAGGUGCUCACAGGGGUAGGAUGUGCGUCCAUGCGUUCAUAGGGGCGAGUGUAUGCGCAUGUAUAUGAGCACUUGCGUCUGUACUGUGUUCAAAAAAAAGUUGUUCUCUCAUUUCACACUUCCUAGAUGCCCACUCCAUGCAGAUCACUAUGCCCACAGGUACCCAAAAAAAAUGCACAACAAAUAAACAGUAACAUUAUACAUUGCAGAUAACAGGAGAAAAGAACAUGAAAGAAGUGAGGGAGAGCAAGAUCGUUGGCCAGAAUGGGCAUACCUGCAACUGCAAGGUUGCAUGAUUUUAGGGACGGCGGGUAGUGAAUCAGUCCAUGGCAGACAAAGGUGCAGGUGGUGGAGAUGUCACCUCGCAUCUUGGUGCAUCAUAUGCGCCGCGGCUUGGUUUCUAAAAAUAUGCACCGACACCUAUGAUUACUUCAUGGCCGCACCAUGGGUCGCACAUGUGAGCAAAAGAUGAAGCGACACUACAAUGCUCACCUGCAAAGGAUAUCUAGUCUGAUGGGUGAAUAGGGGCGUGAGGCGGCCAGGCGCCCAGGCAGGUAACUGCCGCCGUCGUCCUCGCCUGCUACUGCGAAAGGGGCGAGAAAGGCUGGAGAGAAACAACACCAUGGAACACCGGGGCAGUCGCUGCCUCGGUCGCCAGCGUUGCUAAGGUUUCUCGAGCGGCCGAGAGAGCGAGAUGGAGGAGAUCAGGAGGCGCAAAGAGAGAUGAGGAAAAAAAAAACGUCGAGGGUGGAGACGUCCCUGUUAUGCCUUUUUUUUAUUUUGAGAAGAAGCCCUGUUGCCUUUGCUUCUACCGGUCACCAAAUGGGCUGAGCAAAGAAAUCGGCCAGAUAGCCCAGUUAACGGCAAUGCUCCCAAAAUGCUACAAGAGUAGCUGCCCACAGGGGCAUAUCCUAAACGGCGCCUUCAGCUGCCGUAAUAAUAGAGAGCAACUGGUUGACGAGCGCUCCUUCAGGAGCCUCGCAAUGGCGGGCUCUCAACCGCCGUCACAUGUCAUGCCUGAGUGCUUUCUUCAAAUUUUUUUUUUCCGCACGUGUUUUCUGCUUUUUAAAUGGUUUUUUUGGGGGGGUUUCAACUUUUCGGUUUUUCACUGACCUUUCUUAGCUUUUCGACAAAAAAAAUUGACGUGAAAAAACAUGCUUUUUUUUCUUCUUUAAGAGGCACGGUUUUACUUUCACGAGAGGCAUGGUUUUGCUUCCGCGAGAUGCACGGUUGUGCCUCUCGGAAAUGAAGAAAAUGUGUUUUUACUGCUUUUUUUCUUCCGCGGGAGGCACGGUUUUGGUUCUGCGACGUGCCUCUCGAAAAUGAAAAAAAUGGGUUUUCUCUUUUUUUCACGAGAAGCACAGGUUUGCUUCUGCAAGAGGCACGUUUUUGCUUCCGUGAGAGGGCACGGCCGUGCCUCUAGAAAACAAAAAAACACGUUUUCUCUUUUUUUUCGUGAGAGGCACGUUUUUCUUUUGUGAGAGGCACGGUUUUGCUUCCGCGACGUGCCUCUCGAAAACCGAUAAAAUGGGUUUUUUCUUUUUUUUCAUGAGAGGCAUGGUUUUGCUUCUGCAAGAGGCAUGGUUUUGCUUCCGCGAGAGGCUUGGUCGCGCCUCUCAGAAAUGAAAAAAAAAGUGUUUUCUCUUUUUUUCGCGAGAGGCAAGGAUUUGCUUCCGUGAGAGGCACAACCGUGCCUCUCGGAAACGGCUUCCGGAAAGUGAAAAAACGUACUCCCGGUUCGGUUUUUGGGUCUGUUUUUUUCGUGACAUAUUUUUUCAUAAAAACCUAUCAACAUGGGAUCUAGUUUUGAAGAUCUCAGCGCGAGGAAUUCAGUGAUAAAUUGCGACAAGUGGUGCAGCCUGAGGUGGAUUCGAAACCACAUCGCGGUACAUCUACUUCCUUUCUUGUUCAUUCUUUUUCUUUUUUCUUUUUUCCUUUUCUUCCUUCUUUUUACUUUUUCCAUUUUCUUUUAUCUAAUUUGAUGAAGAAGGUUCACUGCAUUUUAUGAACGUUUAUUUAAGUUUGAUAAACUUUUCAAAUUCGAUUAACCUGUUUCAAAUUCGAUGAUCUUUUUUUAAACUAGUGAACUUUUUUGAAGAUGAUGAACUUUUUUUCAAAUCGGUGAACGUUUUUGCAAAUCUGAUGAACUUUUUCAAAUUCGAUUAACUUUUUUCAAGCUGGUGAACUUUUUAAAAAAAAUUGUGAACUCUUUUAAGCUUGUAAUUUUUUAAAAAAAAUUGUGAACUUUUUCAGAUUCACGGACUUUUUAUUUUUGCGAUUUUUUAAGUGAACGGUGAGCAGUCGCCUGUUCAACUAUGAUCAGUCAAAACUGCACUUGAGUCAUUUGUCGAGAAGAAAAAGUGCGCUUGAGUGACCAGGGAGAAACUGAGCGCUAGCCUUAUAUGGUCCGACCCAGCACGUUGCUUAGUGAGCGCCCGUUCAUCCAAGUGGUGCUUAAGGCGCCACUUAAGAGGUCCCGCCCACAGGACAUCUAGAUCGGACGACCAGAAAUAUUUUGGACACGAAAUCGGACGGCCGUGAGAGGGCUCGGAUUUUUUUUAAACUAGUGAACUUUUUGAAGAUGAUGAACUUUUUUUCAAAUCGGUGAACGUUUUUACAAAUCUUAUGAACUUUUUCAAAUUUGAUUAACUUUUUUCAAGCAGGUGAACUUUUUUUAAAAAAAUUAUGAACUUUUUUAAGCUUGUAAUUUUUUUAAAAAAAUUAUGAACUUUUUCAGAUUCACGAACUUUUUAUUUCUGCGAUUUGUUUAAGUGAACGGUGAGCAGUCGCCUGUUCAACUAUGAUCAGUCAAAACUGCACUUGAGUCAUUUUUCGAGAAGAAAAAGUGCGCUUGAGUGACCAGGGAGAAACUGAGCGCUAGCCUUAUAUGGGCCGACCCAGCGCGGGGCUUAGUGAGCGCCCGUUCUUCCAAGUGGUGCUUAAGGCGCCACUUAGGAGGUCCCGCCCACAGGAUAUCUAGAUCGGACGACCAGAAAUAUUUCGGACACGAAAUCGGACGGCCAGAACGGUGCAGGUUGUGAGAGGGCUCGGAUUUGGUGCGGUUUUACUGUCCUUAAUUAGUUCCCAAUAUGUACGCAGACAUGUAGGACUUUCUUAGGCCAUAAUUAUCUCUCAUAUGUCAGACUUAUUAUAUAUCUGUAAUAAACAUUCACAAGUUUUUUCAAAUGCUUUCUUAAUACUAUUAGUAGGAUUCAAGUAAUUCUCCAUUAAUUCUGUGUAAAAACGUAGGUUCAUGUUAUCAAUGCCAUGGGUUAUGCUCAUCUCCUCCAUCUUUUAUUUUCUCAUAGGACAUGAACCAUUGCUUGGUAUGUGACAAAAAAGGAGAAUUACACAUGACAUGGUUGUGCUAGAUGAUUUUUUAUUCGACUCAUGAUGUUCACAUACUACUUGGCUUUAAGGAUCGAAUGCCUUCGAGCGCUAUUUUUUUUAGUGCAAUCCAAAUUGGGAUACCUCUCAAGCCAAACAAUUUUGAAUCCUUAUUUCCAAUCAUGACGUUGUCCUGCAUGUGCGAUGAGGAUAUAAACGGAGGACAAGGAGUAGUCGCCUUCUUGGUUUGGCCCUUCCACUUUGACACUCAUUCUAUGGCUCAAUGUAACCAAACCAGGAGUUCAUUCCAAUUCUGAGUACAAUCCUUAUUUUUUUUCACUAUCAUGUGGAUUCGUUUGUGUCGGCUGCAUUGCGUUCUAUAAAUUGUGAACGGUGUGAAUGGGGUACAUUUCUAUGAUAUGAUGCAAAAGAAGUACUUGCAGAUAUGUCACAUGGGUAAGAACAUGCAUGUUGUGUCUCUGUUCAUUUACAAUAACUAGGUUUCUUUCAAAUGUUUUCUGAAUAGUGCUCAUCACGGGUACUUGCCAAAUACUUUUUCUUCCUGACAGAUUAGAAAAUAAUAAUUUUCUUGCUUUGGGCGCUUCUUGAUUUCUCCAUCAUAAAAACAAAAGUAACAUAUGCAAAUUUGUUAAUCAUUACCUGUGAAAUGGAGGGGAAGUACUACAGGUCAGAGCUGAAGAUCUAAUGUCGAUCGAUUCAACUCCUAGAAUUAUGGAUUUCUUAAAGUAAUCCAACAAUGCAAUUAUCUAAUACAAUAUUUUAUAUAUUGUUAUUAAUGUAAUCUAAUAAUCUUUCUUUGAUGUGUGUUGAUAAGAAUGAUAAGAUAACCCUAAAGGGUGGUGUUGGAGAUUUUGACUUAAUGUAAAUGUAGUAAUAGUUCACAUUCUAUACUUCUCAAAAAUAUUUUCAUGCUUAUUUGUAAAUUUGACCUUUGUUUGGGAAAAGAAAUAAAGAACAUUCUGCACAUUACAUGAGGGUAUACAACUUUAACCAAUAAGAUACAUUUUUCACAUCACUCGACUUUAGGUCGGUUCUAUAACCAAAUUUAUUAUAUAAAUAUAUGCAUUGGUCGAUUUCAUCAAAUUGCUAAAAUUAUAUUUAUCUACAAAUUAUAGAUACCACACGGACAAGUUUAUCUCAAUGAACAUUUGAGCUAUUGGUUAAAGAAAUAUGCAAUUUUAUCAAUUUUGGGAACUAAACUAUUAGCCCAGUGCCUAGUGUCAGUCGCUGUUUUUUUCCUAUUUCUGAUUUUCCAGAAAAUCAGUGCCAAAUGGAGUCCAAAUGCUACGGAACUUUUUGACGAUUUUUUUGGACAAAAGAGACCCUAAAAGCUUCGGGGGAGACCGGACGGCAAACACGGACACGGCAAAGCAACAGGGCGCGCCCUGGGGGUGUAGGCGCACCCUGAUGCCUUGUGGGCCCCACGUACCUCCGUCUGACCUAAUUCCACUUUUAUAAAUUCUAAAAUAUUGGGAAAACCCUAGAGAAACACCCGAAAUACUUUUUCCGUUGCCGCAAGUCUCUGUUCUUCUGCGAUCUCAUCUAGAUGCUUUUUCUGGUACACUGCCGGAGGGGGAAUCGAUCACGGAGGGCUUCUACGUCAACCUUGAUGCCUGACCGAUGAUGUGUGAGUAUUUUCACCACAGACCUAUGGGUCCAUAGCUAGUCUCUAGAUGGCUUCUUCUCUUUUUUUGAUCAUCAAUACAAUGUUCUCCUUGAUAUUCUUGGAGUUCUAUCAGAUAUAAUCUUCUUUCGCGCUGUGUUUGUUGGGAUCCGAUGAUUUAUGGGUUUAUGAUAACAUUAUUAAUUGAAAGUAAUCGAGUCUUUUCUGAACUUUAUUAUGCAUGAUUAUGAUAUCUUUGUAUUUCUCUUCCGGUCUAUCUGUUUGGUUUGGCCAACUAGAUUGAUUUAUCUUCGGUUGGACAAGUGCUUUGUAGUGGGUUCAGUCUUGCAGUGUUUGAUACGUCUCCAAUGUAUCUAUAAUUUUUUAUUGUUCCAUGCUAUUAUAGUAUCAAUCUUGGAUGUUUUAUAUGCAAUUGUACGCAAUAUUAUAUCAUUUUUUGGGACUAACCUAUUGAUGUCUACUACACAAUAUUUCUUCUAGUAGACUCGUGUUGGGCCUCCAAGCACAAAGUUUUGUAGGAUGGGGAAGCAUCUGACUCUUUCUCGAUGGGACAGGGAGUAGCAAUUUUCCCUCAAGUGGAUGACCAAAGGUUUAUCAAUCCGUGGGAGGCGUAGGAUGAAGAUGGUCUCUAUGAAACAACCCUGCAACCAAAUGACAAAUAGUCUCUUGUGUCCCCAACACACCCAAUACAAUGGUAAAUUGUAUAGGUGCACUAGUUCGACGAAGUGAUGGUGAUACAAGUUUAAUAUGGAUAGUGGAUAUAGGUUUUUGUAAUCUGAAAAAUAUAAAAACAGAAAGGUAGCAAGUAGUAAAAGUGAGCAAAAAAGGUAUUGCAAUGCUUGAAAACAAGGCCUAGGGUUCAUACUUUCACUAGUGCAAAAUCUCUCAACAAUGAGAACAUAAUUGGAUCAUAUAACAAUCCCUCAACGUGCAAUAAAGAAUCACUCCAAAGUUUCUAUCCGAGAACGUAGGACAAAAAUGUGCAUCAACCCCUAUGCAUAGUUUACCCCAAUGUCAGCUCGCGAAUCCGCGAGUUGAGUGCCAAAACAUACAUCAAGUGAAUCAAUAUAGUACCCCAUUGUCACCAGGGUAUCCAUAUGCAAGACAUACAUCAAGUGUUCUGAAAUCCAAUAUUCAAUCCAACAUAACGAAACCUCAAAGAGUGUUCUGAAAUCCAAUAUUCAAUCCAACAUAACGAAACCUCUAAGAGCAAGACUCAAUUCAUCACAAGAAGGUAGAGAGAGAAGAACACCAUAAGAUCCAAAUAUAUUAACAAAGCUCGCGGUACAUCAAGAUCAUGCCAGAUCAACAACACGAGAGAAGGAGAUCAAACACAUAGCUACUACUACAUACCCUCAGCCUCGAGAGUGAACUACUCCAUCCUCGUCAUGGAGACCACCGGGUUGAUGAAGAUGGCCUCCGAUGAUGAUUUUCCCCUUUGUUAGGGUGCCGGAACGGGGUCCCGAUUGGUCUUUCAUGGCUACAGAGGCUUGCGGUGGCGGAACUUUUUCUCAUCUAUGGUUCUUUCUGGGGGUUUUGGUAUAUGUAGGAUUUUUUGGCGUAGGUCUCACGUCAAGGGGGUGCCCUAGGGGCCCACAAGCUUGGGGGCGCGCACCCAGGCUUGUGGCUCCUCGGUCACCUCCUGGUCUAGCUCCGGUGCUUCGGGGGUGUCUUUUGGUCCAUAAAAAAUCACCGUAAAUUUUCAGCCAAUUCCGAGAACUUUUAUUUCUGCACAAAAAACGACAGCAUGGUAGUUCUACUGAAAACAUCGUCAGUCCGGGUUAGUUCUAAUAAAAUCAUACCAAAACCAUAUAGAAUUGUUGCAAACAUGGCAUGAAUACUUCAUAAAUUAUAGAUACGUUGGAGACGUAUCACCUAUAACUUAGUGCCAAGUGCCAGUUGCUGUUUUUUUUAAUAUUUUUGGUUUUCUGGAAAAUCAGUACCAAACAAAGUCCAAAUGCCACGAACCUUCUUUAAGAUUUUUUGGACAUAAGAGACCCUAGCAACUUUGGGAGGAGGCCAGAAGGCGAAGGAGUAGGCCACAAGCCACAUGGGCAGCCCAUGUGCCUUAUGGGCCCCUCGUUCCUUCGUUUGACCUAAUUCCAACUCUAUAAAUUCUCUAAAAUCGGGAAACCAAUAGGGAGCUACCCGAAACAAUUUUUCCGCCGCCACAAGCUUCUGUUCUCCCGAGAACCCAUCUGGAGGCCUUUUCCGGUACUCUGCCGAAGGGGAAUCGAUCACGGAGGGGCUCUACAUCAAUCUUGUUGCCCUUCCGAUGAUGUGUGAGUAGUUCACCAAUGACCUACUUUUCCAUAGCUACUAGCUAGAUGGCUUCUUCUCUCUCUUUGAUCUUCAAUACAAUGUUCUCCUUGAUGUUCUUGGAGAUCUAUCCGAUGUAAUCCUCUUUUGCGGUGUGUUUGUUGGGAUCCAAUGAAAUGUGGGUUUAUGAUCCGAUUGUCUGUGAAUAUUAUUUGAGUCUUCUCUGAACUAUUUUGUGCAUGAUUAUUAUAGCUUUGUAUUUCCCUCCAAUCUAUUGAUUUGGUUUGACGAACUAGAUUGAUUUAUCUUGCAAUGGAGAGGUGCUUUCUAAUGGGUUCAAUCUUGCGAUGCUCAAUCCCAGUGAUAGAAAGGGACAUGACACAUAUUUGUAUUGUUGUGAUUAAGGAUCAAAAUAUGGGGUUUGUUCAUAUUGAUUGUGUUUACUUUGUCUACAUCAUGUCAUCUUAUUUAAGGCAUUGCUUCAUUCUUUAUGAACUUAAUAUUCUAGAUGCAUGCUGGAUAGCGGUCGAUGUGUGGAGUAAUAGUAGUAGAUGUAGGUAGGAGUCGGUCUACUUGUCUCAGACGUGAUGCCUAUAUACAUGAUCAUUGUCUUGGAUAUCGUCAUAACUAUGCUAUUUGCUAUCAAUUUCCAACAGUAAUUUGUUCACCUACCAUAGGCUAUGUUCAAGAGAGAAUCCUCUAGUGAAAACCAUGGCCCCCAGGUCUAUAUUUCUCGCAUAUUAAAAUCCAAACUUUGCUACAAUUUAUUUACCAUUUUUUAUUUUGUGUUUUGUUUAUCUAUCUAUCACUAUGAGAUUGGUCCUUGCAAUUAACCGCCAAGUGAUUGACAACACCUUGUUUGCAUUGGGUGCAAGUAUUUGUUAUUUUGUGUGUAGGUGUUGUUCACGAGGUCUUGCAUGGUUCUCCUACUGGAUUGAUAAUCUUUGUUCUUAACUGAGGGAAAUACUUAUCUCUAUUGUACUACAUCAUCCUCUCCUCUUUGGGGAAAUCCCAACGCGGCUCACAAGUAGCAGGAAGAAUUUCUGGCAUCGUUGUCGAGGAGACAUCACCAAAACCUAUCAAGUACCAUGUCAUAAACUUUCAUAUCCUUGCAUUUACAUUAUUUUCCAUUUGCCUCUUAUUUCCAUCCCCCCCUUCUAAAACGCUCUCACAAAAACAUAAAAAUAUUUUUUGUUUGUCUUUUUGCUUGUUGCUUGCUUGAAGUUGUUAUCAUAUCUGAAUUUAUUACCGAAAAGGGUGAAGAGGGUACAAUCCCUAAGGUUGAAAUUACCUCAAAUUUGAUGCCAAAAAUUUUGUAAUGGGAAGUGCGAAUAUCGGAGGAAAAAGCAUCAUUCAAGAAUUCUUUAAUUGUACGGGAACUUUGGUUUGCGAUGACAUUCCUAUUCUUAGAAGAACCAAAAGUUAUGUCGAAGCUAUCUCCGCACUUAUUCUUAAAGUUGAAAGAAGAUUUAUUCGCACACAUCUUGCAAAGAUUGUUUUAUGAGUUUCCAGUUAUAAAUAAUCCACCCUUAUCCUCAUGAAUGAAUUUGAUUACAUAGUGCGAGAAGCUAGAGAGAGUUUUGAUUUUCACAAUAUGAACCAUGAGCAUCCUGUGAUGGAUGAGAUUUUAUAUAAUGAACAUUACUUGUUGAGAUAUUUAUUUUGUGAUAACCAUACUUUUGAUGAGAAUACCUAAAAGGAAGUCCCUCCUUUAAACAUAAUCCAACAAGUUUUCAAUGGUAUUAAGAAACAGUAUUCUUGAUUGUAAAAGGGAACCAAGAAGGAUUUGAGGAUCAUGCUUAAUAACGCUAAAAUUUCGAUUGAUGAUGUGUUCCAUAUUGUUUCCGAAAAGCCUCCUGAUAAAAACACAUCUCUAGAUGUGAAAAGAAAGAUGACAACACAAUUGAAACUAUGCAUUACGCCUAGCUAGGGGCGUAGAAUAAUAGCGCUUGUUGGGAGGCAAACCAAUAGCUAUCUCUAAUUUUCUUGUUUUUUUCUGGUUUUUUUAUGUGCACACAACUAUUCUACUAUUUAUGUUGUGUUUUUGUGUUUAAAUUAGUGUUUAUGACAAGUAAAGCCUUUGGGAUGAUUUGGUUGAUAGUUGAUUCGAUUCUGUGAAAAAACAGAAACUUUUGUGCUCACUCAGUGAAUUUUCUAAAAUUACUGGAACGUGUCUUUGAUCUGAAUGUUUUACACAUGAUUGAUAUACAAAUUUCCACGUUUUCCCAAUUUUUUAGAAUUUUUAGUGUUAUAGAAGUAUAGUCAUUAUUCAGAUUACUACAGAUUGUUCUGUUUUUGAAAGAUUAUAUUUUUGUUGCAUUGCUUUCUUGUUUUGAUGAAUCUAUGGAUUGUAUCAGGGGGUAUAAUCCAUGGUGAAGUUAGAAUACAGUAGGUAUCAUAAAAUAAUAAAAUAUGAAUGAGUUUACAACAAUACCUAAAAUUUGUGAUUUGGUUAUUAUACUAACGGAUCUCACGAAUUUUUUGUUGAGUUUUGUGUGCUGAAGUUUUCAUGUUUUGAGUGAGAUCACGAUUGAUGAAGGAAUAAGGAGUGGCAAGAGCCUAAGCUUGGGGAUGCCCAUGGAACCCCAAGGAAAUUCUAAGGACUCCCAAGCAUCUAAGCUUGGGUAUGCCCCGGAUGGCAUCCACUCUUUCGCCUACCAACCAUCGGUAAAUUACUUGGAGCUAUAUUUUUAUUCAUCGCACGAUGUGAGUUUUGCUUGGAGCGUCUUGUAUUAUAUGACUCUUUGAUUUAUUUGCCUUUUAGUUUGCCACAAUCAUCUUUGCUGGACACACCUUUUUGAGAGGGAUACACAUUGUUUGUGAUUUGUUAGAAUACUCUUUGUGCUUCACUUAUACCUUUUGAGGAAGGCAGUUGCUCUAGUGUGUCACUUAUAUCUUUUAGAGCACGACACUGGUUAUAUUUAAAAAAAAUAGUUGCACUCCCAUGAUUCACUUAUAUCAUUUUGAGAGUUGAUAAAAGUAACGGCAAUACGCACAAGUUAUGAAAUUGGUCCUAAUAUGAUAGGUAUUCAAGAGGGAUAUACUUAAAACUUUCAUGUAGAUCACUGAAUAUGAUAAGUUUGAUUCCUUGCAAUAGUUUUGUGAUAUAAAGAUGGUAAUAUGUGGAGGUACUAGUGAAUGAUUGUGGUUUAGUAAGAAUAUUGGUUUGAAGGUUUGUGAUUCCCGAAGCAUGCACGUAUAGUCUCUCGUUAUGCUAAGAGGUUGGAGCAUGAUUUAUUAUUGAUUGUCUUUCUUAUGAGCGGUGGUCGGGGAUGAGCCAUAGUCUUUUCCUAUCAAUCUAUCCCCCCUAGGGGCAUUCGUAAUAGUACUUUGCUUCGAGGGCUAAUGAACUUCCACAAUAAGUAUGUGAGUUCUUUAUGACUAAUAUGAGUCCAUGGAUUAUACGCACUCUCACCUUUCCGCAAUUUAUUAGCCUCUUCGGUUCCAUGCAAUGCCCUUUCUCACCUCGAGAUGUGGUGCAAACUUCGCUGGUGCAUCCAAACCCCAUGAUGUGAUACGCUCUAUCAUACAGAAGGCUCCUUAUAUCUUCCUCAAAACAACCACCAUACCUACCUAUUAUGGCAUUUCCAUAGCCAUUCCGAGAUAUAUUGCCAUGCAACUUACAGCGUUAUGUUUUUAUGACACACAUCAUCAUUGUCAUAUGCUUGCAUGAUCAUAUAGCUGACACAGUAUUUGUCGCUCAGCCACCAUUCAUCAUACAUGUUACGCUAGAUCAUUGCACAUCCUGGUACACUGCCAGAGGCAUUCAUAUAGAGUCAUAUUUUGUUCUAGUAUCGAGUUGUAAUUUUGAUAUCUAAGUAGAAGUGUGAUGAUCAUCAUAAUUCAUUAUUAGAGCAUUGUCCCAAGUGAGGAAAUAGAAAAAGGGGCCAAAAGUAUCCCAACAAAAAAUGAGAGAAAAAGAAAGAAGGGGUAAUGUCACUAUCGUUUUCCACACUUGUGCUUCAAAGUAGCACCAUUUUUUCAUAUAGAGUCUCAUAUGAUUUCACUUUCAUAUAACUAGUGUGAAUCUUUCAUUAUAGAAUUUGGCUUGUAUAUUCCAAUGAUGGGCUUCCUCAAAUGCCCGAGGUCUUCAUGAGCAAGCAAAUUGGAUGCACACCCACUUAGUCACUACAAGAAAUAUGUCAACUAGUGACCUUCUGUCAGUGACCCUGGAAGAAUUGCUGAUAGAUCUAUGACCAUUUGAGACCAAUUGGUCAAAAGCUGUUCGGGGGGCUCCAAACCCUAAACCAUUGCGACCAUUUUGGUCAGAAAGGUCGUAAUUUCCUUACACUAAAUGGUCACAAAGCAAAUAGUGCUGGUCCGCUGCCUUAUUUCUAGUUGUUAACGACCAAUAUAGAUGGUCAUAGCCUUGCAGAUUGUGCUGGGUUGUGAUGACUAGGCACCAUCUCAUCAGUUUUGCCUAUGUGUCAUGACCAUGUGUCAAUUUCUGCCCUAGGUUGUGAAGCAACAUAUAUUUCUGUUAUUCCAAAAAUUCCCAAAAAAUUCUCAUAAAUUGUUUGGAUCAUAUCUUCAUCUAAUAUGUCAAAAACCUUCCUUGCCUAGUUCAAAAAUAACUCAACAAUAUUCAUUUUCCUAUUUUGUUCAAAGCAGCACUUUGUGAAGGAAGUACCACUUUGGCAUGUCCAAAUGGUAUCCAUUUUCUACAGUGCUUUCCUAUGCCCAAAUAACCAUCCUCCACCAAAUGCCAGCUCAAUCCAUUCCUUAUUUUGAGCCCAGCUUCAACAUUCGUAUUUAUGUCCAGUGUGGUACUUUGCAAAGCAAGUACCACCUAGGCUCCUCCUUUUGAGGUGAAAAUUUGUGAAGAUGGUCUUCUUAGUAACUGAUAAUCCUCAGCCAAAACCCACGCCCAUUAGCCAUGUGCAUUUCCUGUACCACAAAUCAAACACUUGGCUGCUUAUUCAUGUUUGAGCAUCGAUCGGUCUACUCGUGAGAAUCUUAUGUUGUGAUUUUCUUCCUAGCACCUACCUGGAAGUGCCCAACCCACUAGAAAUUCUUAGGCCGCCCGGAACACAUGGCAACGCCACGGUCACGCGGUGACCACGCGGCGGGCAUGCGAGCUUACGCGCUCUAGAGUUGGGGCCCUCGGCCAUCGUCCAAACCUCGAUGUCUCACCAUCAAACCAUGUAUUUCUGAUUAAAUAGAUACUUAUUUACAUAGAAAUGAGUUUUGGAAAAAUAAAGAGCAAACUAUGAGGCAGCUGCAGUUCAAAUUUGACCCGCUUCCAACUAAAUCGACGGGAAUUUGUCUUUUUCACCAGAGGUGGAUCAAAAUUUUUGACACCCAACCAUUUUGUCAAUUGUGAAUUAAAUAUGGCCUAGUAUUUUAUAAAAUUUAUUAGGUCCAAUUUUGCAACAAAUAUAUGGUAGGUCCUUCACAAAAAAAACUCAUUUGGGGCACUCGGGAAAUGGAAAAUGAAUUUUCCGUGCAAAGAAAUGAAAACUCCCUUAGGCAACAUUGUUUGGAAUUCCAAGAUGCACCCUUGUGCACAAUAUUAGAUCAUUUGAACAAGCUAUGCCAUGAAUGUGGCCACAAGAUUGAUCAUUUGGCUUGAAACCCAUGAAUCUUCACACUUGAUAGCUCAUUUCUGAGAACACUUUUUUUAAAUAGUUACCGUAUUACAAGUUUAUUAUUUUUCCUGGAAACUUGGUCACAUAUAAUGACAUAAUGUGAAGGUUUUCCAAUUUUUUGAUUUCUUUUGAAUUUUUAUAACCGUUUCAAAAUGCGGUCAAAACAGCGGGCUUGACCGUUCCUAUCUAGUGGUUCAAUCUUGGCAUUUUUUGGUGUUUCUCUGAUUAAAUAGAUACUUAUGUACCUAGAAAUGAUUUUUAGAAAAAAAUAAAGAGCAAACUAUAGGGCAGCUGCAGUUCAAAUUUGACCCGCUUCCAACUGAAUCGACGGGAAUUUGUCUUUUUCACCAGAGGUGGAUCAAAACUUUUGACACCCAACCAUUUUGUCAAUUGUGCAUUAAAUAUGGCCUAGUAUUUUAUAAAAUUUGAUUUGGUCCAAUUUUGCAACAAAUAUAUGGUAGGUCCUUCACAAAAAAACCUCAUUUGGGGCACUCGAAAAAUGGAAAAUGGCUCUUUUGUGCAAUGAAAGUGAAAACUCCCUUAGGCAACAUUGUUUGGAAUUCCAAGAUGCACCCUUGUGCACAAUAUGAGGUCAUUUGAACAAGUUAUGCCAUGAAUGUGGCCAUAAGAUUGAUCAUUUGGUUUAAAAGCCAUGAAUCUUCACGCAUGAUAGCUCAUUUCUGAGAACACUUUUUUAAAAAAAUCCGUAUUACAGCUUUAUUAUUUUUCCUGGAAACUUUGUCACAUAUAAUGACACAAUGCGAAGGUUUUCCAAUUUUUUGAAUUUUUUUGAAUUUUUUAUGCCCGUUUCAAAAUGCGUUCAAAACGGCGGGCUUGACCGUUCCUAGCUAGUGGUUGAAUCUUGGAAAACUUUUGAUGUUUCUCUGAUUAAAUAGGUACUUAUGUACAUAUAAAUGAUUUUUGGAAAAAAUAAAGAGCAAACUAUGAGGCAGUUGCGGUUCAAAUUUGACCCGCUUCCAAUUGAAUCGGCAGGAAUUUGUCUUUUUCACCAGAGGUGGAUCAAAACUUUUUACACCCAACCAUUUGGUCAAUUUUGCGUUAAAUAUGGACUAGUAUUUUAGAAAAAUGAUUUGGUCCAAUUUUGCAAUAAUUAUUUGGUAGGUCCUUCACAAAAAAACCUCAUUUGGGGCACUCAAAAAAUGAUUAAAAAUAGCUAGAAAUAUGAAAAAUGCAUACAAAUUGGUCCUAAUCCAUAAAAUGUGGUCUAACUCUAGUGAAAGUUUGUGUGGUGCCCUUUUGCAAAAUAUUUUUGAUAGCUACUUCAUAAAAUCCCUCUAUUUUUAGUAUUUGAAAACUAUUUUACAUCACUGAUUUUCUGAACCAAUCAUAACUCUGUCCACGGAUCGAUGACAUGGCGUCCAUCCAUCCAUCCAUCCAUCUCCAUCCCACAUCCAUCCAUCCAUCUAUCUACAGAAAAAAGAAAAAAAAGAAAAGAAAGGAGAUACCCCCUGUGACGCCCGGCUAAUUAAGCUACGGUGAUCCUCUGCUAGUGAUGCCACGUCAUCCCGAUUACUGUUGCUAAAUGUCCGUUAGUUCAACCGCGUCAAAUUCAAAUUUAAAAUUAGUGUCGAUAAUAAAAGUUUUCGAAAAUGGAAACAAAAAUGUUCGGUGGUUGCCAAAUAUUAUAAGGGUAAUUAUGGUGCAGCAAACACAUUUUUAUAAAAUGUCUAAAUAAUUUAAAGUGAAUUAAAAUAGAAAAGAAAAUAAGAAAGCCCCCUGGCAAACUGGGCCAGAAGGCCCAGCUGGCCGACCCACUUGCCCCAGCCGCCCCCACUCUCUUCAUAUCCCCCCACCGGUGAGGCCCCGAACCGCCACCGACACUUCCCCCCUCUCUCCAAAAAAUAUCUCCCCCUCUCCCCCGAGUGGAUCGGGAUCGAGGGAGGAGGCCCNNNNNNNNNNNNNNNNNNNNNNNNNNNNNNNNNNNNNNNNNNNNNNNNNNNNNNNNNNNNNNNNNNNNNNNNNNNNNNNNNNNNNNNNNNNNNNNNNNNNNNNNNNNNNNNNNNNNNNNNNNNNNNNNNNNNNNNNNNNNNNNNNNNNNNNNNNNNNNNNNNNNNNNNNNNNNNNNNNNNNNNNNNNNNNNNNNNNNNNNNNNNNNNNNNNNNNNNNNNNNNNNNNNNNNNNNNNNNNNNNNNNNNNNNNNNNNNNNNNNNNNNNNNNNNNNNNNNNNNNNNNNNNNNNNNNNNNNNNNNNNNNNNNNNNNNNNNNNNNNNNNNNNNNNNNNNNNNNNNNNNNNNNNNNNNNNNNNNNNNNNNNNNNNNNNNNNNNNNNNNNNNNNNNNNNNNNNNNNNNNNNNNNNNNNNNNNNNNNNNNNNNNNNNNNNNNNNNNNNNNNNNNNNNNNNNNNNNNNCUCGCGCUCGCCCUGCCCGAAGUUGCGCCCUCCUGCUGUAGCCCCCGCGCGCCUUCACCUUCCCUUGCCCCUGCUCGCCGACCAAUGCCGUCAACCGCGGCCCCGCACCAGCCUACUCUUCGUCGUCGCCCGGUCCGGAUCCCACCUCCGGCCGCGUCCGGUGCCGCUUAGCCGCCUCCCGCUGCCACUCCGGCCACCCCGAGCUGCUCUCUGACCGCGUACCUGCGGCCCUGGCCACGCCCCCUGUCGCCGGCCGGCGCCUUGCGCUCCUCCUUGGCCUCGCCGUGGCCAUGCACCUCCACCGCGUCCCGCUCCGGCUGGCACCCCUUGGCCCCGUGCCCCGGCGGCCUCGUCCUGCCCUGCGGGCGAGUGCUCACUCGGGUGCGCCCGCACCCACUGGACCAAACCCGCCAAGGCCCCUAUGGGCCUAUGACAAACGGGGCCCACGCCCAGAACGAAAAUAAUAAUAAUAGAAAAAUAGAUAAGUAAAUAAUUAAAAUAUUAAUUAAUUAAUGAAUUAAAGAAUUAAUUAACUUAAUUAAUCCUGAUCGGUUAACCUAAUCACUAAGUUUAGUUAAUUAAUCUGUUAGGUUAGUUAACAGUCAAUGACAGCUCGGACCCACUGGUCAGGUUGACUAGUCAACCCAUGUUGACUGCUGAUGUCAGCAUGACAUCAUGCUGAUGUCAUAAAUUCAUUUUCGAAUUAAUUUAAAUAAUUAAUUAAAUUCCAGAAAUUAAUAAAAUCUUUAGAAAAUCAUAUCUUUUAAUCCGUAACUCGGAUUAAAUUAUUUCAACAUGAAAGUUGUUCAGAACGACGAGACGAACCCGGAUACGUAGCCCGUUCGUCCACCACACACCCCUAACAUAUCAACCCCGCAACUUUCCCCCUCCAGUUCAUCUGUCAGAAAACACGAAACACCGGGAAUACUUUCCCGGAUGUUUUCCCCCCUUCACCGGUAUCACCUACUACCGCGUUAGGGCACACCGAACACCGCGUAUUGUCUUGUUACGCUUUGUGAUGCUUUGAUUGGUCUGUUAUUUAUUGUGUUCCCUCUCCGUUACUUCUUUCCGAUAGACCCCGAGACUGCCGGCGACCCCCAGUUCGACUACGGUGCUGGUGACUCGUCCUUCUUGCCAGAGCAACUAGGCAAGCCCCCCCCCCUUGAUCACCAGAUAUCGCCUAUUCUCCUCUAUACUGCUUGCAUUAGAGUAGUGUAGCAUGUUACUGCUUUUCGUUAAUCCUAUUCUGAUGCAUAGCCUGACAUUGUUGCUACAUCUGUUGAUACCUUACCUGCAAUCCUAAAUACUUAGUAUAGGAUGCUAGUUUAUCAUCAUUGGCCCUACAUUCUUGUCAGUCUUCCUUGCUAUACUAUUGGGCCGUGAUCACUCGGGAGGUGAUCACGGGUAUAUACUAUACAUACAUACAUACUAUACAGAUGGUGACUAAAGUCGGGUCAGCUCAUUGAGUACCCGCAAGUGAUUCCGAUGUGGGGGCUGGAAGGACAGGUGGCUCCAUCCCGGUAGAGGUGGGCCUGGGUUCCCGACGGCCCCCGACUGUUACUUUGUGGCGGAGCGACAGGGCAGGUUGAGACCACCUAGGAGACAGGUGGGCCUGGCCCUGUUCGGCGUUCGUGGAUACUUAACACGCUUAACGAGAUCUUGGUAUUUGAUCUGAGUCUGGCCAUUUGGUCUAUACGCACUAACCAUCUACGUGGGAGUAGUUAAGGGUAUCCCGGCGUCGUGGUAUCAGCCGAAGCACUUCAGACGUCAGCGACGGAGCGGCGUGCGCCGGAUCGGACUGGAACGCCUGCUAGGCUAGGUCUGCUUCCGGCCGUCUUCGCAACAUGCAGGUGUGCUAUGGGCGAUGGGCCCAGACCCCUGUGCGCUUAGGUUUAGACCGGCGUGCUGGCCUCUCUGUUUUGCCUAGGUGGGGCUGCGACGUGUUGAUCUUCCGAGGCCGGGCAUGACCCAGGAAAGUGUGUCCGGCCAAAUGGGAUCGAGCGUGUUGGGUUAUGUGGUGCACCCCUGCAGGGAAGUUAAUCUAUUCGAAUAGCCGUGAUCUUCGGUAACAGGACGACUUGGAGUUGUACCUUGACCUUAUGACAACUAGAACCGGAUACUUAAUAAAACACACCCUUCCAAGUUCCACAGACAACCCGGUGAUCGCUUUUCCACAGGGCGACGAGGGGAGGAUCGCCGGGUAGGAUUAUGCUAUGCGAUGCUACUGGAGAUGCUACUUGGAGAUGCUACUUGGAGGACUUCAAUCUACUCUCUUCUACAUGCUGCAAGACGGAGGCUGCCAGAAGCGUAGUCUUCAAUAGGAAUAGCUAUCCCCCUCUUAUUCUGGCAUUCUGCAGUUCAGUCCACUGAUAUGGCCUCCUUACACAUGUACCCAUGCAUAUGUAGUGUAGCUCCUUGCUUGCGAGUACUUUGGAUGAGUACUCACGGUUGCUGUGCUCCCUCUUUCCCUCGUUUUCCUCUUCUUCUCGGAUGCUGCAACUAGACGUUGGAGCCCAGGAUCCAGACGCCACCUUCUACGAUGACUCCUACUACACUGGAGGUGCCUACUACUACAUGCAGCCCGCUGAUGACGACCAGGAGUAGUUAGGAGGAUCCCAGGCAGGAGGCCUGCGCCUCUUUCAAUCUGUAUCCCAGUUUGUGUUAGCCAUCUAUGGCUACUUGAUUGUUUAUGUCUGUACUCAGAUAUUGUUGCUUCCGCUGACUCGUCUAUAAUCGAGCACUUGUAUUCGAGCCCUCGAGGCCCCUGGCUUGUAUUAUGAUGCUUGUAUGACUUAUUUAUGUUUUAGAGUUGUGUUGUGAUAUCUUCCUGUGAGUCCCUGAUCUUGAUCGUACACAUUUGCGUGCAUGAUUAGUGUACGAUUGAAUCGGCGGCGUCACAAGUUGGUAUCAGAGCUAGCUGCCUGUAGGAAUCCCCCUUCCACACUCCUUGGCCGAAGUCGAGUCUAGACAUUGCAAAAACUUUUACUAACAUGGAUGUGUGCCUUAUGGGCCCACGUCGCCAUUUGGUGGUAUUAGGAUCUUUUACUCCUUGUCUAUACUCUGGGACUCUGAUCUCCCUUCUAUUCGGGUUAAAUGAUUUUUACUAAAAUCUGACUUUAGGUUCUCGAAGAUACUUUCUCUCGGAGAGCCCCUUCAAUCCAGGUGAUCGCCGGCUGCACCAGAAGAUUUCGAAGUUACUCACCGAAACUCUUUUGAGACUUUGUGCCUGUUGCUUUUGCAAUUCCCUACCACCGAAAUAUCCCUAUGGAUAAAUACAUACACUUGACGUUCUUACUUUUAUUCCCAGUUGAUCUUGUUAUUACAAGAUACCCCGAAAUUCUCUCUAUUGAUCCGAGAAUAUCUUGUGCCUAAUGUCUUGCAAUUCUUUGCCACAUGAAUACCCCUACAAACAAAUCCUCACACUUGUCGAGUAUUCACUCAUCCCCAGUUGUUCAUGUGUUUCACAAAAGUCUUCAAAAUACUAUUCGAUACUCCAAAAAUCCUUAGUAGCUUAUUGCUCUACAAUACUUGUCUGCUUGCAUUGUGGAUGUUUUCCAUAUGUCUGGCAAUAUUCGUUAGUAUCCUUAGGCACCGUCAUUCUGAUCCUAUUGAUUCAACAUGAGUGCGAAUGCACGCAAUCAUCAUUUGAUCCUUUUAAAUUAUCUUUCCGACUCAGACGUCACUUUGAACAUGAGCUGGUUCUCAACCAAACUAUCUGUCGUCGAAUUGUGCCUCUGGUAUAUUCAAUUGAUCCAUCCUUGAUCAGAACGUCUGCUUCUGAUCCUUUGUUUUGGAAAUCGUAAUUCCUUUGUUAUCUAAGCAUCGAAUUAUUCAGAUGUUCUAUAAUAUGAUGCCCGUGCAUUCUUCUUCCUCUGGUUGAGUAUCGAUACCCACAUCAGAUCUUUUAUGGACCGCUAUAUCCUUGGUUGGAUUAUUAUCCGAUAGUGUCCUUCAUAUUGAAUAACCUAAUGAGCCUUUACAUGGGUAUAUAAUGCCUUUUGGUAAAUUGUAUCAUCUGCUUUUGAACAAUGCUCUACUUUUGAGCUUGUAUUAUUUACUCUGAAGUUUGUGGUAUAUGUUCCUAAGAUGCCCUGAUGGGUUGAACCUAUGCCUUCCCUAAUCUGUGUGAACCCGAAAGAUUUCACGGUUCAAACUUAUCUGGUAUUGCACCAGGUAAAACUUUCAACAACUAAUGUCAUUUUCGAAAUACGAGAGGUGAAUGAAGGUUAUGCAUUAAAGAAGUGGGAGUCGACCUUGAACUUUGUGUUCAUGCCCAUGGACACGAUGUAGAUCCUAUCAUGGAAGCUUCUUGUAACUAUUUCCUUGAUAUAAUAUCCUUUGGUAUCGGUGAAUUGAUCCUUUGCAAUCGUGGUUCCGACCAUGUCCUCCUUUAAAUACCAUUUCCUGUGCAAGUUUAAGCACUUGUCUUCUAUAGAGCAAUACCCCAGUCCAACCUCUACUUGGAUCUGUCGUCGAGUAUUACCCCCUGGUAUCUCGAGAUUAUCAUGGAAAUGCAUGACUUCUUAUGAGUUAUUCAUCAAGUGCUACCUUCCCACUGAUUCCAUUUUUUUCACGGGCUCUAAGUUAUUAAACACUCAAAGACACCGAUGACUGAACCGAGUCGACACUACGGUUCAACAUCUCUUCAGUAAGCUUCUAUAAGUACGAGUUUGUACCCGAUCACGCCAUUCCUAGCCUGUUUGGCUAUAUCAUUGUCGUGAUGAUUGUAACUAUACUACCUGGUCCUUCUUCUCGGAGCACAAAUUUUCGACAGUGAGCUAAUCUUACAAUCGAUCUUCCUCAUCAUACCGUUCGCCUUGAACAACAAUCCCGAUUUCAAGUUUGUGUCCUACCCAUGGCCCCAAUAACCUUCCGCUACCUCAUUCCUUUGACUUAAUGUCGUCGCUGAUUGAUUACGUCUUCAUGGAAUCUCUCAACAAAUGUGUCGUGAUCAUCAUGACCGUUCUGAGCUCUUCUAGGAUAUCAUCUGAACUCAUGAUGACAAAUACCUUCCUUUCCCCUCGUUGAUUUGUGUUAUCCUUGCCAACAUUAUUGCCUUCCCUUCGAGGCAAACUUGUUCGUGUUUUGUGUUAUACCUUGAGUUCCUUGCUACCCAGCAUUGUUCUUCUUUACCUUGUGAUAUUACCACCUUUUAUGUCAAGAAUGUCGUGGGAAUUUCACCACCUCUUAAGAAUUCUUGGUAUGGUGAUACUUCUCACCAUCACCACUCCUCUUGGGUCCUCGUGUUGAUUCCAACCAGGGUACCAACAAGUGAGCGGUGCUGUUUGGAUUCCGCCCUUCUAGCAACCAUAUUGAUUUGAAGUUAAUGGUCGGCCGUUCAUUCUUAGACUAUUGAUUAUGGAAUCACCAUUCUGACGUUGGUCGUGCAACCCAGCCCAUAUUUCGGGUGCACCUAUCACCCAAUGUUUAAAUUGGGUAUGUUUUCCUCGAGCAUAUCCCCUUAUAUCAUUUCAUCUGACUAAUGUUAUCUCCUUGUUCACAUAAUUGUGGAAACCCAUCUUUUGGAAGUCUCGAUGAAUUGUCGCUGAGUUCAUCAGCUACCUCCUUAUCCCUUCAUUGGUUUAAUGUUGAGUUUUUGUUUCGGAACUCGCUUCCAUAGUAAAUUUCCCGAGAAUCUUACAAUGUCAUCUCGACAAUUUGUGUUGCACCUUUCUUCUCAGGCAUCCUGGGUCUAAGGUAUCCUGACCCCAAUCAGAACUGAAUCUCGGUCAGAUAUGAUGGUUGGAACAUAUUUCCAAGAGUUAUAACAUUGGUCUUUAUAUGACCCGGUAAGGUGAUGUCAUGCCUAGCACCCCUGGCCGGAGGACCUAUUGUUAUAGUUUCCUUAUUAGCAAGGUUAUCCCUUCUUCCAUGAGGAAAUUGUAAGACUUAUUCUACAAGUUGUUCCUGAUGGAUCCUUCCUGUAUCCAAAGUCUGACCUUUGCUUGAAGACCAUGUCAAUACUAUCUCGAAGCAUGUCUAUGGUACUCCGAAUUUCAACAAGAACAUUUGAAGCCCAAUGCUAAAUGUUUCCUACUCAAUUAUCCAAACACCGCUGUAUGGGUAAUGUCAUGAAAUUCCUCUCCCCUUACAUAAAUGGUUUUCUACUUUCUAUCCUAUCAUGGAUAUCAUGCUAUAUUUGUCCUUGGGAAGGAAAUACCCCGAAAUAUUUGUUUUAACACAUUUUCCUUUCCAUUGUUCUGUUUAAUCUGAUAAUCAUAUUUUCCUUUCCAUUGUUUGAUUUAACCUUUCUUGUGACCUAUAUGACCUAAGCAGUAAUAUUCUCCUGCUUAUGUAAACACCUCGUGGUACCGCUCUGUCAGUAAGAUUGUUGAUGACAUUGCGGUAGCCACCGAUGGACGAGAACCUUGCCUAUGGGCCCGCCUUAUUCAACGAGCAGGAAAAUGGUUCUCUUCAUCCCUCGCCCUUGGUAUCGAUGAUGUUGCCGACAUAACUGAUAGGCUACCCUCUGACAUGCCUUACUAUCGUGACCGCGCAAGAUGUCGGCCCCCUUCCUACUUUCAACCACAUGGUGGGCCCAUAACCCACAGUUCCACAGGAUCGAAACAUGACUCUCCUGUACACCCCCAAUUUCCAAAGUUAUUCCUUGCGCUUGACUUCUCAUGUAACUUAUGGGCCCCUUGCCAAGUGAUCUAUUCGGGUAUCAGACGCAAUACUUAUUAUCGUUGCUAUGAACCCUUCACCUUCUGAUAGACAUUGAACGCUUGCCUAUCGGUUUGAAACCUCAUGGUACCUUCUUACUUUGCUCUCGACAUCUUCUUAAGUUUCAAUUCGAGAGAUACUUAUGCUUCUUCCCCUGGGUUAACCUUCUGAUGCUCGAUCUUGUUAGAAUCCGUCCUUAUAGGGUUCUCCCUUCUCACCCUUUCGUAAGUACGGUGAAGAUCCUGAAGGAAGGACGACAAGCUUCAUCAUGAUGACCUAAAGCAGAGAAAUUAAGACAUCAAUGUAUUGGAUCAACCUCUUCGAGAAGAGUAACGAAGACCUAGAACCCUCGCUAGAAUUUCUUAACCAGGACUUUCCCCCUUAACCCCCGCUUAAAUCUCGGGACGAGAUUUCUUGUAGUGGAGGAGAAUUGUGACGCCCGGCUAAUUAAGCUACAGUGAUCCUCUGCUAGUGAUGCCAUGUCAUCCCGAUUACAGUUGCUAAAUGUCCGUUAGUUCAACCGCGUCAAAUUCAAAUUUAAAAUUAAUGUCGAUAAUAAAAGUUUUCGGAAAUGGAAACAAAAAUGUUCGGUGGUUGCCAAAUAUUAUAAGGGUAAUUAUGGUGCAGCAAACACAUUUUUAUAAAAUGUCUGAAUAAUUUAAAGUGAAUUAAAACAGAAAAGAAAAUAAGAAAUCCCCCUGGCAAACUGGGCCAGAAGGCCCAGAUGGGCGACCCACUUGGCCCAGCCGCCCCCUACUCUCUCCAUAUCCCCCCAGCGGUGAGGCCCCGAACCGCCACCGACACUUCCCCCCUCGCCCCAAAAAAUAUCUCCCCCUCUCCCCCGACUGGAUCGGGAUCGAGGGAGGAGGCCCUCGUCGCCCGCCGCCGUCAGGAGCUCGCCGCCCCNNNNNNNNNNNNNNNNNNNNNNNNNNNNNNNNNNNNNNNNNNNNNNNNNNNNNNNNNNNNNNNNNNNNNNNNNNNNNNNNNNNNNNNNNNNNNNNNNNNNNNNNNNNNNNNNNNNNNNNNNNNNNNNNNNNNNNNNNNNNNNNNNNNNNNNNNNNNNNNNNNNNNNNNNNNNNNNNNNNNNNNNNNNNNNNNNNNNNNNNNNNNNNNNNNNNNNNNNNNNNNNNNNNNNNNNNNNNNNNNNNNNNNNNNNNNNNNNNNNNNNNNNNNNNNNNNNNNNNNNNNNNNNNNNNNNNNNNNNNNNNNNNNNNNNNNNNNNNNNNNNNNNNNNNNNNNNNNNNNNNNNNNNNNNCCUCUCGCUCCGCCGCUCAUCCCCAUCGUCCCCCAACCUUCCCCGAGCCCGCUGCCCCAUGCCCUACGCUGCUCGGUGAGGCCCCCAACCUCUUCUCUUUCCCCCGUCACCGAACGCACGCGCUCCGUCGAACCCCCGCGACCGAGCUCGCGCUCGCCCUGCCCGAAGUUGCGCCCUCCUGAUGUAGCCCGCGCGCGCCUUCACCUCCCCUUGCCCCUGCUCGCCGACCAACGCCGUCAACCGCGGCCCCGCACCAGCCUGCUCUUCGCUGUCGCCCGGUCCGGUUCCCACCUCCGGCCGCUUCCUGUGCCGCUUAGCCGCCUCCCGCUGCCACUCCGGCUACCACGAGCUGCUCUAUGACCGCGUACCUGCGGCCCUGGCCACGCCCCCUAUCGCCGGCCGGCGCCUUGCGCUCCUCCUUGGCCUCGCCGUGGCCACGAACCUCCACCGCGUCCCGCUCCGGCUGGCGCUCUUUGGCCCUGUGCCCCGGCGGCCUCGUCCCGCCCUGCGGGCGAGUGCUCGCUCGGGUGCGCCCGCACCCACUGGACCAAACCCGCCAAGGCCCCUAUGGGCAUAUGACAAACGGGGCCCACGCCCAGAACGAAAAUAAUAAUAAUAGAAAAAUAGAUAAGUAAAUAAUUAAAAUAUUAAUUAACUAAUUAAUUAAAUAAUUAAUUAACUUAAUUAAUCCUGAUAGGUUAACCUAAUCACUAAGUUUAGUUAAUUAAUCUGUUAGGUUAGUUAACAGUCAAUGACAGCUGGGACCCACUAGUCAGGUUGACUAGUCAACCCACGUUGAUUGCUGAUGUCAGCAUGACAUCAUGCUGAUGUCAUAAAUUCAUUUUCGAAUUAAUUUAAAUAAUUAAUUAAAUUCCAGAAAUUAAUAUAAUCUUUAGAAAAUCAUAUCUUUUAAUCCGUAUCUCGGAUUAAAUUAUUUUCAACAUGAAAGUUGUUCAGAAUGACGAGACGAACCCGGAUACGUAGCCCGUUCGUCCACCACACACCCCUAACAUAUCAAACCCGCAACUUUCCCCCUCCGAUUCAUCUGUCAGAAAACACGAAACACCGGGAAUACUUUCCCGGAUGUUUUCCCCCCUUCACCGGUAUCACCUACUACCGCGUUAGGGCACACCGAACACCGCGUAUUGUCUUGUUACGCUUUGUGAUGCUUUGAUUGCUCUGUUAUUUAUUGUGUUCCCUCUCCGUUACUUCUUUCCGAUAGACCCCGAGACUGCCGGUGACCCCCAGUUCGACUACGGUGCUGGUGACUCGUCCUUCUUGCCAGAGCAACCAGGCAAGCCCCCCCCUUGAUCACCAGAUAUCGCCUAUUCUCCUCUAUACUGCUUGCAUUAGAGUAGUGUAGCAUGUUACUGCUUUUCGUUAAUCCUAUUCUGAUGCAUAGCCUGACAUUGUUGCUACAUCUGUUGAUACCUUACCUGCAAUCCUAAAUACUUAGUAUAGGAUGCUAGUUUAUCAUCAUUGGCCCUACAUUCCUGUCAGUCUGCCUUGCUAUACUAUUGGGCCGUGAUCACUCGGGAGGUGAUCACGGGUAUAUACUAUACAUACAUACAUACUAUACAGAUGCUGACUAAAGUCGGGUCAGCUCGUUGAGUACCGGCAAGUGAUUCCGAUGUGGGGGCUGGAAGGACAGGUGGCUCCAUCCUGGUAGAGGUGGGCCUGGGUUCCCGACGGCCCCCGACUGUUACUUUGUGGCGGAGCGACUGGGCAGGUUGAGACCACCUAGGAGACAGGUGGGCCUGGCCUUGUUCGGUGUUCGCGGAUACUUAACACGCUUAACGAGAUCUUGGUAUUUGAUUUGAGUCUGGCCAUUUGGUCUAUACGCACUAACCAUCUACGUGGGAGUAGUUAUUGGUAUCCCGGCGUCGUGGUAUCAGCCGAAGCACUUCAGACGUCAGCGACGGAGCGGCGCGCGCCGGAUUGGAUUGGAACGCCUGCUAGGCUAGGUCUGCUUCCGGCCGCCCUCGCAACGUGCAGGUGUGCUAUGGGCGAUGGGCCCAGACCCCUGUGCGCUUAGGUUUAGACCGGCGUGUUGGCCUCUCUGUUUUGCCUAGGUGGGGCUGCGACAUGUUGAUCUUCCGAGGCCGGGCAUGACCCAGGAAAGUGUGUCCGGCCAAAUGAGAUCGAGCGUGUUGGGUUAUGUGGUGCACCCCUGCAGGGAAGUUAAUCUAUUCGAAUAGUCGUGAUCUUCGGUAACAGGACGACUUGGAGUUGUACCUUGACCUUAUGACAACUAGAACCGGAUACCUAAUAAAACACACCCUUCCAAGUUCCACAGACAACCCGGUGAUCACUUUUCCACAGGGCGACGAGGGGAGGAUCGCCGGGUAGGAUUAUGCUAUGCGAUGCUACUGGAGAUGCUACUUGGAGAUGCUACUUGGAGAUGCUACUUGGAGGACUUCAAUCUACUCUCUUCUACAUGCUGCAAGACGGAGGCUGCCAGAAGUGUAGUCUUCAAUAGGAAUAGCUAUCCCCCUCUUAUUCUGGCAUUCUACAGUUCAGUCCACUGAUAUGGCCUCCUUACACAUGUACCCAUGCAUAUGUAGUGUAGCUCCUUGCUUGCGAGUACUUUGGAUGAGUACUCACGGUUGCUUUGCUCCCUCUUUCCCUCGUUUUCCUCUUGUUCUCGGAUGCUGCAACCAGACGUUGGAGCCCAGGAUCCAGACGCCACCUUCGACGACGACUCCUACUACACUGGAGGUGCCUACUACUACGUGCAGCCCGCUGAUGACGACCAGGAGUAGUUAGGAGGAUCCCAGGCAGGAGGCCUGCGCCUCUUUCGAUCUGUAUCCCAGUUUGUGUUAGCUAUCUAUGGCUACUUGUUUGUUUAUGUCUGUACUCAGAUAUUGUUGCUUCCGCUGACUCGUCUAUGAUCGAGCACUUGUAUUCGAGCCCUCGAGGCCCAUGGCUUGUAUUAUGAUGCUUGUAUGACUUAUUUAUGUUUUAGAGUUGUGUUGUGAUAUCUUCCCGUGAGUCCCUGAUCUUGAUCAUACACAUUUGCGUGCAUGAUUAGUGGGGAUUGAAUAGGGGGCGUCACACCCCCACCCGCAGCCCAAACCCUAGGUCAGAUCGACCCCUCCCCCCGCCGCCCCCUUCCUCCCUCGUCCCCAUCUCCUCGCCGCCGCCCCUCCCCGAUCUCGAUAUGUCGCUGCCCCCACCGCCACCAUCGACGACCCGCCGCCCCCACCGCCCCCGCCGCCCUCUACUCCACAGCCAACGCCCCUACCCUCUCCUUCUCCCUUCUCCCUACAUCCCAGAUCCAUUCGAGUGACAUAUAUGUAUGUGGUGUGGAAUCAGUCCAGCUCACCACCACUCCCGCACCUCCGCUUCGCUGCCGGUCGGACCUAGGGUUUCGAGGUAAGCAAGCGGCUCCCUCUCGCCAGGCUCCUCCAUCGCACACUCUCUCUGCCGCCGAUUUACUGACGCCCUUUCGGAUUUGGGGUUUUGUCACGCAGGGAUUUGAGGGGGCAAGAAGGGGAGGGGAAGCGCGCGAUGGUGGCGCCGGGGGGCCAUCGGCGGCGGGGCCGUCGUCCGCAGGGAGGCGGCUGCGGCGCACGCAGACGGUCGGCAACAUGGGGGAGUCCAUCUUCGACAGCGACGUGGUGCCCUUCUCGCUCGUCGAGAUCGCGCCCAUCCUCUGGGUCGCCAACGAGGUCGAGGCCAGCAAUCCGCGCGUCGCCUACCUCUGUAAGUAGAACACCAGCCCAUCCCCGAUCUACUUCUUCACUUAGGCCGAAUCGUCAGUUGGAUUUGCUCGCCAUGAAAACAAGCAUGGUUUGCUCAUUGCGCUUGCGCUUCCGCUCAGGCCGCUUCUACGCCUUUGAGAAGGCCAACCGGCUCGACCGCACCUCCAGCGGCCGUGGAGUGCGCCAGUUCAAGACCGCGCUGCUACAAAGGCUCAAGAGGGUAAUUUUUACCACCACUCACCUCCUAUUCAUCAUCUUCAUUCAUCCAUGUUCCCCAAUUUAUCACUUCUGGCUGGGGACAAGGAAUGCGAGCUUCUAAUUGACUCCUUGAGCUUGCUGUUUGUGCAGGAGAACAACCCCACCCUCAAGGGGAGGGUGCACCAGAGCGAAGCGUGUGAGAUGCAGCGCUUCUACCGCGAGUACUAGAAACUACUUCCGCAAAGGGUAAGUCAGAUAUUAUCCUGCGAAGACUAAAUUACCAAUCCUGACCACAAGAAAUAUUUUGACAUGUUGUCAUUAUGAAUACAUGGCGUGCCUUACCCCGUGUCAGCAUCUUAAUUGAUUAUUGCGUAGUCACUGAUGUGUAUGCAUACUUGGAACAUUAUGGUAUGUAUGCACACUUGAAUGGUAGUAUCUUGAAUGCAUCAAUAUUAGUGCUAUAGAGUUGUUUUCCAAGCUAGUUCUAUUUACUUUUAAUAUAGGUCUAUUAGUCACCAAUACUUUGCCUGCUAUGCUAUAGUAGACCUUGUUCAUAUUCAUUAGCUAAGUUUGCUUGUCCUUGGGAUCUAUAUGCAUGCCAUUUGUGUUUCAGGCUUUCUCUGAAAUGAAAUAAUAGGUCUAUUAGUCACCAAUACUUGAGUUAAUCUAACUCCUUACCUGCUAUGCUAUAGUAGGCCUUGUUCAUAUUUAUUAGCAAAGUUUGCUUCUCCACAGUGAUCCAUAUACAUGCCAUUUGUGUUUAACGCUUUCUCUGAAAUGAAAUAAUAAGGCUCACACUCCAUGACCAGGACGACCACCGGGACCUCCACAGCGACGAUGAAGCCCUGCACAUGGUCGAGCUCGAUGGAACAACAGUGCCUCGGUGUAGUGCAACCGAGUUGGGCCACACCAGUGCAUCAGGAGCUCUGCAUGCUGCUGUCCUUUGUCUCAUCAUCUUAACUACUACACUAGUAGGAGUAUUUUAUAUGUUGUUCAUUUCUUUGUUAAUUACUGUGCUACUCCCUGCUCCUGUAUUCUAUUAGCACCAAGUCUGCCAUGCCUAUGUAUUAUAUACUUUAUUCUUCUUGCUGGAGUACUAGAAGAGUAGCGCUAUCUUGCUGCUGGUGACACUCCAUGAAGUACUCACUGUUAAUUUAUUCCGAGUGGCCAUAAUUCCCUUCCUAGCAGCACCACGGAGUACCACCUGCUCUCUUGUCUCACCCAUAACAACAAUUUACUAGCAAUAUGUGUCUUGGAUACUAUCUAGGUCCCUUCUACUACUACACCUAGUUACUUGUGUGUAUCCUAUUACUUACUAGUUAGUACACGUGUGUAGUAGUACUGUACUGUAGUAGUGGUGUCUUACUGCCAGUGAUAGAUUAUUGAGUUUAUUAACUCCAAAUGAAGUGAACUGGGCAUAAUUCUCUAGAUGUGGUACAUAGUGCUGUCUGUUUCCUUGCAUCACCAACAAAAUGUACUAAUAUGUCUGUUGUGACACGCUAGGUCGAUUCUAAGCCUUAGAGAAACCUGUAGUACUUGUAUCUCUGCAUGACUAAGUGCUCAGUUCAUACAAUUUUGAGUCUGCACUUCUGUAUGUUUUUUAUGUGAAACACUUAUGCAUGACUAAGUGUUAAGUUGAUACAAUUUAUUUGAUAAACAAGCAUGGAAAUAUGUAUUAACUUUCCUGAAAGUAGACAAGCAAUAUAAUUCUGUUCAAUUCUGAUUUCUUUUGUAGUCAAUUCUAUUCAACUGAUUUCUGAAUAUUUCUUAUGUGAAACCAUAUCUAGAUCAGCAACACUUUGCAUGAAUAAAUGCUGGUCAGUGAUGAUAUCUGCAUUCAUAUUGUUUGGUACUGUUUUAUGUAGUUAUGUGAAUUGCAUGUUUAUUUGGAUCCAUUCGACCUUUUCACAAUUAACUUAAGUUUGGAUUUUCAUGUUUAUUAUCACAACCUUCCGGGAAGGCACGAGUGAGCCUGCAUGCCCAUUGAUGCGUACCUGUUGUCAGUUGGACCAUCUUCUUUAGCUUUUUGAUGUGAAAUCAUAUCUUAACCCUUGGAACUUUGCAUGAUUAGUAGAUCGAUGGUGAUAUCUGCACGCAUAUUGACUUUACUGUUGCUCUCCGGCGGAAAUUUCUCCCUUAUGUAAUGAGUUCAUCUUGCAUUGCAUCUACCCAUGAAUGAGAAUUGUACAUACUGUAAUUUUCAGUUUUAACUAGGCUGAAAUGUGCAUGUUUUAUCUUCUCAGCAUUGUUCUUAUUUACUUGCAAGUUUUUACUAUGCAAGGUUCAGUCAUGCCAUCUUUGCUUGCGUUGCAUGUUAAUGUCAUAACAAAUGCUCACACCAAGUUUGUGAACUGUAGCCAGGUACCAGAGGCUGACCAUGUACUCCAUUGGCAUCUCUAGCUCCCACAUGUCGCCCCUGGGCUGGAGCGCCUUGGGUGAUUGGCAUUCUCCUGGUGGCGCCGCUCCUCACAAAGUGUUAAGUUGGAUUACCGCCUCAUGUUGAUGGCCUUGUUUCUAAACAUUUAAUAAUGUUUCUUUUUGGUGACCUAAUGUCGUUUAGGUUGCUACUGCUGUGAUGGAAGAUCAGAACAGGCUGGAGAUGCGCACCACAUCUUUAGUUGAUGUUGCAUCAUGUUUUGGUGCUUGUGUAUCUGUUUUUGCUUGUAAGCACACUUGUAUGUGUUUGUGUAUCUAUUUUUGCUUGUUUUAGAUGAUGUUGGACGUGCAAAGUUGUAUGUGCUGUCGUGUGUAUUUGGAUGAAUGAUUUUUGAAUUUAAUCAUUUAAUUGAGAGAAUUAUUUAGUGUUUGUUGUUCAAAUGGGUAAACUGGAAAUCAGUGAAUAAGGAGACCAAAUGUUCUAUUGGACCAAAUAAUAUAUGGGCUCUAAAAAGGCUACAACUCAAAUAAUAGUGGACUGGAACAUUGUGCAUUUCUGGAAAACCCGAACAAAAAGGCCUAAUGAAAUGGUUUGCAAAAGGGCCAUGGCCCAGAAAAUUAAAAGUCCAAAUUGUAGGGCGUGGCCCAUGAAGCCGACCAGAAUUAACAUGAAAAAAAUACUAAAUGGGCUAGGCCCAUGUAGAAAAUCGAAUUGGACCAGGCUGAAUCUUGUGCCACAUCAGAUUGCCACGCUGGAUGCCUACGUGGCCUGGGGAGGUUGCUAGUGACCGAAACGCCACAGUAGACGUAUUUUGGUCAUAAACGUCUACGACCUUCUCACAGAGAAGGUCGUGAAUGUCAGUUUACGACCGCCAGCUUUUGACCUUCUGUUUUUGGUCACAAAAAGGUCGCAAAUGAGAAACAAUGACCUUUCAGUGACCAAUAGUCAAGGUCACAAGUUGACAUAUUUCUUGUUGUGAGUUUUCUUUUCUGAGCUUUCAUACACUUAUAGCUCUUAGUGCAUCUGUUGCAUGGCAGUCCCAACUCCUUGCAUUGACAUCACUUGAUGGGCAUCUCCAUAGCCCCUUGAUUAGCCUCAUCGAUGUGAGACUACUACUUCUUGAGCUUUCAUUGGUUUCCCCUUGAAGAGGAAAGGGUGAUGCAGCAAAGUAGAGAUAAGUAUUUCCCUCAGUUAAGAACCAAGGUAUCAAUCCAGCAGGAGAUAUACGCUGAAGAAAAUAUGCCCUAGAGGCAAUAAUAAUGUUGUUAUUUAAUAUUUCCUUAUAUCAUGAAAAAUAUAUAUUAUUCAUGCUAGAAUUGUAUUAACCGGAAACUUGAUACGUGUGUGGAUACAUAGACGAAAGAGUGUCCCUAGUAAAGCCUCUACUAUACUAGCUCAUUAAUCAAAGAUGGUUAAGUUUCCUAACCAUAGACAUGUUUUGUCAUUUGAUGAACGGGAUCACAUCAUUAGGAGAAUGAUGUGAUGGACAAGACCCAUCCGUUAGCUUAGCAUAAUGAUCACUAAGUUUUAUUGCUAUUCUUUCAUCAUGACUUAUACAUGUUCCUCUGACUAUGAGAUUAUGCAACUCCUGAAUACUGGAGGAACACCUUGUAUGCUAUCAAAUGUCACAAUGUAAAUGGGUGAUUAUAAAGAUGCUCUACAGGUGUCUCCAAAGGUGUUUGUUGGGUUGGUAUAGAUCGAGAUUAGGAUUUGUCACUCCGUGUAUCGGAGAGGUAUCUCUGGGCCCUCUCGAUAAUGCACAUCACUAUAAGCCUUGCAAGAAAUGUGAAUAAUGAGUUAGUUGCGGGAUGAUGCAUUACGUAACGAGUAAAGAGACUUGUCGGGAAUGAGAUUGAACUAGGUAUGAUGAUACCGACGAUCGAAUCUCGGGCAAGUAACAUACCGAUGACAAAGGGAACAACGCAUGUUGUUAUACAGUUUGACCGAUAAAGUUCUUCAUAGAAUAUGUAGGAGCCUAUAUGAGAAUCUAGGUUCCGCUAUUAGUUAUUGACCGGUGAUGUGUCUCGGUCAUGUCUACAUAGUUCUCGAACCCGUAGGGUUCGCACGCUUAACGUUCGAUGACGAUUUGUAUUAUGAGUUAUGUGAUUUGAUGACGAAGUUUGUUUGGAGUCCCGGAUGAGAUCACGGACAUGACGAGGUGUCUCGAAAUGGUCGAGGCAUAAAGAAUGAUAUAUUAGACGAUGUUAUUCGGACACCGGAUGAGUUCUGAGAGGUACCAGGUAACUAUCGGAGUGCCGAAGGGUUAUCGGAACCCCCGAGAGGAACUAAUGGGCCUUCAUGGGCCUUAGUGGAGAGAGAGGAGGGCUGCAAGGGGCUGGCCACGCGCCCCCCUGGCAGUUCGAAUUGGACUAGGGGAAGGGGGCGGCAUCCCCCUUUCCUACUCCCUCUCCCUCUCCUUCCUUCCCCCUCUCUUCCUUGUAGAGGAAUCCUACUAGGACUAGGAAGACCUAGUGGGAAUCCCUCUCUUGGCGCGCCCCCUAGGGCAGGCCGGCCUCCUCCUCCCCUCCUUUAUAUUCGUGAGCAGGGGGCACCCCAAAGACACAACAGGUAAUCUCUUAGCCAUGUGUGGUGCCCCCCUUCACAGCUUAACACCUCGGUCGUAUCGUCAUAGUGCUUAGGCGAAGCCCUGCACCGGUAACUUCAUCAUCACCGUCGCCACACCAUCAUGCUGACGGAACUCUCCCUCGACCCUCUACUGGAUCAAGAGCUCGAGGGACGUCAUCGUACUGAACGCAUGCUGAACAUGGAGGUGCCGUACGUUCUGUACUUGGAUCGGUUGGAUCAUGAAGACGUUCGACUACAUUAACCGCGUUACUAAACGCUUCCACUUUCGGUCCAUGAGGGUACAUGGACACACUCUCCCGUCUCGUUGCCAUGCAUCUCCUAGAUAGAUCUUGCGUGAUCGUAGGAAUUUUUUUGAAUUACUAUGUUCCCCAACAGUGGCAUCCUAGCCAGGUCUAUGCAUAGAUGAUAUAUACUAGCGAGUGUCUGUUUCUCCAACUUUAGUUGAAUCGAGUUUGACUACGGCCAGUCCUUGUUGAAGGUUAAAACAACACACUUGACGAAAAAUCAUUGUGGUUUUGAUGCGUAAGUCAGAACGGUUUUUGCUAGAAGCCUAUAGCAGCCACGCAAAACAUGCAACAACAAAGUAGAGGACGUCCAACUUGUUUUUGCUGGGCAUGUUGUGAUGUGAUAUCACUACAAAAAAAAUACACUUCCGUGAUGAUACGUGUUUGUCAUAGUAGGUCGCGCUUUUUGUCAUGCAUUUACAUCCAUGACAAAUUUAUGAUAGAAUCAAGAUAGUCAUACAUGUGCUGUCGUAGAAGUGUUCCAUGACAUUACCAAAAUUAUCAUCACGGAAGUGUCCACUUCCAUGACGAUAAAUCACGCGUCACAAAAGUUCUUUCGUCAAGGGUGACCGACACGUGGCAUCCACCAUAACGGAACACUGUUAAGCUAUCGGGUCGGAUUUUCGAUCCGAUAACCCGUUAACAGCCCCGGCCAAUGGGAAAUUUCCACAUGUAAAAUUCUGAUUGGCCGAAGGGAACACCUGUCAGGUCCUCAGUGGGCCAGAUGUCGCCCGUCCAUUGGAGGACACAUGCCUAUGGUACGCCGACACGUGGCUGGGCCCAAGAGAGGCCCAUAUAGGUUAAAAAGGCUGGCCCAGUCAAAGGCCCGUAGAACUUAAUCAGGUACUAGUGGGCCAGCCCAAUAACGGCCUGCUUAAUAAAGGCCCAUUUAUGGCCCGAAACCAGAUCUGGCCCGUUAAUUGUUCGCCAAAUAUUUGGGCCCAUUUACGGCCCGAAGCCCGAUCUGGCCCCGCCCAAUAUUUGGGCCCAUUUGCGGCCCGAAGCCAGAUCUGGCCCGUUAAUUGUUCGCCGAAUAUUCGGGCCCAACUACAGCCCAGUGACUUUCGGCCUGUUAGAGGCCUGAUGUAGACAUGGGCCCAUUUCAGCCCGGUGUGACUUUCGGCCUGGGAAUGGCCCGUGCUGCCCAUGGGCCAUAUAUGGUCCGACGGGACAUCGGGCCCACUAACAGCCCGUGUUAAAUGUGGCAACAGUUAAGCCCAACAUGACUUUGGGCCUGUUAAAGGCCUGUCGCGUAAUUCGGCCCGUUGAUGCCUGUACUAAGCUUUCGGCCUCUUAAAGGCCCAUGAUAUCAGUGGGCCAACUAAGGCCCGAGAUAUGUUUUGGCCUGGUAACAGCCCGUGAGCUAACUCGGCCCAUAACGGCCUGAUCUACAUUUCGGCCUGCUGAAGGCCCGUCGACGACUAGAGAAAAUUGAGGCCCAACAUGCAUUUUGGCCUGCUAACGGCCCGUGGUUUCAUCUCGGCCGUAAUAGGCCAGUACAAUAUUCAGCCUGUUAAUGGCCCAACGCUACCUGGGCCAAACUAAGCGUUGGGUCGACAAAAGGCCCAACUAAAAUAUAGGCCGAUGUAAGUUUGGGCCUGGCGGAAUGUGUGAAGGCCCCAAUCAUUCGGGCCCAAAAAAGAUGCAGGCCAGCCCAAUUGUGGCCCGCUAAAAACCUAGCCCGUUAGAGUCGAAUGUUUCGGCCCUGUCGACUACAUCUGAUUUUUUCCAGAUAGCGAAUGAUGGCAGUAACUAGUAGGAAUUAAGAACAAACCUACUCUAUACAAUAAAGAAAUUAUGGCAUAGUAAGUAAGAAUGAACCUACACUAUACAACAAAGGAUUUAAGAUAUAUUACAUCCACUUGGCAUCGAAGUUCGCCACCAGUGAUCAUAAAGCGGAACGAAGAAGCAGAUUACAAAAACUGGGCACCAUUGCAGCGUAACAAAAUAAUACUGAACCGAGACCACUUCUAAGACAGUUCAAGAAAGGUUAGCCUUGCGGGGGAACUGCUACGCAAGCUGCUGAGAAAGGCUGUGAGACCGGCCUAGCAUGUCGGUCAUAGCUUCUAGGUGUAGCUGUUUAGCGAUGAGGUUCUCAUUGGUGUUCUCCGCAAUCUUUCUUAGAGAUAGGACUUCAAGUCGAAGUUGAGUUGCAGAAUGCCUUUCUGCUAGAACUUGGGACUGAAGAAGUCGAACUAAUUCAGACAACGACUUCAGUGAGCUUGUCUGACUGUUAGUCUCAAGUAACUUGAACACUGCAUCAAGACAAGACUUUGGGGUUGUCUCGCUUUCUUCAAGAUGUUUUUCCUUCUUUGCUGCAAUAUAUGUUGGGUUUGUCUCACAGCCUUCAGCAGACUUGUGCAUGCCAUCAGGCAUAUCACCCUGAAACAAAGCAGAGAGAUGACAGGUUUUGCACGUGUAUAAACAAAGAUGAUAACUGUUCUGUCAAUUCUAUCCAAUUUCAAAUUAGAAAAUAAAGAGUAAGUUCAAAAUAUCAAUAGCAUAAUUUGGCAUUGUUCAUAAUGCGGGGAGCUUCACCACACUACUGGAUUACCAUGUCAACAUAACAAGCAUAGAUGAAGGGCAAAGAAAAUCAUUGUAUCUAUUUUGGAUAAUGUGCAUGGCAUGUUGUUCAUAUCAUCAGCCACAUCAGUAAGAUAAAACAAGAGAUGACAAGGUGCAAACGUGGGCUGCUUCACCACACACUGGAUUAUAGAUCCACAAAACAAAGCAUACAUAUAGGGAAUAUUAAGUAAUGUGCAUGGUAUGAAUAAGAAAUUUGGUUUUACAAGUAAAACUUAGAACUUACGGUUCUUACGAACAUGCAUAUUGGUAGAAACAGCAAAAUAAACAGCAGUAAACAAUAGGGAGUAUGAGCAAAUUAAACAGCAGUUGAUGAUAAAGGCUUUAGAAGGACUGACUUACAUUAACAGUUAACACCGGCUCUAUAAUGCCCUUCUCCAUGUCAAGGGAAGGAUAACUCAAGAAUUUCAGCAUAGAAUCUUCUUCAUAAGCAUUGCCUGUACUCUACAUUUUGUAGAGAGUAAUUAUAGAUAUGAUAAUACUGGAAGGGAUAGAGGAUAACGAAGAUAAGAUGUAGAUUGAUGCUACAUAAUCAACUACCAAUCCCUGGAAGUACAAGCGUUACAGGACAAAAUGUACUGACAAGAGCAAUGGGCUACACUUCUGCACUGGCAUUGUCUGUGUAUUCUACUUGUUGGUAAGAUUAAAUAUAGAUCUGAUCUUUUCUAGUAAAUGGUGGGCGAGGGAGAUAAGAUGCAGAAUGCUACAAAAUGAACCAAUCCCUCUUCCCAUAAUACAAGAGUGUUUUGAAUUCUGGUGUACUGUACAAAACAUUCUUAUAUUAUGGGACGGAGGGACUAGCUGUUAAUGCAAGUACAAUGAUAGACCAUGUUCAGUCCUUACAAGAGGACUGCAGAGCUAAACCUCUUCAAAAGCAUUGAGUUGAUUCGAAAUUUGUGUAAGAGUCCAUACGGAUCUUAUAAUGUCCACCAAAUGGACGAUUAAGAGGCUAACAUGUGCAGUGAUGCUACAUAGUCAAACAGCUAUGAAAGUGAGUAUGGUCAUACAGGGGAAGAGGUACUCACAAGAGCAAUGCAGUGUGCAGUAUAGUUGCGAGAUUCUGUGGUCCCUUGAGAAUGAAUGUUCUUCUGCUAACAGUUUUCGUACAAGUGAGACAUUAAGGGAAAUGCAGAAAUGUAGUUCAAAUUGUGAUGUGAUAUCAUAGACAGUACCUUACGCUGCAGCCGAGACCAAUGCGUAACAAGAUUAUUCCAGUCACCGUUGGAUAAAUGUAGCACCGGAGACUUUACAGAAAUUUCAUUCAGAGGCUUGCCAUCGAAGUGUGCUUGCCUCAGGUAGGAACGAUACUUCAUCAACGAGUGCUUGAAAAGUGCAACCAACUCUUGCUCGUCAUCACAAUCCAAUUUUCUCCUCGCCUAUUUAAAAGAAUGAAAUCUUGUGUCUUUUGUCAGCAGAAACAUAUGCAGUAAUGACCAUGAAUAACAUUAGUACAUUACUUACGCGUAAGUUGCGGAGGAAGACUGGAAAUUAUUCUGUGUCUGCGAUAUAAUCUUUCCAUGAAGGAAAAAUGCGCACAAAGUUCCUGACAACAACAUAAGCUUCAUCUUCUAAACUGGGCAGAAAUGGAACAGGGGUCCUAUUUGCUGCAGUUGGGGCUCUCUCUGGUUUGAAAAGGGAUUUGGCAACUGGAUUUGGUGUACUCUUUGCUGGAAUGGGGGUUUUGUGUCUUACAACUGGUGCUAUGUCAACUGGCAUAAUCAUACUGUUUGCUGCAGUUGGGGUCUGCUGAGUUGGGGCAUCAGAAAUGACCAGUGCAGUAGGGCUAGAGUCUGCUAGAGUUGGGGUAUUUUGUGGGUCAGGUGAUAUUGCAACUACACCUAAUGGGCUAUUUGAUUUAUCAGGUGCCACUACCUUUUCCAAAUACUUUGCUAGUGCUCCUCCAUGAUCAGCAAUCGCCCUCUUCCUUUUGAACGUCUGAUACACAAGAACAACAUUUGAAUGGAUAAAUAUGGUAUGAUGACAGAUGGAAUUUGUACUGAAAAUGGAUAGGCAGGGCGUAUUCACAUACACGAUGUGUAAACUAAGCUAAUGGCAGUUCAACAAAGUAGAAGCAAUGCAAAGCAUCAGUUGCAAGAUAUGUGCGAGUAAUGUAACCAUGGAAAGUUAGAGCAAGUACCUUGAUGGGUGAAUAAGAUAGGGCAUCUUCCUCUGACUCCUCCACUAGGGAGCUACAUUGUUUUAGGUCUCCCUCUAGCUCAGAAUCACUGUUAGGAUCAUAUUUUGAGCAUGAAUCUGUAGGUGGAGAGCAUUUGCAUUGCAUUGCAUCCAGACUUGGUUUCAGUCCCUUAAUGCCAAGUUUGACAGCCAUGGCAUUGUUCUGCUUUAUUCUUUUCAUGCGCGCAAGCUCAUAAUCAUUAUGAUGUUGUUCAGAAUGUGAGAUUCAAACAUAAAAAGUAGUCAAAUUAUCUAUGGAAUACAUUGCGGAUUCAACUCGGAGAGUGUCUCCCUAUAAACCCCUGCAUAUGCAAAGUUCACCUCCCCAACCGUGCUGACCAGAUCACACACAGAAAUACAAACCCCUUAUGUCUCUAUAACAGGCAGGCACACAUUUCAAAACUGAAGUAUGAACAUUAGAAUCAUAUGAAAUUCGUAUUUGAAAAAAUAAACUAGGCAAUUAUGAGUGGCGUAAUGUUUAGCUUCAAGGGUGGAGUGUUGGUAGUGCGACACAAAGCAAGUAACACUAGUAGAAAAACACCUAAUAGUCCCGGUUCGUGAGGGCCUUUAGUCCCGGUUCAUGAACCGGGACUAAUGGGUCGUUACUAAUACCUCCACCCAUUAGUCCCGGUUCAAACUAGAACCGGGACUAAUGUGCGUCCACGUGGCUCUGUGCGCCGAGCCCAGUCAGGGGGCCUUUGGUCCCGGUUGGUGGCACCAACCGGGACCAAAAGUCCAUGUUAUUUUUGGAAAUUGGCUGCUUUAGGGGUUUUGGGGGUUAUUUUUAGGUUGUUAUAUUAGCUAGCUAAUAGAGAGAAGUGUCCUCUCUUAUAUCUUCGUCCUUGGUUUACCAACGCUGCUGCUAUAUAUGUUCAUUUUACCCGCUGAUAUAAUAACUCAUGCAUGCUCGCAUACAUCAGCAUAUAUAAUAACAAGUACUCGUCCUACUAAUCAUGCAUCAUCAUACAACUUCUACUCGUUAUUAAUAAUAAGUCAUACGAUCAUCAUCAUCAUAGUCAUCGAACCCAACCCUACAUAAUUGUUCUUAACACAUGAUCAUCAGUAUCAGGUAGGACCUAAACACCCUUAAGGUAAAAUAGCAUAAAACAAUAUAGACACUAACUCUCCAUUAUGAAGAAUGGCGAUCAUCUUGUCUCCAAUUUUUGCCCUUCACUGAAUGUUGCUUCCAAGAAGCUCCUUACGGCUGUCCAUACAUUUUUUCCAUUCUUUGAUUCUCAUGUCUCCACUUAUUUUAGAAACCCGGUAUGGACAGUUAAAAUUCGUAGGACGAUCUGGUUGUAUGUUCAAAACAUGAAGGCUACCGUGUGUAUACAUCAGAUGAGGCACACAAUCAUUCGGGAUUAUCUGUUGAAAAACAUAGUAAUAACUUCAUAGUUAGCAAUGAUAUGAUGUACUAGUUUUAGAAGUGUGCAAAAAGAUGCACGGAUGUUGUAAUAGUACAAAAAUCUUACCAGGGUAUCUCCAUGGUAGUUACCGUAGUUCAACACGUGCACUAGUGGCACGUAUUGACCAUAAUGUUGAGGAGUUCGAUUGUAGACAUUGUAAUUCUCAAGAUCAGUACAAAAUGCGACUAGAUGAUUUUUCUCCUGAUAAGUUAGUUCGGAGCCUUCGGUGUAGUAGGUUCUGUCUACCAUCUUCCGCACAUUAUUUGAAGAAUGAAAAUAAGCUGUCAAUGGAGAAUAAGUUGUCAACUAUUUUGAAAUAAACAAUAUAAAUUACUUCAUAACAAUGUUAAGCUCACAUGGGGGAAGAAUUGGAGGUGUAUCCACACGGACGAAAAUCGUAGGUCUCCCUUGCUCGAUUGUAGGAUCACCAAGAUCCAUGGUAACAAGCAUACCCUCAUCAAAACCAUACAUCUUGCAAAGUGCUUCCCAAUUUUUGCAACCAAAAUGGGUUACACUCUGAGCAUUGUACAGCUUUACUUGAAAAUCCACGCCAUGAUGGUACUUAGGAUAAUUUUUUUGGUUUCGAAACUUUCAUGGUCUCCAAAACCCAUCCUCUCCAAGACAUAGCGUCUUGCAAAGCAUGAGAUAAGCUAGUCGAAUUGGAAAAGAUGAAAAAUAUUGUCAUGAUUAAAAUAGUUGAAGUCAUGAGUAAUUACGAAAAAAAACUAUUAUCGUCGGUUGCGUACCGUAUGAACAUCGAAGGUCUCCUCGAGCUUAAUGCUGAAGCGACGAUCUUCGUCCAGCACAAUGAACCUGUCGCAGAUACCUCGGUCGUCGUGGCACCAGUUUGCACUCCCCCGGGCGGUUUUCGUCGUCCGAUGAGUACGACAUUUCCGGCCUACGUUCAUAAUUCAAAUAUUAAACUAGAUCAUUAUUAUUAAUCACGGGUUGACUAUCGAUGAUCGAUGUACGUAGCUCCUCCUUUCAUUCCCGAAUGCAUUAUUAUAUCAAAUUGUCUAGCACACGGGAAUGAAGGAGAACUUAUCCAAUAUGAGCAUUCAAUAAGCAAAACCAAUUCAUAAAAUAAGCAAAACCAAAUCAUAAAAUAAAGUAUAGUAUUCAAAUUAGCAUGCAUUCAAUAAUUAUAAGCAAAAGUACAUCAUCUCUUGGUGUCCGUACAUCGUCGAAUAUUAUCACUAAUACAACUAGAACCGUAGCGCCCGACGGGUAUCGACGCGAGCGGUGGACGCCCAAAGAUAAGGAACCAUCACAGGAUCAUAGCUCCAGUGAGAUCCCUGAAGAACCUGCCAGGUAUUGUCUAAUUUGCCCUCCAAUGCAACCAUGUAGCGACGGACGUGCUCGUCCUCCUCGCUGACACAGUGACGUACCACCUCCGCGGUGUCCGGAUGCCUCACCACCGUCACUGGCCCACGCGACCGCCACCAAACAAGGAUCGGGUCAACAACGGGCUGCCUCCAAACCAACCUACGUCCCCCGGAAGGUAGCACCUCCCAAUACCAGCCCGGCGGAGACCAGUCCCGAACAUGGCCCUGAUCAAGCAAGCCUCCACCGCCGAGUCGACGAUGACGAGGAUGCGGCAUAGGCAUCGCCGACGUUGAUGCGGCAACUACUUCUAUAUAUAGUUAAAUAAAAGUAGUUUUAUUACUUAAAUCAACUAUCUAGUUCAACUACUAAGCACUUACUAUAUAUAAAUAAGUAGUACUUACUAAAAAAACUACUUCUAUAUAUAGUAAAAUAAAUUAGUUUAUUAAAUCAACUAGCUAGUUCAACUAUAUAUAAACUACUUCUUAUUUUUUUCCUUUUUCUAAAUACUACACAUCUAAUCUAAUGAAAAAAAUCUAAUCUAACAAAAAAAAUCUAUGAACUACAUAUCAAAAUUACUACACAUCUAAUCUAACAAAAAAAAUCUAAUUAAUCUAACAAAAAAAUCUAACAUAAUAUAAACAAAUUAAUUACUACACAUCAAAUCUAACAAAAAAAAUCUAAUCUAACAAAAAAAAUCUAUGAACUACAUAUCUAAAUUACUACACACAUCUANNNNNNNNNNNNNNNNNNNNNNNNNNNNNNNNNNNNNNNNNNNNNNNNNNNNNNNNNNNNNNNNNNNNNNNNNNNNNNNNNNNNNNNNNNNNNNNNNNNNNNNNNNNNNNNNNNNNNNNNNNNNNNNNNNNNNNNNNNNNNNNNNNNNNNNNNNNNNNNNNNNNNNNNNNNNNNNNNNNNNNNNNNNNNNNNNNNNNNNNNNNNNNNNNNNNNNNNNNNNNNNNNNNNNNNNNNNNNNNNNNNNNNNNNNNNNNNNNNNNNNNNNNNNNNNNNNNNNNNNNNNNNNNNNNNNNNNNNNNNNNNNNNNNNNNNNNNNNNNNNNNNNNNNNNNNNNNNNNNNNNNNNNNNNNNNNNNNNNNNNNNNNNNNNNNNNNNNNNNNNNNNNNNNNNNNNNNNNNNNNNAUAUAGCAAGAGCAUCGGUCCCGGUUGGUGGCUCCAACCGGGACUAAUGCCUCCUUUAGUCCCGGUUGGUGCCACCAACCGGGACCAAAGGCCUCUUUUCAGCAGCCAAAUGGCGGGAAACGAAGAGCUUUGGUCCUGGUUGGUGGCACCAACCAGGACUAAAGGGGGCGCCUUGGUCCCGGUUGGUGGCACCAACCGGUACCAAAGAGUUGCAUUGGUACCGGUUGGUGCCACCAACCGGUACCAAUGGACCCGUCUAACUACUUUUUUAUUUUCUGCAGCUGUUUUUUUGUCGAUUCUUCCUGCAGCUUUUUUUUUAGUCCCACCUUGCCAAGCGAGAGGCACUCACAGCUGUUUAUAAGCCCUGAGUGCAGAGACGAUGACGAAGAGGCCCCAUGCUCCUGCACGUUGGUUAGCUUCAAGCCUUGAGGAAUUGGGUAGACUGCACAGAGCUAUGUGCAGUGCAGUUGACACUAUUCCGAAAGGCUUGAAGCAAAUUAACAAGCAUUGCGCCUCUUUUUUAUUUUUAAUGACUUAUUACAACUGAGAAACAAAUAGAAAAAAAUAAAUAUAGCUGAAAAGAAAAAAAAAUAGAAAACUACUCAGAAAUGAAUUGAAGCAAAAAAUAGUUGUGAUUAACUGUACUAAAAAAGGAGCAUAAAUGCUUAUUUUUAAUGACUUAUUACAACUCAGGAAUAAAAAGAAAAGAAAAUAGUUGUGAUUAACUUUACUAAAAUAUGAGCAUAGAUNNNNNNNNNNNNNNNNNNNNNNNNNNNNNNNNNNNNNNNNNNNNNNNNNNNNNNNNNNNNNNNNNNNNNNNNNNNNNNNNNNNNNNNNNNNNNNNNNNNNNNNNNNNNNNNNNNNNNNNNNNNNNNNNNNNNNNNNNNNNNNNNNNNNNNNNNNNNNNNNNNNNNNNNNNNNNNNNNNNNNNNNNNNNNNNNNNNNNNNNNNNNNNNNNNNNNNNNNNNNNNNNNNNNNNNNNNNNNNNNNNNNNAACUAUAUAGAAAACUACUCAGAAAUGAAUUGAAGCAAAAAAUAGUUAUGAUUAACUGUACUAAAAAAGGAGCAUAGAUGCUUAUUUUUAAUGACUUAUUACAAAUCAGAAAUAAAAAGAAGAAAAAAUAGUUGUGAUUAACUUUACUAAAAUAUGAGCAUAGAUGCUUAUUUUCAAUGACUUAUUACAAUUCAAAAAUAAAUAGAAGAAAAAAUAGUUAUGAUUAACUUUACUAAAAAAUGAGCAUAGAUGCUUAUUUUUAAUGACUUAUUACAACUCGGAAAUAAAAAGAAAAAAAUAAAUAUAGCAGAAAAGAAAAAAAACUAUAUAAAAAGCUACUCAGAAAUGAGCAUAGAUGCGCUUAUAGAGGAAAUUCAAAUUAAAUUCAUAACAAAUUUCAAGAGAAAUUCGUAUGAAUUUAGCCUAAAUUCCCUAUAUAAGGGCAUCAAUUUUCAUUUUCAGAGGAGCUCCAUAAAGCAGAGAGGGAGGGGCUUAUAAACCGGUCUGAUUCCCCUCCGGUUGGCGAGGUGGGACUAAACUUUGGCCGCCACGAGGACCAACCCUUUAGUCCCGGUUGGUGGAAUGGACCGGGACUAAUGGUCGUCCUUUGGUCCCGGUUCAGGCCACCAAUCGGGACCAAUGCUGGUGGGCCAGGAGCGAGGCACAUUGGUCCCGGUUCGUCCCACCAACCGGGACCAAUAGGUCCAGACGCACCGGGACCAAUGGCCCACGUGGCCCGGCCGGCCCCUGGGGCUCACGAACUGGGUCCAAUGCCCCCAUUGGUCCCGUUUCUGGAUUGAACCGGGACUAAUGGGCUGGACCGGCCUGGACCAUUGGCCCCUUUUCUACUUGUGUAGGCAGAUUGUAUUCCAUGUAAAAGAUCGAAACCUAUGUAAAAGUUAGAAAUGACACUUUCUUUCUAUACAACGCAGUGUUCGUUACCCACACAUGAUGGAAGAGAUCACGUAGAGAAAUACUAUUCACUCAUGUCUACGGUUCCAGUAUUUAGAAACAGGGUGGUCCACCCUAAAAGAAUAUUGACAACAAAUAUGACAAGGCAAGCAUAGAUGUAUUGAAUCAAUCAUUUACUUGUGAGCUUAUUAGGACAAGUAUGCAGAAUUGUAACUUCAGUAAGAGACCGUCCAUAAUCCGAAUGAAGAAGUUUGUCUAGCACUUAUUGUUUGCAACUAAUUGAUGUGAAUAAUUGGAUAUUAUAUCGAAUGAGUAAGAAAGACAAGUAAAAUUGUCAACAAAUCUGGCUUGAAGUAGUAAUCUGGGUCAAUGUCACUACGACCAACAAUCCAAAAUGACUAGUUUCUACUCCGAGGGCCGGAAUUUUGAAAACCCUGUGAACUUUAGAGGUACUAAAGAUUACCAAAAUACAUCUGAACCAUUAAGUGUAGGUAGCACUGAGCACACAACAAACCCUAAUGACAGUCCUCCUAAUGAGUAAUGAAUCAAUUAGAAAAUGGGUGAUGAGGAGUGGCUGCUGAGUGUUGAGGACGUAUCUCAGGAUAAAUCGGGUUGGCUGGUGGGUGCUGCAUGACUGAGCACUGAACAGACUGGGAAGGUAGGCACGGCGGUGCGCCCGGGCAGCGGUGACGCUGUUGGGCGAGUGGCUCCUGGCCUCCUGCUAGUCCGGUGUCUCCUCCUUGAGUCAUGUCGUCCGGGGACGGCAAGUCGCCGGCGAGGCAGGCGGCUGGGGGCGAGUAGAGAUCCGAAGCGCGCAGCAGAACAGAGGGGAAUCGGGGCCUGGGAGGACCCAAAAUCCCAGGGUGGGCCAGCCCACCUUGGGCACCCUAUAGAGAUACACACCUGAGCGUCGAACAUGCAUUUUCGAAACUAAUUUAGGAACAUUUAGCUAAGCAAUUAAACAACUCUGUUUUAACAAUAUCAGAUUCGUAUUUGAACAUCUAAGCUUGUUUGGCUUGAUGGGUGGAGCAGUGUUAUUAUGACACAAAGCACGUAUUCUGAUCGUAUAGUGAUCAUAAAAGGGGGAAACUCUAAGCAUAUUUUUUUUAGCAAAAGAGGGUUUCCCCUCCGAUUUCUAUUAAAGAAACCACCACGGAACCAACAUGAUCAAUUAAACCCUAAGCAUGAUCAAUUAAACCGUAUUAUGGUUGUGCCAUGGCAGAUUUGUAGCUGCAAACCAGAGAAAUGAUAUUUAGCAUCCAUUGUUUUCUUCGAACUAAGAACUAAAUUCUAAGAGCUGAAAAGAAAGUAGAGUAACCAAGUUAAGAUCUAUUUUCUGGUUGAUAUCAAAAAGUUGAGGAGAUAUGAAGUACCACCUCUCUUGCGGCGCCGUGUAGGCAUCGGGGGUGCUUUGGCUGUCAGUGGCAUUGAAGCAGAUCUGCGACGGUAGAUGGGUGCAUCGGGGGAUAAGUUCCGUUGCGGUGGAAGAGAAGGUCGUGUGAGCGGCCCCGGCAAAGAGGACGACGGCGCCAAUGAAGCAAGAGGACGCGAUGCAAGGCUAUUGGUCCGUCGCCGUGGAUGAGAAACGUCCAUCUCUAGCAGUGGACGACACGGUCUUGGUAGGCGCUCCGGCAUGGUGGAGGACGGUGGCGAUGGAUGUGGUGGAGGACGACGGCGAUGGAUGGGGUGGCGGACGGAGGCUGGUUUGGGUAUGGGGUGUUCUAGCGUGGACGGUGUAUGAAUGGGAAAAUGGAGGGAGAGGUACGGGGAACCAUGUUUUUGGGACGCGCCUGUCUGAAAUAUGGGAAAGUUACGAACUUAGCCCCCAUUUAAAAUUUGGCCGUCUCGUCGGUUGGGGAUAGGACGGUAAUCUCGCAUCUCGCCAAUAUUUGCCUAGAGCGAUUUUGGGCGAGGAGAGGGUGGUUGGCGCCCAUGGUUGGCUCCCACGGUGUAUGAAUGGGGCUGAUAGGUAGGACAGUUGUGUCACGUCUGAGUGAAGUUACAAACCUGCCCCUAUUGAAAAUAUUUGCCUACAUCGAUUUUGGCCGAGUCGAGUUUGUUUUGCCGCCCACCGUGUAUGAAUGGGGAAUGGAGGGAUAAACAGAGGUCUUUCGGACGAGCUUGAAUCAAAUGUGUUUUGCCGCCCAUGUUUGACGCCCACCGUGUCGGAAUGAGCUCAAAGGCGGUCGUGUCACGUCUAAUUGAAGUUACUAACCUACCCCUAUUUAGAGCAGUGGAAAUCGGGCCGAUGGAUUGUCCGUGUAAUGGGUAGACAGUAAUUUCCAUCUCCCAAACACUUGGCUUCGGGCAGCUAACGUGGGAGUGGACAUUUUGCUGCUUCUUUCGAAUUUUGGGACAAUAAGCAUCCACGUUUACCCUGGCAACUAAAUUCGAAUCCACUUUGUAUUCCUAUAUGAAUCUUUAUAAAUCAUUCUAUGUGUUUCUAUAUAUCUUCAAAAGGACGACAACGAUGUAUUCCACUGUCAUAUAUGAAUAUGGUUUACAAAUGCCGAUACUCAAAUUCAGAAACUAGAAUCCAGUUUAAGGUGAAUUCGAAUAUUUGGAACACUUCAUGUCCAACUCAAAUGUCACACGCAGCAUAAUGUGUACUCCCAUUUAGAUGUGUACACAAGCGAUGUAUCAAGAUUCAAAUACCAAGUCAAUCAACCAAGAAUGUAUAGAACUAACAGACAUAUAGACACUUAUAGAGUAUAUGGAUCAAUAAUAUCAACUAACAUACAUAAGCCAGGCCGCUGUACUUUUUUUUGGCAACAACAACAUCAUUUUUUUAGCCAGCAUCUUGGCCCUUUCCGAUGCGUGCCACUUAUGGUCCAUCUAUAGUACUACUAUUGUUGAAUGCACAUUCAGCCCGAUUGGCAUAUUUGUAGGUCUAGCACAGCAAUCCAAAUGAAAUGUCUCCGAGUCUUAUCAAUUAAUACAGACUUGUGCUCAAAUAAAAUUACAAACCAAAAAACAAAAAAAACAAUUAUUACAUGAUCUCUAAAACAAAUGGAUUGAUUGAUUACAUGAACAGACAACACAAAGGUUAUUCAACUAUGGAAAGAACAUUUCACCUAUGAUUUACCAAGUAGGAAUUUAAUUUCCUUUUUUCCUUCAGGACCUUAACAAUCUGGUCAGUCUCAGCUUGCUUCGUUUUGAAAUCCACCAAAUAUUUAAUGGUUGUCUUGAGUACUGCUUGUGAUUGUGAUGUUUGCUUCCUCAACAUGUCAACUUCAUCUCUAAGUACAGAAGCAGAAUCUCUUUCUACCACUAGUUUAGCCUCUAGAGCAUCAGCAGUUGGCAAUUCAUAAUGCACGAUUGGGCCGGUGCCACUGCUGUGGGAUGAUGCAACGUCCAUGGGGACCUCGCUCUUUGAUCUUGGGCUAACCUGUUUUGUCAUUAAAGUUCCGAUUGGAUUCAGAAAAGUUGAAGUUAGCAGAACAUCUCAACUGGGAGUUAUAACAGCAAACUAGUUAAACAAAUAAGGAAUUAAAGAGUUUCAAUUGGAUGCUGAAAAGUACAGUAGUUAUUAACAUCAUUGUAACCCGCUGUUGCAGCAGCAAAGCAGUUAAACAAACAAGUAGAUAUUUAAGUUAAGGCAAACAGGUAAUUCUUAACAGUAAGUAUCAAACACAUAGAUAGGCGCAGUCUACAAUAUGAUAAACAGGCUGUGCCAUUAUGUAAUCAGUAGCAAACUAAAUUAAGCUAAGCAACAUAAUUGAACAAUUUUGCAAUAAGUGGCUAACUAAAAUUCCGAGAAGUAGGUAACUGAACUUACACUAGUUCUUUGUACAUGCACACUGCAACUUCUUUUUUGCUUACAAGGUUGUACAAAGGAGUCCAUGGCAUCAAUUGCUUGGAUACGCAGUCCCAGUACUUCUUUCUUCCCAUACUGCAUGGGUAAGUCGAAUGGUUAAUCUAUUAAGAUGGUGCGUCCUUGAUAUGUUAUAUGAGGACGUGUAGUCAGACUAGUUGUAGCCAAACACAUCACACUGGCUUUUACUGUAUAUUUCAUGCGAUUACUUUUGGCAUAUCGAGAUCUAAGCAAUCUACAAUAGGAUGAAAAGACUGGCAUCCUUCACAUUAUUGGUGAACUCAGUUUAUAGAAACAAGCAAUUCAACCAUUCUGUGGGUAAAUCAAAAGCGCCAUUGGAAUAUUUUUCACUAUCCAAUAAUACACGCAAAAAGGGGCGACGCCACCAUAGGGGCUGGUAUGGGCGGCCUCCUCAGGUGGCUGGAAAGUGUGCACCUAGUUUGAGUCGUCCAGGUUGGCCCACGCUAGUUUUGUUUGUCCCAAGGCACGAGCAGACAAUGUAAAAAAUGAAGAAAAAUGUUUCAGUUUGUAUGGGCCAAUAACAUAAGUGCAAGGCAGACCCUAUAGCAGGCUCGUGGCCCAUACGAGUGCCUCCCAUAUUGAUUGACAGCAGGAAAAAUCCUAAUUCAUUCGCUCCAGCCUCCAGUCUAGUUCGCUCCUAACCUAGCCGCUGCUGGACAGACCGACACAGCACUUCCUCGCGCCCUCGUUGGAGGGUGGUCGCCGGGCUUCAAGCGAACGGAAGGACAAGAAGAUGAAUAUCCAACCCUGGGUGUAGCCUGCAUGGGAGGCAGCGGCGGCAGCACGGGCAUGGCAUCGAGCUUGUGAAAACGGAUAGUCGCAGCUUGCAAGAGUAGCAUGUGCAUCGAGCAGGUACAUCACAUCCCUGAUUAUAUCUAAUUUAACUCUUCAAUUUUUGGCCAAUAGUUAAACCUGACGGUGUUGUAAAACUGCUUGUAUGUAGGGAAUCUAUGAGAAAAUGAAACCAAUUUCUAUUUAUUUUAUAAAUCCCCCAAUCAAUACUGAACUGACUGAAUCUGAUGUAUCUAAUCAAGUUUUCGGUGCAAACAUACAAGCUCAUGUUGUUCUUGAGCCUGAAGUGUCUAAUGAACAGACUGCUAAUGAAGGAUUUGAUGCAAACAUUUUACAUGCUCCUGGUGAUGAACAUAUAGUGUCUAAUGAGGGAUCUAAUGCAAGCAUUUUGCAAGCUCAUUGAACGAUUUAGUGUCUAAUGAUGAUCUACUAUGUUGAGAGAGACAGAGAUUUGCAGGCAUUGAUGACAAGCAAAUUAUAGUGCAUUUUCAUAGCUUGAGGAAACGUCGAGGCCAUCUACCAGAAAGUCCCCGUAUCAUGACAACAUAGCAUAAAUACUUUUCUAAUAUGUUGUUUGAAACUAAUGGCAUACUUGUGCAGGAUAGAUAUAUUGAUGCGUAGUUUGUGCACUGGUUAUAUGUGCAAUUACACUUCGAUAUUUUUAGCCAUAGAACGAAUAAUUCAAGCAGGUACAGACCAUGUUUGUAGUCCUUGUACACCAUGUUGCAUUUUGUGUUUUUUGGUGCUUGCAUCAUUUAGUGUUUAUAAUCUGAACUACUUUGGAUCAUUAGCUGGUCUUCAAAGUGCAUGUAGCUUCACAUUUCUCAAGUUAUGUUGAUUUCUGGAUUGCAAGUGCCUUCGUAUUUUUUAAGUUAAAUGUUCGCCCCUGGUAACUUGAAUUCGUGGAUCAGCCAGUGCACACAAAUCAUACACGAAUGCCAGUACGAAUUAAAUGAAAUGCAGGGACUUACGCUAGCUUGUUGUACAGGUUCACUGCAGCUCUGCUUCCGCUUGGGAUGUUCCAUGUACAAGUCCUUGUUACCACUUUCUUGAAUGUGCAGGCCUUGUACUCCUUGCAUCCCCCUCUGCAUUUUGACACGGUGAAUGGUUGAACAAAUAAGAGGAAUCGACCUUGAUGUUGUACCGGAGGACAGAUACUUGCAAGGUUAUACGGGUGUGCAGGAUGUGUACCAGAUCCCGUAGCGCCGUCAUGCUUCGCUAAAAAUGGAUUUGCUUGUUUCAGAUGAUAUCUCCAGAAGAAAUAAGAGUUAAAGUCAGAGUUGCAUUGGCGUGUAAGCUAAGAGAGCAGUGAAAGGAUAUUCAAACAUCGUUGGAACAGUGCACAAGGGAGUGAUGUGUGGAUACCUAGUUCGGGCCGGCGUUUGGGCAUGCUCGCCUAGCUAGAGUGCGGGUCACUUCAGAGCCGUUGAGGGUGAUGCGGUGGCGUUGGCUGGCCGCGCACGGAUGCAGAUCUUGAGUGGCAGCGGAGCGCUACGAUGCGGUGGACGAGACCGUUGGUGAAGCCCCAACGGCCUCGAGGGGCGGAGGUGCGACGAUGUGCUCGGUGAAGUAGCCCCGGUGAACUGGGAGACGGCAUCGGUGAAGCGCACCUGAUGCGGUGGAACUCGGUGUCUGUGAGGCACGUCGGUUGGGGCGGCCGACAUUUUCGGUGGACCAUCUAGUGCGGUGGAUGAGGGCGUAGAUGAGGUAGCUCCGGUGCGGUGGUGAAGCGCGACCUCGUCUUCGUCAUCGUCGUCCGGCAAAGAGGUGGGGAACGGUGGGGAAAGAGACGAGACAAGGGGUGAUUCGAGGGAUGGCGGCAAAUUAGGGAUUUGAGCAAUCUGGGCGCGGAAGGGGACAGUGGAGAAGAGAGAUUUUGCAGGGCUGGAAAUGGGGCCGCCAGAUAUUUCAAUCCGAAACAUGGAAGCGGGAACUUAUAUUGUCGUCUUCCUUUUUUUGGGGGGGAGGGGUGGGUAGCUGGGUGCUACGCGCCCGUCCGACACACGCGACCACCCCGACAGGACUAUGCUUCGGUGCCUUAAGGCACCUGCCUUUGUGUCCAUGACAAGUGGGCCCAACAGGUGGCUGGCCCACAUGUCAGUCACCCAAGGGCAGUUGCCUUUAAGGCACCGAAGCAGCAUCCACCUAGACACGACCCUGGUCUGCCUGGUGCGCCUACAUUUUAGAAUGCAAAUGAAACUAAUCUUCUUUCAUUUGCAAAAGAAUCUGUAUGUAUUACCAUGCCCGUGUUUUCCUUGCAAUAAUUAGUCAUUCAAAACGAGAUACUCCAUCCGUUCACUUUUGUAAGUCGUUUCAGACAACUUAAAAUGAACUGUUUUGCACAUUGUCUGAAAUGUCUUCAAGUUCUUAUAAAAGUGAACAGAGGGAGUACUAUAAAUUAAUUAAUGAGGAGUUAUUUGAAAAAAAAAUCGAAAUGGUACCCACGCUAACGUGGAUUAGAGUGUGUCACAUAAUUAGUUAUUUGAAUUAGAGUGUGUCUCACGUAGUUAGUUAUUUGAAUUAGAGUGUGUGUCACGUAGCGAUCUCCAAUUCUAACGUGGAUUUUGCAUUUCACUGUAUCCACGCUACUUUUUUAAUACAAAUUCAUAUGUAUAUGAUGAACACCAUGGUAGUGAGAAAACUUUUGGAUGGAUUCAAACAUAUGACCUACAAAAUAGCACAACAAAUUGAGUCAAUGUCAACUUUUUGAAACUUAGUAUGGCACGAAUUCGAAAUAAUUACCCUCAUGUCUGGUCCUCGGUUCAAAUCUUACAAUGUACACCGAAUUGAAACAUCGAUAUUAAGUCUCGUACUAUGUACAUNNNNNNNNNNNNNNNNNNNNNNNNNNNNNNNNNNNNNNNNNNNNNNNNNNNNNNNNNNNNNNNNNNNNNNNNNNNNNNNNNNNNNNNNNNNNNNNNNNNNNNNNNNNNNNNNNNNNNNNNNNNNNNNNNNNNNNNNNNNNNNNNNNNNNNNNNNNNNNNNNNNNNNNNNNNNNNNNNNNNNNNNNNNNNNNNNNNNNNNNNNNNNNNNNNNNNNNNNNNNNNNNNNNNNNNNNNNNNNNNNNNNNNNNNNNNNNNNNNNNNNNNNNNNNNNNNNNNNNNCUAACCACCUUAGCAAGCUAUCGGUUUCCAACACAGGUUCAUUCUUUCUCUUCAUGUUUCGAUCUCUAAGUCUCUCAACUACACAACCCCUUUUUCCACUCCUGUUACCGAAUGUAUUUACCUCACACACCCGCCAUUGCACCCCAUGCCGAGCUCUCUCUCUCUCUCCCCACCUCUCCCUCUCACACUCUCGUGCUAAAUACAUGCAUUGCCUAUCUAGCCCCCCAACCUCUCGUGCGCACGCACGCACGUUGUAUAGCUAGGUCACUCCCUCGAGACUGUCUCACUCUUUCUUCGGUGCGGCAGGCCACACUGGCUCAAUCUCGCUCUCUUUAUCUGAGUCUCGUUUAACCUCGUUUUCUUUCACACACAAAUGAUAUAUCUCCUUGUUCGGGCCUCGAUCGACACACUUAUACUCUCUCACGCAGAUUGUCUAUCUAGGUCAGUCCAUCCAAGCCGCCGCCACUCUUUCGACCUCAUGGUGGGCCACGCUCUCUCUCUCUCUCUCUCUCUCUCUCUCUCUCUUUCUCUCUCUCUCCCUCUCCAUCCCUCGCAAAGCCGGAGCUAUUUACAUUGCGAGGGCCACUCCAACCUUGGAUUAAUUUGUGUAGGCAUUUAUUCCGGUCGGUUUAGAUUAUAUUUUCGUAGCAUUUGGCCCACAACUACUCCAAACACCGUUGCAACCCACGCAACUCCCCUAGUUGAUUUCCCUCUGGCUCGGUCAUCGCUCUCUCGCACGUCCUUUCUCGCCUUCAAUGUCGCACCAUGGUAUUAUUGAAAAAACUAUGUUGUUCUCUUUAGUUAUUAUAAAUAAGCUACAAAACUACACACCGAUAUUCCACUUGGAAUGGAACAAAUUUCGACCCACAAAUUAAAGUGCUACAAACUACACAUCGAGGGGCCCACAUGUCGUGAAACAAAUUUGGACCCAUAUACAAAUUAAACAAUAAAGGACGAGGAUCGGACAUGCGACCGGGCCUUCAAGGCGCACGUCAAUAGGCAACAUACGUAGAAUAGCAAUGUUUGUUGUACCCCCUUUGUUUACAUAAUGUUUUUAUAUUACCACAGCCUAAUUAAUGGAUAACAUGUAAUAUUAUUUUUAGUACUAUCCGCCUUCACUUACUGGUGGGUUCCAUGUGUGCUCUCUCUCUCCUCCCCUUCUGCGUUUAUACGCACGGGCAAACAGGAGGAACUCGCGGGCGAUGUUGCCGUUGAACAUAUUUGGACGCGUUCACAAGUCACGGCACCAGUUUCACGUACUAGCAGCACUAGUCAGUGUGUAUGUGCAAUGCACGUUAAUUUGGAAGUAUAUUAAGUGCGUGCGGAUAUUAACUACUAGGAUGUUAUUUGCGUGUUGUCAUGUGAUUAGCACUAUUUUUGCCAUGAAAUUAACUGCACGCUAAACGUGUUGAGCGCUCGACAUUGAAGCAGUCUAGGUCGUUGGAAGAUAAGGAAUACAUGUGGCUUGAUGACAUUUUAUAUUUAAUUUGAUACGGCUCUAGCAGAACAUUCAAUCGAUCAAACCAUACAUUUCGUUCAGUAUGACUCCGACUUUAAAUUAUACGAUGAUCGAUGUAAAAUAAACGGAAAUGAUAAACAUUCGGAUUUUAAGCAUGGCAAUCCGAACGUUUUUCAUGGCAAAUUUAGAUUACGCGGCGGCGGCGGGGGCGUCUCGCGGUGGGAAGCGGCUCCUCUACCAUGCUCUGUGUGUCGUCGGGCCCCUGAUCGACGGCGACGGCGGUGUCUUGCGCCGUUGUUGGCGUACUCAUGGACAUUGGCCUAGCUUCAAGGAAGGCCAAAAUGUUCUGGACUUCGGAGCAAGUUAACUGGCGGGAGGAGGCGACUGGCGUUGGUGCAAGGAAGCGGUCGACAACGGCCAUUCAUGCCGCUGAUGGGGGCACUGGCACCCGCGCGGGGACGGGCGCUGUCAAUGGCGCGGCGGAGACAUUCGUGUGCAUGGGCACCGGCAUGGGCGCACACGUCAGUGCAUGCGCAGGCGCAUGCACUGGCAGGUGCACGGGCACCGGCACGGGCGUGCGCGUCAGUGCACACGCAGGCGUGCACUGACGCUGGCAGGUGCACAGGCGCGUGAAAGUCGGCGAGGACCUCGUGGAACCCGUGGCAUCAAGCUCGGCAACAAUGUGCGGCUGCCAGCCCAUCAAUGCCACGGGGAUGGGCGCUGGCGCAUUCGGGGCGACGGGAGCCGGAACGGGAGCGGGGACAGGCGCGGCGUCUUCCCGCAAGGCCAGUUCAAGCUCGUCCCAAAGUGCCUUAUGUUCUUGAGACUCCGGCUGGGUGUCUUCCUCAUGAAACUGGAACACUAAGGGCAGACCAUCGUGAUGCGGCACGGCGUACGUUUAGGUCAGGCUAGUUGGAGGGACGACAGGAGAAUCGGAGAGGAAGAGAGAGGAUUGUAGUGCGGGGUUGAUUUUAAACUGCGGCGUUGGCGACAUUAAAACUGGGAGCAGUUGGGACGACGAUGGGCGGCGGAGCCUGGUCAAAGGGCUCGCCUCCCAGUGAGUCUGCAUAGUGGUCUUCUCGCAUGCCUCCCUGACAGCCAGUGCAGCGGUCUGCUCACACGCCUCCCAUCAACUCACACGCUUGCUGGGACGGUACCUGUCGAUGAGAAGCGGGGACUCGUGGCGGCACGUAAACGCCCACGGUUUCAAUAGUGAAAGCGUUCGACUUAACAUGACAGGUCUUUGUUCCAAAAUAUCUUGGCUCUUCAUUUGUGCAACUUGUCAUAAGAAGCUUUUCUCGAAUUGAAGAAAAAACUUGCGAAGUAAUAUUUGUGCCAUAUCACGUGACUAUGCUCCGUUUCAAGAAUUUAUGCUCACUUUUGGAUUUUCUGAAAUUUCAGAUCCAGGAUUCGAAACAAUAUCUUAACCUGCAUCAUGCAAUAAAUUUUCAAGCCGUACAUCUAUCCUGUUGUAUUUUUUAAGUAUGGAUUUGGUCAAACAUUUUGCUUAGUUAAACCUCCUUUCCGGUUUAUAGGGCUCAAUUCAAAAUUCUCACCAACCAAGGUAGAUGGUGAGUUGUGGAACAAUUAUUGUAGUUUGCAAAACCACUCAAUUAAUGCGCUUGUUUUCCUCAAAAAUUGUGUUUACGAAUGCAUUAAUUGCAAUGCAUGCAUGCAUAAAGUACAUUGGUCAAUUUUCUCUUAAUUCUUGCAUGUAAGGAUUUAUUGCACCUUGAAAUAUGAACAUGUGAUGGGGAACAACCAAAUUGAGACUUAUAAAAUUGGAAAACUAAAAUUUUGAGAUAAGCCCUAUAAACCGUAAAAGGAUAAUCCCUGUGUAAUAGUGCAUUGCCUGAUAUAUUAACUCAAGUACUAGGCACGAACAAACGGGCUCAAUUCUGUGCUCAUCCUGGUGUAGUAGUAGUAGUACUAGGCAAUGCAGUUGACGGGUGACAUUGACGAGCGGCGACCGAGGGAAUUGAACUGUGCUCGGCACGCUAGGUAACGUUGUCUAGUUACUAAAGCAUCCCUCCAUUGUUCAUCGGUAGUCAGUAUGGACCGGGGACAUGAGGGGGAUUUCCUAGGGCUGGAAUUCUGGCCGCCAGAUAUUUCAACUUGAAACGCUGAGGCUCGACUGGUUGGGGUUGCCUAAUGUGUGUACCACGCACGCCACCGAAGGACACGAGCCUGUUUUUUUAGGAUCAACACGAGCCAAGGUCUGGCUGGUA
rnacentral:lncRNA from 1 species